UAGGGGGAAUUGCAGUUGGGAUUGUAGGGACUUAAGGAAUGCUUGGUAGAGGGGGCAGUCCUCUUGGCAAUGUGGUAGGAAGUGGAGGAAGCGCCCCAGGGUUUGGGAGAUUAGGGAAAGAUGGCAAUGGUGGAGAAGAGAAAGGAAUAGGGGGAAUUGUAGUUGGGAUUAUGGGGACUGAGGGGAUGUUUGGCAGAAGGGGCAGUCCUGUUGGCAAUGUGGUAGGAAGUGGAGGAAGCGCCCCAGGCCAUGGGAAUGAUGGUCGGGAUGGCGUUGGGAGAUUAGGGAAAGAUGACAAACUUUGCGUUUGAGGCUGCUGUAGAAGGUGACGAGUUGCUACCCCAACAUCAAUGCUUGCAAAUGACAAAGCCAUCAAUAAUGCUAAAGCAAAGCAAUUGAAAAAGGCCAUUUUUGUUCAGAGAUUUCGAAACAAAUGAAGCAAAUGAAACAAAGUUCUUUAUCUGAAUAGUUGUUAGUGAGGAAAACAAAGCAUGGUAUUGAGGUUUAUAUAGGCAUUGGACCAGUGAAUAAAAAUCCCCUGCCCCUAAACAAUGCCCCAUUCAUGCCCCCAAAACAAAAUAGCGCCACGUGUUUUUUUUAUUUUUUGUAGUUUAUUUUUUAAAUAAAAAUUUAUAAUGAUUAUUAAUUUUUAACUUAUUAUCAACGUUUUUGUUUUAUUUUUAAUUUCUAUUAAUUUUACCUAUUUUUUAGUUAACAAAUUUAUAAUGACUUAGAGUUAAUUUAACAGAGUUUUUUUUAUAAUCGUUCUUAUAAUAAAAUUUUACAAGGUGGGAACAAGUCCCACAAUGACAAAAUGAUCCUUAAAUUUUGGGUGGUGGCAUGCCUUUAGUCAAAGGAUCAGCUAACAUCUGCUCAGUGUUAAUGUGCUUAAUUACAACUUGCUUUUCUUUAACAUGUUCCCCUAUUCCUAGAUACUUAAUGUCGAUAUGUUUACUUUGACUUUCACUUUUGUCGUUCUUAGCCAUAAAGACAGCAGUUGAAUUGCCACAAUAUACCAUAAAUGGCCUAGAAAUCGAAUUCACAAGUCUAAGCCCAAAAAUGAAACUCUUCAACUAUACUCUAUGUGAUGUAGCCUCAAAACAUGAAAUGAACUCAGCCUCUAUAGUGGAAGUAGCAGUUAAUGUCUACUUGACGCUCUUCCAAGAUAUCCUCUGUUGGAAAAUAAUUAUUGAGUGAUGAAUGAUAAUUGUAUCUCUUGGUUUAAUAUUGCAUUUUUCCAUACAGUUGUAUCUUUUGAAAAAAAUGUAUCUCUUGGUUUAAUAUUGAAUUUUUUCAUUCAUUGUCUCUAUUCACUCAUGUCUAUUGAUUUUUCAACAAAUCUUUUCAUUCAUUUUCUCUUCUCUAUAUAAAGCCAAGUUAGGAGAUUUCAAAAACAUAUAAUCAAAACUAUCAAUAUAAAAAAGUUCUUCUAAAUUCAUUUCUCCUGGUAAUAGAGAAAGGCAAGAUUGUGUUCAAUUAAUCACUGUUGUUGUGCUACUACUGUGAUCGUUUGUUGUUGUAUCCUGGGUUACAGACGCCCAACAUUACUCAAAGCACUGAGGAGAGGACGAAUUUGUCUUAAGGAAAUUGUUUAUACAGGCCUUGACAAAAUUCUUCUUCUAAAUUUUAACUUUGUCUGAUUACAAGUAUUCUGUUGUGUUACUACUACUGCAUUGUAUUGCAUUAUCAUUGUUAUUGACAUAUUAAUACUACAUAUGAUAUCAAAAUUUUUUACAUUCUUAGGACAUAUUAAUUGUUGUAGUUUUAAUCUAAGGCGUACAGAUUGCCAUCAUAACUUAUUUAAGAUUGGUUUAUACUUCUGUUUCAGAUUUUAAUUUAUUUAAAGAUUCUGGUUUUUUAUUCCGAUUACAGAAAUGUCUCAUACAUGAAACAACUCAUCCAAUUCAAAGGUUGAGGCGAUUGUCACUGCUCAGGCUCAGGCUCAGGCUACAAGCCAAACGUUACCUGUGACUAUGAGUCAUAAUGAAAAGACUGCGAAAUUAACUGGAGAGAAUUUUAAAACAUGGCAACAGAAAAUGUUGUUCUAUUUGACCAUGUUGAAUAUGGCAAAAAUUCUGAAGGAUGACAGUCUUAUUUUUAGAGAGGAUGAGGAUUAUGCUAUUACCGUCUUCAACAUUUUCGAAGCAUGGAACAACUUUGAUUUCCUAUGCCGUAACUACAUUUUAAAGAAUUUAUCUGAUGAACUUUAUGAAGUAUACAGUAUUAAGAAAACCGCUAAGGAAUUAUGGGAAUCGCUGGACCAUAUAUACAAAAUUGAAUAUGCUAGUGCUUAGAAAUUCUUAGUUUUCAAGUUUUUAAACUUUGUAAUGGUUGAUUCUAAAGUUGUUGUAAAUUAGGUGCAGGAAUUCCAACUAAUCAUUCAUGGUAUUUUGGCAGAAGGGAUGGAGAUAAGUGAACCUUUCAGGUGGCAACCAUUAUUGAAAAACUUCCCCUUGUAUGGAAUGACUUUAAGAACUAUCUUAAGCAUAAAAGAAAGGAAAUGAUGGUGGAAGAUCUGAUUGUUAGACUUCUAAUUGAAGAUGAUAAUCGAGGUGCGACUAAAAGGCUAAACAAAGCAACCAAUCCUAACCUUGCCAAGGUAAACGUAGUAGAAGUCAAUAAGGACUCAAAGAAAAGAAAACAUUUUCAGACUAGGUCUAAAUUAGGACCAAAAUGCAGUGUUUUCAAGAAGCCAAAAUUACAAGGAAAAUGCUUUAAUUGCAAUAAGAUGGAACACAAGUCAUCCGACUGUAGGCUUCCAAAGAGGGUCAGAAUAAACGAGGCCAACGCUGUGGAAAAUAUUUCUAAGGAAGUAUUUGAUCUUGACCUCUGCGCUGUAAUUUCUAAAGUCAACUUGGUUGAUUCAAAUCCAAGAGAAUGGUGGCUUGAUACUGGUGCCACAUGUCAUAUUUGUUGUAACAAGGACUCAUUUGUUGAGUUGGUUCCUUGUGAGAAAGGGGAGAAACUCUAUAUGGGCAAUGCUGCAACUUCCAAGAUUAAAGGUAAAGGUACUGUGAUUUUGAAGUUGGCUUCUGGCAAAAAGUUGAAACUUCAAAAUGUGUUGUAUGUGCCUGACAUACGCAAGAAUCUUAUCUCUGGGACCCUUCUAAGUAUACAUGGCUUUAGGAUGAUAUUUGAAUCCUAGAAGUUAGUUUUGUCAAAAGGGGGAACAUUUGUGGGAAGGGGAUAUGUAUUAAAUGAUAUGUGGAAACUCAAUGCUACCUCUGUAAAAGCUAAUACUAUGAAUAAGAAUAAUGCUUCUUCUUCUAUUUAUAUGCUUGAGUCAUUUGAUUUAUGGCAUGGUCAGCUUGGGCAUCUUAAUUAUAAUACUUUAUGUAGAUUAAUUAACUUAGAGCACUUUCCUUCAUUUCACAUUAAUUAUAAUCAUAAAUGUGAAACGUGUGUUGAGGCAAAACUAACAAGGUCUUCAUUUCAAUCUGUUGAAAGACAUACUGAAUCACUUGAUCUAAUACAUAGUGAUAUUUGUGACUUAGAAGUUUAUUCAAACUAGAGGAGGGAAAUGUAUAUUUGCUUAAAAGAAAAGAUGAAGCUAUAGAGAAAUUUGUUCUCUAUAAGCAAGAAGUUGAAACCCAACUUAAUAAAAUAAUUAAGAGGGUGAGAAGUGGCCGUAGUGGUGAAUAUGUUGAACCAUUUGGUAAAUUUUGUGCAGAACAUGGUAUUAUUCAUGAAGUGACACCACCAUACUCUCUCUUAUCCAAUGGAGUAGCAGAUCGUAAAAAUCGAACCCUAAAGGAAAUGAUGAACGUAAUGCUAGGAAGUUCUGGGUUGUCACAAAACAUGUGGGGGAAAGCUUUUUAUCAGCGAAUUACCUUUUAAAUAAUGUGCCUUGUAAGAAAAAGAACAAAACACCAUAUGAAUUAUGGAAGGGCAAGAAACUUUGCUACAACUACUUGAAAGUGUAGGGGUGUCUUGCAAAAGUAAUGGUUCCUUUGCCGAAGUAAAUGAAAAUAUGUCCUAAAAUGGAAGAUUAUAUUUUCAUUGGUUAUACACACCACCACAAUGCAUAUCAGUUACUUGUACAUGAAUCAAAGAAUCCUAAAAUUUACAAGAAUAAGAUAUUGGAAUCUAAAAAUACCUCAUUCUUUGACAAUAUAUUCCCUUGUAAAAACUAGGGAAGAUGGGUCAAGUUUAACAAAACGAACUUCAGAAACUAUUGAUAGUUAAGACUUUCAACAAGAAGUUGAAGUCAAGGUAGAACCAGGCAUAAGUAAAAAGGAAAGGGUGGAAAAGUCCUUGGGAUCAGAUUUUCUAACCUAUAUGCUAGAAACUGAACCUCAAACUUAUAGUGAAGCUAUAUGCUCAUCUGAAAACAUUUUUUGGGAAGAUGCUAUCAAUAGUGAAAUUGAUUCUGUCAUGAAAAAUCAUACGUGGGAAUUAAUAGAUCUACCUCAGGGAAUUAAACCACUAAAUUCUAAAUGGGUUUUCAAAUGAAAAAUGAAAGCAUAUGGAACAAUUGAUAAGUACAAGGCCAAAUUGGUUAUAAAAGGUUAUAGACAAAAGGAAGGCAUUGAUUACUUUGAUACAUUUUCUCUUGUAUCAAGAAUAACUUCUAUAAGGGUGAUAUUUGAUAUUGCCGCUUUGCGGAAUCUAGAAGUUCAUCAAAUGGAUGUUAAGAAAACUUUUCUAAAUGGAGAUCUUGAUGAGGAGAUUUACAUAGAACAAACUAAGGGUCUUGUAGCUCUAGGACAAGAAAGAAAAGUCUGUAGAUUGGUAAAAUCUUUGUAUGGACUUAAGCAAGCACCAAAGCAGUGGCAUGAAAAGUUUGACAGUGUUAUGAUAUCAAAUGGAUUUAAAAUUAAUGAGUGUGACAAAUGUGUAUGUCAAAACCAUUGUUGAUGGAUAUGUAAUUCUAUGUUUAUAUGUUGAUGACAUACUCAUUGUUGGAAGUAACAAUAAAAUGGUAAAGCGUACCAAAAACUUGUUAAAUUCAAGAUUUGAUAUAAAAGAUAUGGGACUUGCUGACGUGAUAUUGGGUACCCAAAUCAAAAGGUCAUCUGAAGGGUCUCGUAUUGACUCAAUCACACUACAUAGACAAGAUUCUUGAUAAAUUUGGCAAAGAUGAUUUUGGUGUUGCCAGACUCCGAUAGAUAUAAAUCAACAUCUAUCCGAAAACAAAGGUGAAAGUAUUGACCAAGUAGAAUAUGCAAGAGUCAAAGACAGUCUAAUGAACCUUAUAAGUUGCACUAGACUUAAUAUUGCUUUCACUGUAAGCAACUUAAGUAGAUUCACAAGCAAUCCAGGGGAGAACCACUGGAAAGUGAUUGUGAAGGUACUGAUAUGUCUCAGAUAUACUUAGAACUACAGAUUACAUUAUUCCAGAGAUCCUGCUGUGUUAGAAGGAUUCUCUGGUGCUAGUUGGAUAUCUAAUAUUCAAGAUGCCAAAGGCACAAGUGGUUAUAUUUUCACAUUGGAAGGAGGAGCUGUGUCAUGGAAAUCCUUAAGGCAAACGAUUAUAAUAAGAUCCAUAAUUGAAUUUGAGUUUGUAGCUCUAGACAAAUCUAGAAAAGAGGCAGAAUGACUAUGAAACUUUUUAGAGGAUAUUCCUAAAUGGCCAAGGCUUGUGCCCACAAUAUGCAUAUAUUGUGAUAACCAAGCAACAAUUGGUAGAGCACAGAAUGUAAUGUAUAAUGGUAAGUCGAGACACAUGCGUCAUCGACACAAUACCAUUAGACAAUUAAUCUCAACUAGAGUUAUCUCUAUUGAUUUUGUAAGAUCAAAAGAUAACACUGCUGAUUUGUUAACCAAAGAGGUAAACUGAGAUCAAGUUGAUAAAACAUCGAAAGGAAUGAGACUAAAGCCUAUGAAUAUUUAAGGCGCUAUGUGAAGGAAAACCUAACCUAGUUGACUGGAGAUCCCAAGAUCUAAGUUCAAUAGGAAAACCUACUUGCAUAGACCUUGUGAGGUCACUGUGGGGGUUCUUAUCUUGAGUUCAUUCCUAUGAUGAAAACAAUGAUUAAAAUGUGGAAAAGGUUAACCAAUGCUUUUAAUGACCAUUGUUUGUUUCAGUGAAACAUACAACAUAAGUCACCUAUGUGAGAGUGAAGUGAAUUCGCUUCAAGGAGACUAUUGGGGCAUAAUUCUCUAAGCUCUUGUAGAACCAAGAGGAUGUUCACGGCUAUAUGAACAUACCCAUGAGAACCAAAAAUCUUGCCAGGGAGGUAUUUGUGUGAGGAACAUUAUCGUUUACACAAACGGUAAAACAGUUCAAGGACAUCGCGUCUACUGGUUAGCUGGUAAAGUAAAUAUACUUUCACAAGGGAAGGUUCAAAGGUUGAUGCCUACCUAUCCUAUGCAAAUAUCGAAUGUAGAAUCUAUUACCUCUUUGAGUCUUGUUGAUCCAUCAACUUCAUUUAUGUGGGGGAUUGUUGGAAAAUAAUUAUUGAGUGAUGAAUGAAAAUUAUUGAGUGAUAAAUGAUAAUUGUAUCUCUUGGUUUCUUAUUGCAUUUUCCAUAUAGUUGUAUCAUUUGAAAAAAUGUAUCUCUUGGUUUAAUAUUGAAUUUUUUCAUUAAUUGUCUCUAUUCACUCGUGUAUAUUAAUUUUUCAACAAAUCUCUUCAUUCAUUUCCUCUCCUCUAUAUAAAGCCAAGUUAGGAGAUUUCAAAAACAUAUCAUCAAAACUAUCAAUAUUAAAAUUUCCUUCUAAAUUCAUUUCUCCUGGUAAUAGGGAAAGACAAGAUUGUGUUCGAUUGAUCACUAUUGUUGGGCUACUAUUGUGAUCGUUUGUUGUUGCAUCCUGGGAGACAUACAUCCAACGUUACUCAAAGCACUGAGGAGAGGAUGAAUUUGUCUUAAGAAAACUAUUUAUACAGGCCUCGACAAAUUUCUUCUUCUAAUUUUUAACUUUGUCCGAUUACAGGUAUUCUGUUGUGUUACUGCUACUGCAUUGUAUUGCAUUAUCAUUGUUAUUGACAUAUUAAUACUACAUAUGAUAUGAAAUUUUCUUACAUAGCUCCGCCAGCAAACAUAAAUAUAUAACCUGAUGUUGAUUUACGUGAAUCAACACAACUAGAAAACUCUAAAUUGGAGUAGGCAAUCACCUUCAAAUUGCCUUAUUGUUGGUACGUAAGUAUGUAGUCCUUUGUCCCUUUAAAACAUCUCAAAAUUUUUUUUGUAGCUCUCUAGUGGCCAAUACCUGGAUUACUUUGAUAUCUUCCUGUCGAGACUAUAGAGUAGAAUAUUAAAAAAAAUGGCUUGAUUUUCCAUUGAUUAAGAAGGAAUAUAUAUACACAAAUUGGGCAACAUAUAUAGGAACUAUUCUAAAUUUAGGGGAUUGCAACUAAUUACAAUAUAGAGAACAUCUUUUGGAAUUAAUUCUCUAAUAUGCCCCCUUAAGAUAUAGCUUCGGAGGAGACACCAAUCUUGGCCUUUAAUUCUUGGAAGUGUUUUUGUGCAAGCGGUUUGGUAAGAGCAUCAACAAGUUGAUCUUUUUAAGAUUCUAUAGAGAAAAGGAUGGAGCAAGGUUUCUGGUUCCAUUCUGAACAAGAGCAUUAAAGUCAUCAGUCAUAGCUUGUGUCUGAGAUCUUUUAAGGCUUGGUUAACAGUAUGAGGCUCAACGUUUGAUCAUUGAGGAAGGAUAGCAGUGAGAGUCAUAUUGGUUAGGGGUUUGUGGAUGUUGUUUUUUGCUCUAGUGGUCACGGGAUAAGUAUUUUUGAUGGGUGGGUUGAGUUGUGGUUGAAGUAGAGUUAGUUUUAGAAUUGUGUAGUUCAAGCUAUAAACUUUUAAUUAAACUAUGUCCAAGUAAGAGAGAUUUGAGGACUGGGGUGAGUAAUCGAUUGGUAAGGGGGGUUGGGAAACCGUUUGGGCAUGUAGUGAUGAAUGUUGACAUGAGGAAUCCUUUUGUGGAGAUGUAUUGAGUGAGCUACGUGAAAUGGGGAGAAUUUGGAUUAAGGGAAGCCAUUUGGAAAUAAUCUCUGGAGUGUUACAAGAUAGAUGUGACUGGUGAGUAGUAAAGGGAAAGGAGUUUUCAAGAAAUUUGACAUGAUGAGAAAUAUAUGUUUUAAAAGUGGGCAGGUUAAGACAGAUAUAGACACUUUGUGUGGAAGAGUAACCAAGAAAAACACAAGGUAUGGAACGAGAGUUAAGUUUAUGUUGAGAAUAAGGAUGAAGCCACAGAUAACAUAAGCAGUCGAACACCCAAAGUUUAGUGUAGUUGGGUGGAGACCCAAAGAUUUUUUCANNNNNNNNNNNNNNNNNNNNNNNNNNNNNNNNNNNNNNNNNNNNNNNNNNNNNNNNNNNNNNNNNNNNNNNNNNNNNNNNNNNNNACUUAAGGAUCUUGUUUCUUAGGCAAUUUAGUAUUUCAUAUUAUGUUUUCAGUAUUGAGUACUUAGGAUUAAAUAUUAGUAAAAUAAGUGUUUUAGACACAUUUUGUGAAUGUUGUGACCUAUUAGGCUGACACGGGCCUUAGGUAGUGGUAAUAUGUUAAAUUGAGUGUGUAGGAUUGAUCUAUUGUAAUUUGGUGUAGUAGAUUAAACUAGUUUUAAUACUUAAGGAGCUUAAAUAUGAAAAGUUUCAUUAUGUUUUAGUUAGUUUUCUUAUUGUAGUUUGAAUUCAAUAAAAAGUGUAAAAUGAGUCUUUUUAUGACCUUUGGGGUCGAAUGAGACCUAAAGGUGAGCUAACGUACUUAGUGAGUGUGUAGGACACCAUUAAAAGGAAUAGGAACUUAAGGGAAAUUCAAUGUCGCAACAUAGAGAGCAGAAUACAAGAAUUACAAGACUGCCUUUGGUGUCACAACAUAGCCAUAGGAUGUCACGACACGCCCCUGAAUCUAAACUUGAACUAGAGUACACUGCCUUCAAUGUCACGGCACAGGCACUGAGUGUCACAACACCGACUUUGCAUGAGAAGAAUUAAGAGCGAGGGGCAUUUUAGUCCGCACAAUGAAAAUUAACACAAAAACGUCAGCCAACCUAGGAUUAAUGAUGAUGACAGAUCCUAACUCUAUAAAUAGGCUCAGUUAACACUUGUUUAGGGACAAUUUUUACAGUUUAGAAUUAUCUUUGUAAUUUUAGUUUUAGUUUUCUUUUCUUUUGGCUUUAGAUUUCUUUUUAUUUAUUUACGUUCGUGUUCUUCAGAUAACUUGAUUUGUAGACCCAAUCAAACUAUUGUGGAUUUUUACGCUUUCAUCAGUCAAAUACAAUCAGGAUUCUCUUAACCUUUAUUCUUGGUUUAUUCUUUAUACAUAUCUUAUUUAUCAAGUUUAUUGUGUUUAUGGAUUCCAUGAGGAACUAAUCCUCUUAUGGGACGUUAGUUAGUGGAGGUGUGAUUAACUAAUUACUAUGUAGGGUUCUUUUAGCGGAUUAGUUUUUUAGGAGAGGAAGAAAUUAAACCAUAGGCUUGACGACUCUAAGAAGUCAGUUAGGUGGGAAUUAACUCAAAAUUGGUAUGGCCUAUCUGUGAACACCUUAGCCCCGAAUCGGUCUAGACUGUGAAGUCGAGAGAUAAGUAGUCUUUCCCAACUCAUUUGUUUAGUGGAAGAUCGAGAGAUCCUGUUAGGGUAAUGACUAGUUGAUUGAAUAGAAACCUAAAAUAGGAAUUAGUUAAGAUCACUGAAAUGAGCUAAUUACCCAUGCAUAGAUUUGAUUAAGUUUAGGUUUCAGUUAUUUGAAGUUCACUUUAUUUAUGCCAUUUUUAUUUAUUUAUUUUUAAAAACCUUAAAAUCUCUUCUUUAUGUUUUCUCGCAAUAUAAUUUAUGUAAAGUACUAAUUAAUUCUAUUUGUGUUUAGGUUAACUUUAAUUUAGUACUCGUCUCCCUUGGGUACGAUCCUUAGAGUACUCACCUACUUUGUUGUAAAAAAUCUAUUACAACCUGACUCGUAUACUUAUGGACCCCACCUCAAUAUUAUAUCUUUAGUUGCAAUAUUCACACUCUAGACGUUAGUACAUCCAGAGGCGAUCAAGUUGGCGUCGUUGUUAGGGAGGCAAAACUACUAGAUUAAUUUUAAUUUUUGUGUUUUUAUAGAAUAAUUAAGAAAUUUAUAAAUUAUAUAUACAAUUUUUUCACUUUAUUUUCUGUAGCGCCCUAUUCCUAACCCUUAAGGAGGAUCUAGGAAUAGCGUGUUAUAGCCUUAAAGUCUUUUCCUUACAGAAAUGUAUUUGGCGGAACCUUAGGUUUUACAAAAAUAGUUAGGUAUAUGCUAUAGCAGUAAUAUAUAAAACAUUUAAGCUUAAGGACCCAAACACUUUUAAAACAUAAAACUUCAUUGUAAAUAUUUAAAGAAAGAGAACAGUUUGGCGAACACAAAUUUUAGUUACAAAAUAUUGUUCUUCAAAUUUCAAGCAUUGACACCACCCUCAUUUGUCAUAUGCAUAAUACAAAAUCACUAGAAGCCUCACACAAAAUGUAUCCUCUGGCAUAGUCCUUGAAGGUUCCUUUUAUUUCUUCGGUGGUCAUGAGAAGGGAAGAUAAACGGAUUAAGUUCAUAGAACUUAGUGAGUUAUAGAGUGACCAUUAGGAUAUCUAUACGUCACAGAGAUAGAAGGACUCUUUCCAACUCAGUGGAUCAUACAGUUCACCCAUUGGUGAAUUCACCACACAAAUUGACUUCAUGUAGCUCGCCUAUUGGUGAAUACUGAACUUACACAAACUUUAAUAGAAUAGGACUCAUUUUGGUGCAUACAUUGCGUCCAUGUAUUCAUGCAGACAACCUCCAUCGUGCUAGCCAAAAACCCUAAUAUAUGUUUAGAGAUCGUAUCGUUUGUUCAUUGCUUUUUCCUCUGUUAUGCUUUGCCAAUUUGGUUUGCAUUACACUCUCCCUACUAGAGGCUACAUAACAUCAUUCAUGUAUUUCGAUCUGUCGGUUCAAUGCUUUUUGCAAUGAAGGUAAUACCAUGAAUUCAUUUCUUUUGUUUUGGCCAUAUGGUUCCUUUUUCAGAGUAAGGUGGGUAAUGACUCAGAACGAAGUAAGGCCCUUUCAUUUCUUGCAUAGACAUGCAAAGCCAGACUUUUCACCAGACAUGUAAACUUACCUUGAACGAGGCAUGUACAACACACACAUUGGGUAUGAAGGAACUCGCCAGAAGGUGUAGUAGAGACUAAACAAUAGGUCCCUUGCCCUUUUCUUGAGAGCCUUUAGGAGUUUCUUGAGCUAUAACAUAAAUAGUUAACUUAUUAGACCAUGUUUUCUGAAGAACUAAACAAACUUUCAAGAACACUUAAUUAAGAAACCCGAAUCUAAAAGUUUCCUUCCUUUAAUCUUUAGUCUGUCUGUAAUGUAUGAAACCCUAGGAUCUUAUAAAUAAUAACAAAAAUAGCUAUAUUUUCAUCAUUAUUUACCAGGUUUUACGAUGCUUAAGUUAGUUGAUUACAAUGAGUUCUAAUCCUUCAAACAGGCCUUGGCUCUAACGCUUUCCCGAAAAAUGCAGAGAAAAUUUUGAAAGGAAGUAUGAAUUGCCAGAGAAAGUAUAGAAAUUGCUUAGGAAGCUAAGGUUGGCUUAUAUAGGUGCACAAGAAAAGGAAAACUUAGUGGACAAGCUUAUUUCCCUCCGCUAACUUUCUUUUGGUACCUGUGACUAAUAGUUUUCUCUUUCAUCUUAAAUGCAUGUCCUUUCAUUUUCAGAAACUUUGUCCAAUCCUGACUAGUGCUCAUUAGGCCACCUAAAUAGUUUAAGCAAAUAAUAAAAUAACAAUAUAUUUAUCGUUCCUACUAGAUUAGGGAUUUAACAAUAGGACUUACUAUUUUCAUCUAGUCGCUGGGGCAAUGAAUACUUUAUCGAAGAGUCUAGCAAACCUCAACGCUCUCCUUAAUCAGGGCUUUGUCCAAGGGCGUAUUCGUAGACCUUAAGUACCUAAUAAAUUUGUAAUCAUUUUCUUACUCGGGGGCCACAUUAUAAGCAUAAGUUCAAUUAACAUGACUCAGGUACUACACUUCGUCGGGCGAGAUGUUACAACUCUCCCCCGCUUAGGAAAUUUCGUACUCGAAAUUCAUACCUGAAAACAAUUAUAGAUAUUGUUCUUUCAUUAUGCUCUCCCUUUCCCAAGUGACUUCCUUAGUUUUAUGAUUCCUCCAUAGUACCUUUACUAAGGGAAUUCUCUUAUUCCUCAGCAUUUUAAUUUCCUUGGAUAAAAUACGGAUUGGCUCUUCCUCAUAAGAUAGGUUUGGUUCAAUCUCAAGCUAUUCAAUUUGUACCAUGUGCUCAGGGUUGGAUCUAUUCCUUUGCAACACUAACACGUGGAAGGCGUUAUGAAUCUUAGAUAGUUUAGGAGGCAAAGAUAAUUUAUAUGCCACUGGAUCACAUCUUUCCAGAAUUUCAUAAGGUCCCACAAAUCUUGGGCUUAGCUUUCCUUUUUGGCCAAAUCAUAUAAUCCUUUUCCAAGGGGAUACCUUUUUAUAAUAUUGAUUGUUUUUCCCUCUUUUCAGAAACAUAGUGAAUUCUUCUUCACUAUUUACUAUCUCUAACAAAACCUUUCACUAUUCAUUCUGCAAUGCCCUAAAAUUUUGAGAAUUUAAUUGUGAGAAUCUGCAGUAAUUAAUUUCUAUAUCUGUGGCUCUGUGUUCUGCUAUCGUGUUUAAGGUCUGGAGUUGGAGCCGCAUCGUUAAAAGUUUUAUUAUUUUUAAAACAACCCCUAUCCAUGCGUUACAAGUUAAGUGCAAUUCUGUGUGAAUCUAUGUCAGGAAUGAGCCUGUUGGUUCACUGGUUAAGCAUCUGUAUUCUAUAUGGUCCCGAGUUCGAAUCCCAUCAUAUGCAUUAGGAAAUAUUUUUCUUGUUGUCGGAAAACUUGCUGGUGGUUAAGACAAUAUGUUUCAAAUGUUCUUUUUCUUUUUCUUUUCCUCUUACGAUUUUCUUCCUUCCCUUUUAUUUUCUUUUUCCUCUUCUUUUGCUUUUGUUUUUUUAUAUAUCGUUAGAGCUCUGUUGAUGAUAGUUAGACUCUCAUUCUGAUUUGUUGUACGAGUUAGGUAAGUACAUCUUUUGUGAUAUCAAUUGUAGUAAUUCGUUAAGAGUUCUAAGAACGACGGUGUCAUAUUAUUGGUUGUUUGCGUUAAAGAAUGAUUUCGCAUUGUUAAACGAUAUUGGUUCCUUAUUUUAGGAAUAGGUGUUGGAAGUAGUGAAUCUUGGCAGGAUAAUUUGAGUAGUCACAAGUAAUCUUUCGGUAGGUGACAAUUUUGUUGAAGGUUUUGUGUCGACAUAAGUUUUUGUGUUUAAUUAUGCUUCAUUGGCGUUAAGGUCGGUUGAUUAAACGAUUGGAUGGUUGUUUUAGGUUUCAGGGACUCUCUAUAUUCGUAUUACUUCAAAAUCUCUUCAGGUGCGUAUUGAAAACCUUAAAUUCUGUGAUUUUCGGACGCCAAAAAAUGUGGCAGUCAAUGCCACACGGCUAGCUACAUGGGCGUGUGCCAGGCCAUGUGGGUGGCCGUGUAACUCACUGUUCAUUGAUUUGGAGCCAUACAAGUAAGGCACAUGGGAAUGUGUCAAGGCCGUAUGUGGCAUGUUAGUGUAGGGUUCACACGGGCAAGGACACGAACGUGUGUCUAAGCCGUGUAACUCUCUAUUUGUGACUUAGGGCCACACAGCCAGGGACACGGACCCGUGUCCAGGCCGUGUAACUUACUGUUUAUGUUUUAGAACCACAUGGGCAGAGGACAUGGGCACGUGCCCAGGCCGUGUGAGUCACACGGUCAAGGACAUGGGCGUGUUUCUAGGCCGUGUGGCAUAUAAAUAUGGUCUGAAUCUUGUUUUUGAGGCCAUGAGUGUUGCCCAACACUAAUAUUGACCUCCCCAAUGUGUGAAUGAUCUAAAUUUUUUUGUCUGAGAACUUUUUGAUGCUCUAUAACUGACAUAUGAAUAACAUAAUUGUGUAUGUACUAUGAUAGUUAUUUUUGAUAUUGAACUGUUCUAUCUAAUCGUGAAAUAAUUUAGAAAGACUGGACACAUAUUGUGUAUAUUUGUACUUUGCAUUUGCAUGGGUUAGGAUAUUGUGUAGAAGGAAGUAAUAUGCUCUGAAUUAGUGGUUAAGCCACAAUGCGUAUAAUUUUGAAUUUGGCGAUUUGUCGUAUUUUGAUCUAGCAGGUAAGCUGCGCCUCUGUAAACGUGUCAGACAUACACUCUAUGGUGUGUAGUGUUGGUUGGGCAUUGAACACCCUUAAUGGUGUGUUAGGAUGGCUAAAGACGGUGUGUAGAGGAUGGGGUUAGUAAUAUUUGCAUCCGAAUCUGAGCUGUUCUGUAUGUGAAAUUGAAAUUGCUUCUGCAUAUGCAACUGAUCUGUUCUGAAUCUGAAUUGAAAUUUUUUUCUAUUACUAAAACGAAUCUUGGGAUUCGAGAACUAUUUGAUAAAUUGUUCUAAUUGAAUGAACGUCUUUUAUGAACUGAGUUCACAACUCAUUUUUUUUUAUUGGAUUUCAAGUGGUUUUCAGACUUGAAUGGGUCGGCACCGCGAGAGUUCGGUCAAGCUUUUAUCUUUUCUUUAAAUACUACUAUUAGGGGUUUUGGUAUUCUAUGAUAUUAUGAUGUUUGAGAAGAUUCUAUACUUAGUUAAUCGUGGUGUUUAUAUUUUGUGCUGAAUGGUUAUUUUGACUACGUUAUAAAUGCGGUAUGUUUAAUGUUGAUGAUGUAACCCUCUGGACUUGGUUUGGACGUCUAGGCCGAUUUUAGGGUGUUACACAUUCUUAAUAAUUAAUACAAUUGUAACUAAGAAUUAAUUACAUUAUUCUUACUAAUUAUUAGUUUUGUAACUCCUAUUCUUGAAACAUUAUAAAUAGGAGUCUUUCAUAAUAGGUGAAAGGACUUUUAGUACUUUUGGCAUUUUCAUCAUUUUGAACUCUCAAAGUGUUCUCUUUGAAAUUCUCUUAACUUACUUCUUUGUUAAGCGCGAUCGGCAGCCAUAUUUCCUUUUUCCACUUUACUGACUAUCACCUACUGCUGCUAUUAGUGCAAUCGGAUCUUCUCCAGUCUUUCUUUUUGCCUUCUUUUAGUAUAUCUCUUUCACUUGUUUGCAGUGCUUCCUCUCUCUAUCAAAAGAAUCCUCUACACCUAUUUAUACCAAAAUCUUCUAACACCUAUUGGACCACAUUCCUAAUCAUCAUUGGUUAUCUACACUGGCCAAACCCCAUUAGUCGAAAAGAGGUUGUUUAACAUGAAUAGGGGUGCUCUAACACCCAUAGGUGUAGUGCCCCAGGUAUGCUGUGAGGUGGUUAAAUCCCCACACACUCAAUUCAGGCAUCCAGGUAGGUAAUCAUCUACCUGGCGUAUCUAAAAGACCCAUUAGGGAUGACAAGAUGUUGUCGGCACCUCGUCUAGUGGCCACGCAACUGGCUUGCCUGUCUGUUACCUUGUCUUGAGCAUAUUCACACCUACCUAGUUCAGAUGACCGUGAAUGUUGUUUAAUUAGGCCCUUGGCUUCCAAGAGUAAUUCCUUGACUCUGGUAACUUGCAUGCUCCUUGAGAAUGUCCAAAACUUAUUUAUCAAAAGAUUCCCGAGCUGCGGGUUUAGUGUUUCUUUGACAAUCUUCCUUGUCCAAUUGCUCCCUUGUAGAUCAUUCCAAACACCUCAAUCUCUUAGGCCAUGACAAGCUCCUUUAGCUUUAGUGAGUAAGAACUCACUCCAGUGUGAAGAUGUUUUUACAAAUAUAGCCCCACUUGUUUUUCUUUUUCAAUCUUUCCUUUAUUUUAUUGGAUUUAAAGGUAGAUAAUGAUCAGGUAAUUUGUUUCCCUAAUGCUUUUAUCAAAACAAAAUAUAGUUUAACUAUUUUUGAAUACAAAGUGAACACACGAACCUAUCCUAUGAACACCUAAUCCAAAUAGAUUUGUCAAUUGGUUGAGUUUGGUUAGUUUUGGUGUGAGUCAAUUAAUUAGAUCGAGUUUAUUUGGUUCUAAAGCUUUUAGGCCAAUUCAGGUUUGGAUAUAAGCUUGCCUCCAAGUUAAACUUGUUGUAUGGCAUUAAGUUACCUACAUGCAAGAAUCUGGAAGUUAGACCUAUCAAUUUGAGGUGGUAGUUGUUUUUUUAUAAGGAUGAAAAUAUAUGUUGCCAUUCUAAGUUACUUGUUAGUUGAAGUACAAAAUUGUAAAUGGAAGUGUGUUAUUGUAGCGAUUAGUAUGGUUUAACACUGCGAAAAACUGUGCAAACAAAACUAUAUAACACCAAGGAUUCCACUAUCUUUGAUUGAAAAUAUAACAAGUGAUUCACACUCUAUCACUCCUCAAGUAUAGAGAUCUCACCUUUCUACCUAAAGACUAGAGCACUUACCUCUAAAUUCUCAGCAAACACUCAAGAAUGUUUACAAUAACAGUUUGCACUCUCUCAUAAAACAAUUCCUCAAUGAACAUAUUAAAAUGCUCUCAAUAAGCUCUUAUAAAAAACCAAUACAAGCCUUCAAAUAUAUAUAAAUUUUGGCUACCUAACAUAGAAUCUAAGUGAGUAUAAAGUAACUCCGUAACCUCCUUAACCCAACCCAGAAGUUAUUGUUGGAUUCUGAAGGCCAUAUUGGCCACUGAAAUGACGCAAUAAAAAAAAUGACCAGAUUCUCAGAAACUUCCUUUUUAAAUCAUUUGCCUAUUUUAUUUCAAAAAAAUUGUAGUGGGCUUAUCUUAUUUUUAUUAUUCUUUUUUUUAUUUAUUAAAAAAACAUUUUUACAUGCUUAUAAUCACCAAUGUGUAGGUUCGUCCAAUUAUCUAACUUAACUAGUUUUAAUGAUAUUGCAUGCAAAAUACCAAAAUAACCCAGAAUAUCAAACGCAUACCAAAUUCUAUAUAAAAAUUAUUACAGUCCCAAAUAGUGAUAAAAAUUAUAAUAUUAAACUGAAAAAAUGAGACGAGACCUCCGAAUGCCGAGUUCAGGUCCUAACCUGUCAGGUAACCUAUAAGAUAGUUAUAGGGUUUGGGAAGCAAAAAUAAGCUGAAAAUAAAGAUAUGAGAGGGGAGGGAAUCGAAAUCUAAUCUCAAGGAUAAUUUCACUAACACUUAAUCAUUCGACUAGUAGCUCAUUUUCAUUUUAUGCUAACAAACACACAUAAGAUAACAUUAUAAAAUCGGGGCGUGACGACUCUCCCCUCCUUAGAAGAAAUUUGUCCUCAAAAUUUCCUGCUGAUAUACUAGUCACUUAGCCACAAAGUCUGUUAUCCUUCUUUUCAACCCAAACCAACACUUUUUCACUGCACAACUUUGAUUCCAACGUAAUUCUAGGCAAAACUUCACCCUGAACUUCUACGAACAUCUCUUAAAGAACUAAUUACAGAAACAUCACUAAUAGAUUCCUCCACCCCAAAUUCCCAGUUUUAACAGAAACAUUAUUAACAUCAAACAAUUGAGUAAAACCAAUAUUAAUCAAUACAAAGUACAAAUUUUGAAUGGAUCAUAAAAUUACCUGCAUUGAUAUUGGAUACGUCUCGGUCCUCUCAAUGCCUAGCUCCAUAAAUCAGUGUCGGCUAUCUAGCUCGAUUUUGAUCGGACCCCUCAAAAAUAACUUUCUAGCUUUCUGAUUUUGAAUCUGAUUCUAAGCUUGCAUCUGACCAGGAGGAUGACGUGGACAAUCUUUUAUUUGAUGCUCGACAGACUCACAUCUGAAACAUACACCAAUCUUUUUGUAACACUCACCUAGAUGUCGCUUAUCACAAUAUCUAAAAACCUGAAUCCUUAUUAAUCUAAUAGAACCUCCAGUAUUAGCUCCUACAUUAAAUUGUUGUGGUUUCCCUUCUCUAGACUAUAUCAAGGGUCGUAAAUAUAAGCCAGUAGGUCAUGAAUCCCUCUCAUGUUGAACUCUAUUCUUUUCCCUUUCCUCACUUUCCCAGUGCUUAGUCUUCUCAAUAAUCUUGGUUUUCUCAACCGAGGCCUCAAACACUCUUUCCUGAUGCAGGGCCACUUGGAUUUUCAAGUCAUAUCUCAGCCGAUCUUCAAACUGUAGGUUCUUGUCCUUCUCAGUCAUCAGCAUACCCAGAGCAUAACAGCUCAAUCUAAAAAACUUAGCCUUAUAUUUGGCUAUUGACAUGUCUUAUUGCUUAAGUUCUUUAAAUUCAAACCGACGGGCCUUGACAUAUGAAGUAUCCACAUAUUUCUUUUGAAAGGCCUACUAAAAGUAGGUACAAGUUAUAUGAUGAGCCUGUAUACCUCUAACCAGUGAUUACCACCAACGAUAGGCUUCGACCCUUAGAAAGGGCACAGUACCUUUAACCUUCUAUUUUGGAGUGCAGUCCAUAUCCUCUAGAAUCUUUUUAGUGGUCUCUAUCCAAUAUUCUACCACUAUAGGGCUUGUUCAAGAAGACCCCUAAAUAAUUCGGCCUUAUUAGAUCGUAGCCUCUCAGUAAUAAGCCCACUGUUUCCAGUCCUAGUCUGGGCUUUUUUCCAGCAACCCUUUGUAAAACGCUUAACAUGGCUUGGGUCACAGCCUCAUCCCAAGACUCUUGAUUUUCACCUUCAGCGAUAAGCGCAUCAACGGUGUUGUUUGUCUUUAGGUCAGGCAUACAUCCUAAAGAAGAAAAUGACUCAACUUUAGCCACUUGACAUCGCCCUUCACGGGUUCGCAUACCACGAGCUCGUGUACCACUAUAUUCAUAGCUGAUUAUACGGUCUUAAGUUUUAUCUACAGUUUGAGAAAGAUACAAACUCUAAUUAAUUCUUGAAAGUUUUCAGUUCUAAUGUUUACAUUUUUAAGCAACACAAUCCUUAGUGUUUGUAUAUAAUUUCACGCGUACUAUGAGGUCCGACAUUCAUUUUUUAAAAUAACACUGUCUUUUUUCCAAAUAUUAUGGCAUGUUUUUUUCCAGAAUACCACUUUUCAAAAUCAUGCAAGCAAACUCAUUUAAAACCUCAGGCUGAGUUUAUGAACCAAGCUUUGAUACCACCAAAUAUAACCUCCCUAACCCGACCCGAAAGUUAUUGCCAAAUCCUAAAGGCCACAUUGGCCACUGAAAUGGCUCAAUAAAAAAAUCAGAUUCUAAGAAACUUCCAUUUUAAAUCAUUUACCUAUUUUAUUUCGAAAAAACUAUAGUGAACUUCUCUUAGUUUUAUUUUUCUCCUUUUUAUUAAAAAAAUUCUUACAUGCUUAUAAUCACAAAUUUGUAGGUUCGUGCAAUUAUUUAACUUAACCAUUUUUAACGAUAUUGCAUGCAAAAUACAAAAAUAACCCAUAAUAUCGAACCCAUACCACAAUCUGUUUAAAAAUUAUUACAGUCCCGAAUAGUGAUAAAAAUUAUAAUAUUAAACUGAGAAACUGAUACAAGACCUUCGAAUGUAGAGUCCAAGUCCUAACCUCUUAGGUUACCUAUAAGAUAGUAAACUAAGGGAAUAAGCUAUAAAGCUAAGUGUGAGUUUUAAUCAUAAGAAAUCAGUGUACCAUAGAUCCCAAAAGCAUGCAAGUAAACAGAGAGAAUAUCUUAACAGUGUCAUAGAUCAUAGUGUUUCAGAAUAUACAGAAUCACAGAGUUUUCAUCAUUUAUGAACAUGUCCCUGAAUGUCAAUGUAGUUUCCAACCCAUCAAUCAGCUCAUUUUGUAUAAACCACUAGUAACAGUAAAUAUUUACAAAUAAACUACCAGUAAUUUACGGUUAAACCACUAGUAAAAAGUUAGUAGACAGACCGCUAGAACUUCAAACAAUACUCUAGUGUUGCGGCUAUAUCGCUAGAACUCUAAUAUUUGUGGAUAAACCACUAGAACUCCCAUAUUUAUGGAUAAACCACCGGAACUACUCUGUCACCAAUCUUCCCAAUCCCAUGCAACAGGAUGGCAUAACAUGCAUGAAAGAAUCGGAUACAAUACAAAAUAGUGGCAUGUAUUAACCUGCUAUCAGUAACUCAGUAACAGUGGCAUACUUUACAUGCGAUCAGUAAAUACAAAGCAAUAGGCAUGCUCUCAUGCAUUCAGUAAAACAAGUAAUAAAAAUACGAUAUCCUAGAUUAGCAGUUUAUACUUAUUCAAUCGUAGCAGACAACCCUUAGGCACAAUCGGGCAAUCAUAGAAGUAAGCACAAGUCACAUUCAGCUGUUAGGGAUAAGGGCACAUAUGUAUUUAAUUUACAUAGUCAAGGCUCGUGACAUUUGAUUUCCACAAUUUAGGGUUCAUGGCAUUUGGUUAAUCUUAACUUGGUGAUGCAGUCGUUGAAAGCACCAAAAAUAUCCUAUCCCUAAUAAAUAAUGAAAAAGAAUAGUAAAAGGGAAGUAGGGUCAAAUCCUCAGGGACUGGACUUGCAAAAUAUCUUGUUCCGUAAAAUCCCAGGCAGAGUCUUGCCCAAGACAACUUGCGUGCCUGAAAAAAAUAAAAUAAAAAAAUAACAGAAUUAAAUGUUUGGAUUUGAAAACGAAAAAUAAAAUAAAAACAAAUUUAAGAAUAUUGAAUCGAAAAUUAGAGAAAUUAAAAAUAGAAUUGAGAGAAAGAAAAUUCUUAUGGGAGAUUCCAGCCUCCAAUUGUCUCGUUCCACCUUGGGUUCAAUCCUCAGCUUUUAGAUGAUCCUUCCCAAACCGAAUAAGCCAGUUAUAGUGGAAGAGGACGCCUACGACCACCAGCUCCAAGGAUUUAGACUUACGAUGUGGUGGAACCUGACUCUAGCCAAGAAUCGCUUCUGUGGGAUCGUCUUAUGCUAGAUCAACGCUUCUCAAUGGCAAAUCCCACGCCAUUUUGUCUCUUGGGCUCGCCAACCUCUGACGCAGUAAGCUAACGAACCGACUGUGCAACCUUCCCAAAACAUACAAAGCGGCCGCCUUUGCAUACGUUGAAAAGCUUACUUCUUAAGGGACAUGGACGAAAGCGUCAACCCCGUAGUGCAGAGAAACGAUGAAUACUCAGCGAGGAGGCUAAUUAUGAAUUCUAAGCCUCAUGAACUCUUUUGGAGAUUUUUGACAACCUUCGGCUAGAUGAGUUUAGUGGCUCAUGGUUGUGGUACAAAAGAAAAUAAAUAAAAAAAUAAAGAUUUUAUUAAAAAUAAAUAUGAGAAGAACAAAAGGCUAAACUUUUGGGGAGAGAGUGUUUUCAGAAAAAUAUCUGGGAUCCCCUUUUGAGUCACUUCACCCCCUAUUUAUAGUGCUAGGGGGGAUAGUCUAAUCCUGCUUAAAUUCCUAAAAGAUAAAUACAUUUAAUUGAAGAUAAAUAAAGAUAAAAUAAAAUCCUAAAAAUAAUCCUUAAUAAUUAUCUCAAUAUUAAUUAUCCUAAUAUAAUUAAAAUAGAGUUUAAUAGAAUAAAAUCUCUUCUUUUUGCAUUUCAACCCUUGUGUCCUCCAUGCUUGCACUUUUGGCACCAACUUUUCCUUGUGUCACACAUUGGCCCAUUUUAUCUCUAAAUUCACGCUUUUGGCCCUUAAUUUUGCUUUUGCCUCAAAUUUAGUCCCUAUGAGAUAAAAGAUCAUAAAUAGCUCAAAUUAGCAGGAUCAUACUCAGAAUAAAUACAUAAUUAAUACAUAAAAAUACGUUAUUCUAGAGUGUUAUCACUUGGUAACAUACACAAUCGGUUAAGUCUUAUAAUAUUCACCAUACAAUCGGCCACCCACAUACACUUACUUGACAUUCAGCCAUAGCACAAGAAGACAUACAUAUUCGAACAACUUGCAAAACAUAUGCAUACAUAUUCAACCAACUUACAAAACAAAUACACACAUUCGACCAUGGUAUAAGGGUUACACACACACACACACACUCCAAUCACAAAUUUUUAGGACACAUACCUCAAUACACGUCCACAAAGCACUGUCAAUUGUUCGAAGCACCACUACGAUUCGGAUCUGAAACUUGGAUAUGAAAUACACACAAAACAAAAAAAAUAAGAUUUGGUGAAAUACCAUAAUAAGAUUUGACCAACACAAGGAAAAAGAAAUCAAAUACGAGAUUGGAUUUGAUUUUAAUAUCAACUUACUCUUCCACCAAAUUGUAGAUCUGAGAUGACAAUUGAUCAAAGAAUUCAAAUGUCCACCAACAAAAACAUUAAAUAAGCUUCGACCAAAUGCAAAUUGUGAUUUCGACAACAAUAAUAAUGAAAGAAUAUGAGGGAAAAAAUGAUGCGACAAUGGUGAGAAAAAAUCAACAGAGAUUUGACCACAAAUAGGGCAAAGUAGAAGAAAAAAUAGAGAGAAAAGAGAUGAACUGAGUGCAACAAAAAUUCGAUAGCAAUGGUGAAAAGAAGAGGUGACUCAAAUAAAAGUAAAACUCGGGUUUAGGGAUAGAAGAACAGAGAAAAAAAAGAUAAAAUUAAAUAUGGGAGAAAUAGGGAAGAGGGGUGGCAACAAGAAUGAGCAAAUAAGGAAGAAAAGAAAGGCUAAACAGGAAAAAGAAAAUAUAUACUAGGGUUUUAAUAGGCUUAUGCACGACACACUCUAGGGUUUGGGAAGCAAAAUUAAGCUGAAAAUAAAGAUACGUGAGGGGAGGGAAUCGAACUCAAGUCUUAAGGAUAAUUUCACUAACACUUAACUAUUAGGCCAAUAACUCAUUUUAUGCUAACAAACACACAUAAGAUAAAAUUAAAAAAUCAGGGCGUGACAAACUCCUUAAAAAUAGUUAUUACCAUAUCAACAUUCAAAGCACAAUUAAUCAAAGAUAUUCUCUCCAAAAUCAACAAUGCAAUUUCGAUCAAAUCUCCACAUUCUAAGUGUUGAAGUUGACUCCUAUUUCAGUCAAAUUUGAGAAAUAAUAUUUCAGUUAAACUCUGUUUAUUUGUUUCAAUCAAACUCUGAUUAGUCUAGAUUAUUUUAUUAUUAUUUGACCUAUGAAUUUAGCUUCACUACACCAAAACAGGCUUUUAGCGGCGCUUUUAGUGGCGCUUGGAUAAAAAACGCCACUAAAAAUCGAGCAUUAGCGGCGCUUUACAGAAAACGUAGCUAAAGAUUGAGCAUUAGCGGGGCUAAAAAAAAGAAUUAGCGACGUUUUUGAGAAAAUGCCACAAAAAACCUAAGCCCAAUGACAUCGUUUUUUGACCUUUCGGGGCUUUAGCGGCGUUUUUGGAGAAGCGCCGCUAAUGCUCUGGGCUUUAGCGGCGUUUUUGGAGAAGCGCCGCUAAUGCUCAGGGCUUUAGCGGCGUUUUUGGAAAAGCGCCGCAAAAACAUUUUAUCUGUCUAAUUACUAUUUAAAUUGUUUAUUUAUAUUAAUUAAAAUUUAAUUUAUUUUUAAUUGAAUGUUUGUUAAAAAUGGAAAAAUUAAAAUAUUAUUAUUUAAAAUAAUUUUAAAAUUUUUGGAUACAUGACUGAUUGAUUUUUAAUUUAUAUAUUAAAUAAUUUCAUAUAUAAUUGUAAAAGAUACGAUAGUAUUAAUUUUAAAAUAUUUAAUUAAUUAUCAUUAUAGUUUAGGGUUUAAUAUAUAUGGUUUAGGGUAUAUGGUUAAUUUAGGAUUUAAGGCCGGUUUAGGAGUUACAAUUUUAAUGUUUAUAUAUUAUGGAAUUAGGGAUUAUGGAUUAGAGGUUCUGGUUUAAGGGUUGUGAUUUAGGGGUUAGGGUUAGAGAUUAAGAGUUACAGAUUUAAGGUUUAUGGAUUCAGUGUCAGGUUAGGAUAUAAGCUUUAGAUUAAUUAGUGUGGUUUAAUUUAUAUUAAAUAAGGUUUAGGGUUAGGGGUAGGGAUUCGAGUUAUGGUUUAUGGUUUAGAUUAAUUAGUGUUUUUUAAUUUAUAUAUUAAAUAAGGUUUAGGGGUUAGUAGUUAGGGGUUAGGGGUUUAUAGUUAGGGGUUAGAGCUUAGAGGUUAAGAGUUAGUGAUUUAGGGUUUAGAGAUUCGGGGCUGGGUUAAGGUUUUGUUUAGAUUAAUUAGUAUUUUUUAAUUUAUAUAUUAAUUAAGUUCUUAUAUAACUGUCAAAGAGGGGUUAGGGGUUUUAGGGUUUAUGUUUUAUGAUUUAGGGCUUAAGAGAUAGGGGUUAAGGGUUUAGGGUUUAGAUUAAUCGAUGUUUUUUAAUUUAUAUAUUAAAUAAUUUCUUAUAUAAUUAUAAAAAAGAUAAUAUUAAUUUUAAUAUAUUAAAAUUAGGAUUAUAGUUUAAAUUAUUUAAGAGAUAAUAGAUCAAUUUUAUAUAUAUUAAAUGGUUUAGGAUUUAAGGUUUACUUUAGAUUUGUUAAAUGAUGAAAUUUUAUACAAUUAAUUAAUGUUUUUAUAUUUAAAAAUAUUUAAUCUAAAUUUAGAUUAAAUGGUUUAAACCAUUUGAUAUAUUUAAAUAUUAGAUUUAAAAAAAUUGAUAAAUAAAUAAAUUCAUGUAACAGAUUGAUCAUAUGGAUAGGUAAGUAUAUAUUUUGGAUAGAACCAAUUUAUAACAAAUAAAAAUGAAAUACAAAAACUAAAAUCAUUCCACAUUGAACAUGUAGCAAAAUAGCNNNNNNNNNNNNNNNNNNNNNNNNNNNNNNNNNNNNNNNNNNNNNNNNNNNNNNNNNNNNNNNNNNNNNNNNNNNNNNNNNNNNNNNNNNNNNNNNNNNNNNNNNNNNNNNNNNNNNNNNNNNNNNNNNNNNNNNNNNNNNNNNNNNNNNNNNNNNNNNNNNNNNNNNNNNNNNNNNNNNNNNNNNNNNNNNNNNNNNNNNNNNNNNNNNNNNNNNNNNNNNNNNNNNNNNNNNNNNNNNNNNNNNNNNNNNNNNNNNNNNNNNNNCUAUUACCCUUUCCCCUCUCCCUUUCUCUCUUUCCUCUUCACCUGACCCUAUCAAAGGAACCCAGCUUUCCAUCUCGCUACCAGAUGACGAUGUUUUAAACUCCUUCUUCAUCGUUUUCUCUACUUCCCCUUCUUCUUCUACUCUCCAAUGGCUAACCGAAAAAUACGAGUCCCCACCCAUUCCACCAAACAUGUUUAUCUUGUCUUUCAGAACAAAAGAAACAACACCACCAGUCUAAGCCUAAACAGAUCCGAGCUUUCUAUUUUGGCUAAACCAAUACUAUAGCUUGUUCUAUACUGUUGGUGGGUCUGUUUGUUUCCAAAGAUAACUUCACUGCAUUUUCUUUGCUUUUUCCCAAUGGAUGUUUUCUACCUUCUUUCUUUUGGAGGUUAGUUAGCUUUUUUUCUAGGUUUUUAUUUCUAUUUGGAGUUCUUUUCUUUUGGGGUUCUUUUCUGGGUUUAAAUUUGAAACUUAGAUUGCUUUUCUGGAUCUGCUACUUCUUUUAUUUCUUAUUCCAUUAUUCAGGCAUAUAUGUUUGAUUAUGUGUUAAGGCAUGAUAGAUUGAGACCUGAUAUAUGUAUAUGUAUGUAUUAUUCACCUCAUUACCUUUGCAAGGAUUAAAGAUUGUUGAAAUUGAUAUUGUAAAUAUAAAUUCUCUAAGUGGGAAUUUGUAAUAAAAUAGGUAGAAAGAACACCUGGCCAAGGUAUUAAAGAAUGAUUUCUUACAAGUUAUUAAUAACCUGGAAAGAUAGGUGAUAAACUGUGUGGUUUAGGACAACUUGCUGUCUGAAACUUGAAAGUUUUCGCCUUUUUUGUUGUUUAAAAUAUACUUUUGAUUUCAAUCAUUUCAUAUAGAAUUCCACCAUAGAUGUUCAGUUUCUGAUACUAUCUUAUAUCGUUAAUUCGUAGUUAACAUAAUAGUUAAUACAGUACGGUGGAAGUGAGUGAGGCCCUUAUAAUCGAUUUACAGAAUGGAACUGUGCUUCGGUUGGUUCUUAUUUGUGUCUCGAUUCCUGUGAUAUUUGCUCAAGAUAUUAGUCAUGGAUCGAUUGUAGUUGAUGGAACUAUGACUGUUGCUCAAGAUGUUAGGCACAUACAUAAUUUUUCAUUCACUAUAUGUCAUAUUCAUGGUAGGCACAUACAUACAAUCAUCAUUUUUGAUGCAGUCAGUUGGUUCAAGGAAAUCAAGGAAGUGUAACUGCAGCAUUGCAACAAAUUCAGGCAUUGAUUCUACUAACUUUUUUUUGCUANNNNNNNNNNNNNNNNNNNNNNNNNNNNNNNNNNNNNNNNNNNNNNNNNNNNNNNNNNNNNNNNNNNNNNNNNNNNNNNNNNNNNNNNNNNNNNNNNNNNUCAUCUUUUAAACUUUUUUUAUUUUAUCUGAUUAAUAUCUUUUUUGAGUUUUAAUUUGUACUAUUUUAAUCAAAUAAAUAUAAUUUUGAAUGUAAAAAAACAUUAAAGAAAAAUAAAAAUCACCAUCGUUAUUAUGCUAAUAUUUUUAAAAUAAAAUCAUGGUACAAAAGAGAAAAGAUCAACUGUUCUCAGGUUAAUAAUUUAUAUUAUGUCUAUUACUUUUGGUUAUUUGAUUGUCAGUUCUCUAUAGACCGUAGAGGAAAUGUAAUUUAUUUUCUUGGUUACAGGUUGCUUUUUACCUCUGCUAUGUCAUAAUGUUUUAUAAAUUGGAUAUAAGUGACUAUUUAAUCUUUGCAUUUUAAGGAGGAACUUAUCUGUUAUUUAUUUUAGAAUUGUUUUUCUUUAGCUGAAAUAACCCUUGACAAAUGUGACAUUGAAUUCCUCACUUGUAUUAGAUUUGAUGAACUGGAGACAGCAUUGAUGGAGAUGGUUAAGCAGGACAAUCGACGCGAAUUAUGUGCUAGGGUAAACUGGAAUAUGUUAUUCAAUUUGCCAAAAUUUACAGUCAAUUGCCGACUUGUUUUUAAAGAUAAUUAUAAAACUAUGUAAUUCCUGUCAUGCAAAUCAUUUUGCUUACUUUUACCUGGCACCUUAGGCUUCUUCAUGAAAUUUAAUGUCAAUAUGCCAGAACUUGCUAAAAAACCCGUGUUUCUGGUUUUCAUGAAUCAUGAAUUGGAAGUUGCUAGUUUUCUUAGCAGUUUGAAGAUUAUUUUCUUCUAUCGAUAUGUAUGUCUUUAUGAUAAUGAUGUUUGUUAAAUAUUUCAUAGAUCUUAAUGCGAUUUGAGCAAGAUCAAAAGGAAACGGAAGAUGCUUGUAGAUUUGCCGAACAAAAUCCAGCUGCACAGAGAUAUUCGUGUUCAAGUUUCUUUUUUUUUGUUUAUAAAAUUUCCCCUCAAACAUACCUUAUUGAGGCACUUGAAUUCUCGAAUCUUUUAUUUAUGCAUACUUUUAUGUCUGCAAGUAGAAGUAUAGACGUUUUGAUAAUACAGUGGCGUCAUAUGCCUUUUGUGUUAGAAUUUGAAUUGUUCCCCCUAAACAAUUUUCUCUAUGUACAGGUUUGAUUGUGGCAUGUUUAUGUAUUCUAUAUAUCAACUUCUAUAGCAGAGGCUUAAGUCUUUGUUUUGAGCAGGUAAGUCCAUGGAACAAUUUUUUAUCCUUGUAGUUCAUGUUUUAUUUUGAUUUUUCUAUGAUUAAACUCUAGUACUCAGGGCAGUAGUUGUUGGGAUGUAAAAUCUAUUGUCUAUCUGCCUAAAUAUAUGACAAAAGGCAAAAGUACAUAUUGAAGAUACUCUCACAUGCACAUUCAUUCGUUUGAAACACGAUAUCUAGUCAUUUUUCUUUGAACUGAGUUGGAUUUUUCCAUGCUUAUGUAGGAACACAUGCCUAUGCCCUAUUUUUGUUUAAGGACCGCCAAGGAAAUUCUAAAACUGAAAGCUGAUUGAUCGGAUGUGUAUGCCGGCUUUCAUCAACUACUUUCGAAGGCCUUACUAGGAAUUGAAAUGGUGUGCAAAGAGAUUGCUUCUUCUGAUCUGAUUUUUCGAUAUAAAUACUAGACAUUUUACUGCUGUUAGUAAAAUAGGAUUCUCUUCUUAGGAUAUUAGUUUGUUCACUUGUAUUAGACUCAACAAUGGCUUGCAUUGCAUUGGUGUUGAUUUGACUUAAAUUUCGAGGUUUACGAUUUUUAAUUUUUAUUAAUUAUUUACGUUUUCUCACUUUUAUUAAUUUUUAUUUUUAUUUAAGCUUCCUUUAUUUGCCUUCUUUUAUCAUUUUCAUAGAAAAAUUAAUUUAAAUAAUAUUUUUUUAUUUAUCCUUAAAAGUAUAUUUAAAGUUCAAAAUUUAAAAAUAAAACAUAAUAUAAUAUUUAUCAUAAAAAUAAAUAUUAUUUGAUUAAAAUAAUUUUUUUGCAUGAUAUGUUUUUAGCGGCGUUUUUGCGAGAAGCAUCGCUAAAGGUUUGUUCUAUAGCGGUGUUUGUGAUAAAAAGCGCCGCUAAAGGUCAUGUUCUUUAGCGGCGUUUGUGACAAAAGCGCCGCUAAAGGUCAUGGUCUUUAGCAGCGUUUGUGGGAAAAGUGCUGCUAAAGGUCAUGGUCUAUAGCGGCAUUUGUGUGAAAAGCGUCGCUAAAGGUCAUGAUCUUUAGCGGUGUUCGUGGUCUAUAGUGGCGUUUGUGGGAAAGCGCCGCUAAAGGUCAUGACUUUUAGCGGCGUUUAUUUCUAAAAGCGCCGCAAAAGUUAGUGACGCAUUCAAUAGCGGUGUAUUUUACGACGCUUGUCAAAGCGCCGCAAAUACUUUUAUCGGCGCUAAAAAACGCCGCUAAAAGACUGUUUUCGUGUAUUGCUUAUAUGUAACACCCCAAACCCAGCCUAGACGUUAUGGCCGAAUCUGGCGAUGUUACAUAGAAAGGGAUUUAAAGACAAGAUUGUCAAGUUUAAAAACUGUUACAGUAAGUUAACUUUUAUUUAAUUCGAAAAAAAAUAGUUGAUUUGCUUUAAAACUUGUCUCUUUUAUGAAGCUUUUGUAACCAAUUAAUUUAGGGAAAUCGUUUCUAUUUACGUAAAACCUUAGUUUUUAGAAAAAAAUCAUGUUUUGUAGAGUUGCAGUUUAAAAAAAAAUCCAUAAAAACAAUAUAAAGUCCCAAAUUUAAAGCCAUCCAGUCCAUAGUUUAGAAGAUACACUACACCAGAACAGGUUUUUAGCGGCGCUUCUUAGCGCCACUAAAGGUGUUUGCGGCGCUUGUGGAAGCGCUGCAAAAAAUGCUGCUAACGACAAUGUCGCUAACAUUUGCAGCGUUUACAGAAAAAAACGCUGCUAAAGGUCAUGUUCUUUAGCGGCGCUUCGAAAAAACGCCGCUAAAGGUCAUGUUCUUUAGCGGCGCUCAAAAAAAAGGCGUCGCUAAAGAUCAUGUUCUUUAGCAGCGCAUAGAGAAAAACGCCACUAAAGAUCAUGUUCUUUAGCGGCGCUUAAAGAAAAACGCUGCUAAAGAUCAUGUUCUUUAGCGGCGCUUGGUAAAAACGCCGCUAGAGAUCAUGUUCUUUAGCAACGCUUUCUUCACAAACGCCGCGAAAAGAAAUGUUCUUUAGCGGCGCUUUCUUCACAAAUGCCGUUAUAGAACAUGACUUUUAGCGGCGCUUUUAUAAAAAACGCCACUAAUUUUGGGAUUUUUGUAAAAUAAAAUUUUCUAUUUUUUCAGCCCUCCUGUAACAACAAAUCAAAAGCAACCAGAUCUAAACCAGCCAAAAGAAAUAAAUUUAUAUAAUAUUUAAAAUUAAACGAAUAGAAUAAUAUUAAUAUCAAUAAAUAAAAGUGAAUUCAUAUUUUUCUUUACAAAAAUGUUAAAAGUUAAAAUGAUAAAAAUAUUUAUGCAAUACACUAUGACGGCUGAAGUUGCGACUGCUGAAACAUCUUCAUUAUAAUCUGAAGCUGCUGUUGAAGUUCGUCGUACUUUUUGCUCUGCUCUACUUCUCUCGAUGCCGCAUCUGCUUUAAGUUGUAUCUGGAGUUCUUCAUAUUUCUUUUGAACCUCUGCUUCUCUCGCUGCAGCUUCUGCUACCCUCGCGGCCGCCUCUGCUUUAAGUUGUAGCUAGAGUUCUUCAUAUUUCCUUUGAACCUAAACUGUGGUCGCUUGCAUCUGAGCCAUCUGGUCUUUUAACCUCUGAACUUCAGCUUGAGCCUGACUCCCCGAAGCCAUGUAUUGCUGUGAGCUUUAUCCAAAAUAUUGGGUUGGGCUAACAAAAGAUCCUUGAAAUCGAACCCAACCAUACCUUUCAGGAUCCAAAACUUUAGUAAUAAUCCGGUUAUCAAUGUCUUCAGGAUGAACAGAACUAUCACUAGAAGCAAUCGCUUCGUACUCCGCCUUUUUAUCCUUUAGUUUUUCCUAAUAAAUAAAUCACAUAGUUAGGAACGCAAUAUAUAUUAAAAAAACAAAUGCAACAUAACAAUAGUCAUAUUACAAGCAAUGAAUUAAACCAUUAGAAAAUAAAAACUAUAAAUAACUGAAACAAGUCAAAUCGUAUUAAGUAAACGUACCAUAAUUUCACCAGCUUCAGAAGUCAUAGCAGAUCCAUCUUUCUUCCUAUGUGUAAUUUCAAAAAGUUGAAGGCAUCCAACUUUUUGACCGAACGACCGUUCCUACAAUAUAGUAGUAAAAAUAUUAUUUAAUGGAAAGUUAUACAUAUUUGACAAUAUUAAAAAAUUAAAAAUACCUCCGCCUCAGCUACACAUGCAAAACUUCUCGACCCGGCUGUGUGAGUGAAUUUUUAUUUCUGCCUGCUGCUUUUCCCAACUUGUUCAUGAUCCUACGUUAUGAAAUUUUUAGUACGUAAAUAGUAAAUACUAUAAACCAAAAUAAUUACAAUAGUUUGGAAUUACGUCAUACCUCGCUUUUCUUCGAAUGCCAAAAUCUAACCGCAUCUUCCCAUUAGUACCUCAGCAUACCCGGCGGGACAUUUUUCAAUUUCUCAUCGAGGGUUGUUUUUGUCUUAUAAUAAUAUUUCUUCAAAGUACUUUUGUGGUCUCUCCAUCUUUUUCCCAAUGCCUUCUUUACAUAAGCAUCCGAGAUCUCUAAAGCAAACCUCACUUGCAAAAAACACAAGUUAAUAAAGUAAAUAUAAAUGAAACUAUUUCCCAAGCAUUACAGAUGACAUUAACAUUUUGUUACCUUAAUAUUAUCGAGGGCUUGGUUUUUGUUGCUGUCGGGCAUUUGAUGCCAUGACUCGUAGUUGAUAGGCAACAUAUUCGUAUUUCGUGCUAAAAUGCCCAUGUAUCCUGCUAAAAGUCGAGCUUCUGAUCUAACAGGCUGACCAAAACUGUUUCUGCAUACCUUGACACGCUCGACUGGAUCUAACUCGUAUAAAUCUCUAAGUAGUGUACGUCCUCGACCUCUGCUCGUCCCACCAUUUUCAGCUGCAAAUGGUAUAUUAUAAUAUAAGAAUUUGAAAAAUAAAUCAAUUAUAAGUCAACACACAUGUAAAUUAAAUGUAAAAUUACUUUGAAUUCUGUAGGAUUUUCAGGUGUAAUCGGAACAUUCGAAGAUCCAAUUACUGUCUGUUGUUCAAUACUAUUUGUUUCUGUCGAGUUUGGAUAAUUUUGAACAAUGCUUCCCCUUGGAAUUUUUCUUCUAGGCAUUUUAUCUGCAAUACACAUAAAAUAGUUGAAAACUUAAUAACUAAUUACAAUAAUAACAACACAUAUAAAAUAGUUGAAAUAUAUAAUAAGACCGAGAUUUAAAUUAUGAUAUUACAUAUAAUUAAACAAUCGUAAAAUCUUACUACGUCAUUAUUCGUAAAUAUCUUCAUCCGUAUCCUGCGAACCCAUUGAAAUUGUUUACUAGUACUAGGGAUAUUAUCGUUUAAGUUUUGUUCUGGAAAGGGCAAAGUUUCUGAUCUGUCGUCGAUGUUAUCUCUACUUCCACUGCCCAUGUCAAACAAGUCUCUAGGGAUGUUACGGAGUACAACGUACCAACCCUCAUCAGUUGGAUCUUUUGAGUAAAAAACUUGUUUGAAUUGAGAUGAGAAUACAUACGGCUCAUCUAUCAGUUGUUGUCCUGUGUGAAUCAAUCGAGCGAAGUUCACCAUUGUAAAAUCAAAUUGAUCUUGCUUAAUUCCACGAGUAGUAUUAACAUCGGCCCAAUCACCUCGAAAUAAGACAACUUUCCAUUUGCCGUAGUAAUCCAACUCAAUUAUGUCAGUAAGAAGUCUGAAAUAUUCCAUAUUUCCCUCGACAGGAUUAUUGUCCCUAGCACUAGCAUAACUUGUAAUUGAGAAAUUAACAACUAUUCCAUAAUUUUGCGUUCUCCUCAACCUCUCACGAUAUUUUGUAUGAAAUCUGAAUCCAUUGAUGAUGAAUGCACUAUAUCUUUUAACCACUCGAUUUGGACCUUGGGAGAGCCAUUUAACUUCGUCGUUUACGUUCUUCCCACUCCAAACCUAUUGAAUGGAAAGUAAACUGAGUAAUUAAAAAUGUUAUGAGAAAACAUUAUUAUUUGUAAACAUAAGCUCUGCAUACCGUUUGGCUUAACCAUUCAUGAAAAGAUUCUGUAAACAACUUAUUGAUAUCUCGAUGUUGUGUUCUACGGGAGCACGAACGAGAUCUCAAUAUUUGUUCGUACUCACUAUGUUAAAAAAAUGUUCACUUUGUUAGAAGAUAAACAAAUUUUAAUUUGAUAAAUAUUUAUCAAAUUUGUAGAACUUACUUCUGUAAAGGUUCCAUUGAUUCGUGGUGAAACAGAACAUAUCAAUGUGCUUGUACCCACGAUAAGUGAUCUAAUUCUGCAAUUUCAACUUUGCCGAUUGGUUCUCCAAAACUUUGGAACAAAUAAGUAUCGGCGAAGUUAUUGUCCGUGAGUCCAGCAUUCCUAUUUGGUCUGUUCAAACUUAUUUCAACAUCUUCCAAAUAUCUUGAGCAGAAGGUCAUACAUUCCUCUGUCAAGUAGCCUUCAGCAAUCGAUCCUUCUGGAUAUCACUUGUUACGGCAGUAAGACUUUAAUUUGGAUAGGAACCUAAACACGAUAUACAACACUAUCAAAAGUUGUAACUAAAGGCAUAGAGGUGAAUGAAGGAAAAUUUUAAAAAUUUUAAUUAACAUCUUUCUAUGGGAUACAUCCAUCGAUAGAAAACGAGUCCGCCAAGAAUUGCUUCAUGCGGGAGAUGGAUUAUCAAGUGAACCAUAAUGGUGAAGAAGGAAGGUGGGAAGAUUUUCUCCAUGUUGCAUAAAGUCAAAGCGGCUCGAUCUUGUACCUUUUGAAGUUCUUGAACAUCCAAAACUUUGUCACAAAUGGCUUUCAUUAUAUUGGAUAGUUCAAUUAUACAAGACGUCACCUUCUUGGGCAUACAACAUUGUAAAGCAACUGGCAGUAAUUCUUGCAUCAAGAUGUGAUAGUCAUGUGAUUUUAUAAUCUUCGAUCUUUAACACUAACACAUAGAGAUAUAUUGGAUGCAUACGCAUCUAGAACCUUUAAAUCCUUCAACACCGUGCAGAACACUUCUUUUUUCGUCUUUGACAUUGAAAAAAUAGAAUGCGGCAACCGAUAUUUCCCAUUCGGAAUUGGAUUGGGAUGAAGAUCAGUCCGAAUUCCCAUUUGGACUAAAUCAAGUCUACUUUGAAGAUUGUCUUUCGAUUUUCCGUCGACAUUCAAAAUUGUACCCACAAUGUUCUUGCAGACAUUUUUCUCAAUGUGCAUAACAUCAAGAUUGUGUCGUAAAAGGUGAUGCCCCCAAUAAGGCAACUCAAAAAAAAUACUUCUUUUUUUUCCACAAGUCCGCCUCAUUAGGAUUGUCCUCUUCAUCAGAGUCAUCAUCAGCUUCAUCUUUUGAUCUUCUAUUUCUUUGCGUGUUUGGCAGUUGGUUCAUCUUCCCAUAAAUGAAAUUCAUAUAUUCUAACAUGAUCAAGAUUUCAGACCUACUGGUCUGCGAAAGAGCUUCUCUGAACUCUUCAGUACCGUCAAAUACAGAACUCUGAAAUCUAAAUCUAUGAUUUUUCGGUAACCACCGACGAUGCCCCAUGUAAGAGAACUUCUUCCCAUUGUACAACCAUUGCGAACAUGUUUGUGUAGCACAAUAAGGACACGUAUAACGACCUUUGGUACUCCAACCGGAUAAAUUGACAUAAGCGAGGAAGUCAUUAAUGGUCCACAUCAGAGCUACACGUAAAUUAAAGUUCUCCUUUCUCAGCACAUCGUAUGUCUCGACACCAGCCCAUAAUUGUUUUAAUUCUUCAAUAAGUGGCUGUAAAUAAAUGUCGAUAUCAUUCCCGGGCCCUUUCUCUCCAGGGAUAAUCAUAGAUAAGAUAAGGGAAGAUUGCUUCAUGCAAAUCCACGGAGGCAGAUUGUAAGGAACAAGCACUACUGGCCAAGUACUGUACGCAGUGGUCAUGAUCUUGAAAGGAUUAAAUCCAUCAGAUGCUAGCCCAAGCCUCACACUCCUAGGAUCGCUUGCAAAGCUUGGAAAUUUAUUGUCAAAUGAUUUCCAAGCUAAAAAAUCUGUUGGAUGCCUUAAUAAUCCAUCAUCGGUUCGUCCAUCAUGGUGCCACGUCAUAGACUCCGCUGUCUUGGACGACAUGAAAAGCCUUUGAAGCCUUGGUAUAAGGGUAAAAUACCGCAAAAUCUUGAUUGGCUUCUUUCUCAACUGUGCAUCAUUUUCAUCGUCGUUCCCAUCUUCUGUGUUUCUAUUUAUCUAACGGGAUUGGCCGCAUACAUGACAGCACUAUUGGUUUUUCCGAUCGCCCCAAUACAACAUGCAGUCAUUUGGGCAACUAUGGAUUUUGUUGUACCCAAGGCCAAGGCCUAAAUCUUUUAUCAUUUUCUUCAUAUCUUUGCAUGACCGAGGGAUUUUUGCAAACAAAAACAUUUCUCUCAAAAACUUUAACAGCAUUUUCAAUGAGUUUCCGGUCCACCCUCUCAAACAUUUUAACUGAAAAAGACGAACACAGAAGGACAUUUUUGAAAAUUUUGAUCCCUCAUACAGUUCUUCGUUCAUGUCAUUAAGUAGAGCGUAGAACUUCACUGCUUUUCCAUUCGGCUCUUCAUGAGGUACACUACUUCUCGGUUUGGUAAAAGCAGUUCCACCAAUAUUACAAUCAUCAGAUGCCAUAAAAUCUGCUAGGAACGAAUGCACACCAUGGUUGUGCAUAUUAAAUGCAUCCCACAACAUACCUUCCAUGUCAUCCCCUCUAUCAGACUGAUGGUAAGCAGUACUAGGAUAAGAUACAUCCAUCAUUGAAGAGGAAGUACUAGGCGGGCAUUCUCCGUGAAAUAACCAUUGUUUAUAACCCCGAACAAACCUGUCAACAAUUAGAUGCUCGUAUACAACCUCACGAUAAUGCCAGUUUAUGUUGACACACUUCUUACAUGGGCAAAGAAUCAUGUUCUCUUGGCUUGCAUAUUGAAAUGCAAAAUUUAGAAAAGUCUGUACUCCAUUUCGAUAACCGUUGCUAACCCUUGACAAAUUCAUCCAAGACCGGUCCAUUUCUUAAUUCUUGAAGUCUGAUGUUGACAAUAAUUUGCACGGGUAAGUUAAAACGCCAGUUAUAACCAUAAAUGAGUUAUGUAAGUUAUGAUAUGAUAUAUUUUUAUGUAUUAUGUAAGUUAUGUAAGUUAUGUAUUAUGUAAGUACUGUAAGUACUGUAAGUUAUGUAAGUAAUGUAAGUAAUGUAUUAUGUAAGUUGUGUAUAAUAUUAAUUAUAUAAGUUGUGUAUAAUGUAAGUUAAGAAGGUUAUGUAUUAUGUAAUUUAUUUAAGUUAUGUAAGUUAUGUAAGUUAUUCAAUUUAUGUAAGUUAUGUAAGUUAUUUAAUUUAUUUAAGUUAUGUAAGUUAUGUAAGUUAUUCAAUUUAUGUAAGUUAUGUAAGUUAUUUAAUUUAUGUAAGUUAUGUAGGUUAUGCAAGUUAUUUAAUUUAUGUAAGUUAUGUAAGUUAUGUAGGCAAUGUAUUAUAUAAAUAAUGUAAGUUAGGAAGGUUAUGUAUUAAGUUAUGUAAGUUAUGUAAGUUAUUUAAUUUAUGUAAGUUAUGUAAGUUAUUUAAUUUAUGUAAGUUAUGUAAGUUAUGUAAGUUAUUUAAUUUAUGUAAGUUAUGUAAGUUAUGUAGGUUAUGUAUUAUGUUAGUUAUUAUGUUAUUAUAUGUAAUAUAUAAAAAGAAUAUAAAUUUUAGUAUUUACGAUAUAAUAUUUCUGUCGAAAAUUUAUUAUGUUUUUGGCACGAAUGAUUGCAUUUUUUGCAUGAAUGUAGCAAACCAUAUUCCUUUCUAAGUUGCUGCUGGAAAAUAUUAACAUGCUAGAGAGACUAUGAAAAUUAUGUGUUCAUUUUCUAAGCAUUGCAAACUGUUACCAAUUAAUUAAAAUAUUUCAUUUCAAAUAAAUAAAACCUAACACAUGAGGUACAUCUUAUGAUUACGAAUCAGAUUACAAACCAUAAAUCGAAAUUUUAGAAACUGAAUUUAUAGUUUACAAACCACAAACCGAAUAGGGACUAAUUGGUAACAUGGAUUCUAGAACACAUUGACCCAUUUCCAUUCGGCUAAAUAAAUUUUAGUUUCUUUACUAAUGUAUCACUUUGAUAUUAUCUCAUUUCAUCACUUAUACUUAUAUAUAAGUAUAUGUAUAAGAAGGUAAAUGACAGUUCCCAAUCCAAUCUACUUUAUAUAAUCCCACAUGACAAUAAGAAAAUGGAUGAAAGAUAAUUUUAACAAACAAACAAAGAGUAUAUAUAUCGAACUUAAAAAUCAUACUAAAAAACAACAUGGCGUAAUACAAUUCAACUUAAAAAUCCAAUUCAUUACCUGGAAAUGUAAUCGGCUGUUAUUAUAUUUAACAGAACAUUUUUAUAAAUUAAUAAAUUAAACCCUAAACUAGACAUCAAAAUUUCAUACUAAAAAAAUAGUACCAAAUGAUUUCACCGACACGAACAAAGAAUAAAUGGAAUCUUAACAUUUAACCCGUUACACUGAUAAUGAAAGUAAUGAAAUUAAAUGAAAGCAUGAGUUCUGUACCUUCAGAACGAUGAAGAAAACUGAAAUGAAAGCAACGAAAUGGAAUGAAAUGAAACCCUAUACACAAACAACAUAACAUCAGUUCCUAACCAAUGAAACCAUUCCCAAAAUAAAUGAACAAUCGAAGCAUUACAGUACCUUCAGAAGGAUGACCAAAACAGUCGAGGACCAAAAACCCUAAACACAGAGAAUAAUUUUUUUUAAUUCCAGGAUCACCAACCAAUAACAAAGCAAAAAAAUAAAAAACUAAAAAAUAUGAGAAAACCCAAUGUAUAAAAUACGCAGCAUUGAUUUAAAUGCAUAGAUGCAAUUGGCGAUUGCCAAGUUUAAAGCAAAGUCAAAUCCCCUAAUAUUCUUGUCUAUGAAGUCAAAAGUUUAAAGCAAAGUCAUAGUUUAAACCCCCAAAUCAGUAACUUACCUUUGUAGAAGAUCAACAACUCCCCAAGCCUUAAUCCUCCAAUAGAUUAGUUGGUCUGUGACCUUCACCAAAAUAAUCCAAAAGAUUAAUAUCGAAAAUAAACCUCAAUUCAAAAAGGUAACAAAUAACGAAAUAAAGGGCUUUAAUCGAAAGAAAUAUAACCUUAAUCGAAACAAAUAACAAAAAUCGUGCAAUGUGGAAACAAGGAAACUUAUAGUGAAUAGAAGAAGCAGACGACAGAGAAAGCGGGUGGCAGAGCGACCGCCGGAGUGGAGACGACUGCAAUGACAGGGGGAAUUUGGGGAUUUGGGGAAAUAAAAUCGAGGAAAUUGGGGGAAAAGGAAUUGGGGGAAAUGAAAUCGGGGAAGUUGGGGGAUAGGAAAUGGGAAAUUAGGGAGAUGAAAUUGGGGAAAUCAGAGUGGGGGAGAACUAAGGAAAUUCAGCGCUAAACAAACAACGUCGUUUAAGUUAGUUCAAUUAAAAUUUGCGGCGUUUAUCAAUAGUGCCACUAACGCAUUAAAAAAUCCCAUAUAGAAAACGACAACGUUUAGCCAACACUAAAAACAUAUUUGCUGCAUUUAUAAUAAAAACGCCACUAAAACAUAUCCUUUACCGGCGUUUUAGUACAAACGCCACUAAAAUCAUAGAUAAAAACGACAACGUUUAGCGAAAACUUAUAACAUAAUUGCGGCAUUUUUAUAAAAAACGCCACUACCACAUAACCUUUUGCGGCGUUUUUGUAAAAAUGCCACCAAUAAUGUAGAUAAAAAUGACAACGUUUACAAAAGACUAAUAACAUAAUUGCGACGUUACCUGAAAAUGGCACUAACACAUAUCAUUUUGCGGCGUUUUGGCAAAAAUGCCACUGAAAACCUGGAUAAAAACGACAACGUUUAACAAAGACAAAAAACAUAAUUGUGGCUUUUUUUGUAGAAAUGGCACUAAUAUAACUCCUUUUGCGGCAUUUUAGUAAAAACGCCACUUAAAAAUCAGACUAAACGAAACCGUUUUGCUAUCUUUCAAUGAAUAUUUGUGGCGUUUUCACGAAAAACGCCACUACUGGUCAAACUUAAAAUUAUUUUCAAAUUAUUUUAAAUAAUACUAUUUUAUUUUUUUCUAUUUUUAACAUAUAUUUUUCUAUGUUUUUAGCAUAACCCUUAAAUGUGGAAAAAUAAAAUUUAAACCCUAAACCAUAAGCCCCUAACCAUUAAACUCUAAACCCGUAACCUUUAAACUUUAACCUCUUAAACCCUAAACAAUAAACACUAGACCAUAAACCUACACCAUAAAUAGUAAACACUAAACUCUUAACACUAAACCAUAAACCUUAAACUUUAUACCUUAAACAUGCACCCUAAGCUAUAAACCCUAAAUUAACCUUAAAAUCGUAAAUCAUAAAUUAUAAACCCUAAAAUCAUAAACCUUAAACCUUAAACCCUAAACCCUAAAACCUAAACCAGUAAACCCCAUGAACCCUUAAACCCCUAACCUAUAAACCCUUAAACCCAAAACUCUAAGCCGCUACCCCUUAGACCCUAAGCCCAUAACCCCUAAACCCUAUGCUCCUAACCACUAAACACUAAACCAUAAACCACGAACAGUAAAUCAUGAACUCUAAACUUAAAACUCUAAUCCCAAUAUAAUAAACAUUACUUCAUAAAUCCUAAAACCCUAAACUAUAAAAAUUAAACCUUAAAUACUAAACACAUAAACCUAAAAUAAAUUUAUUUUUACUUGUGGCGCUUACAAUAAAGCGCCACUAAUGUCUCUAAACCUCCACAACAAAACGACGACGUUUGCUUAAAUAUAUUUGCGGCGCUUAACAUAAAGCGCCGCUAAUGCUUGACAUCUGCGGCGUUUUUAAAGUUGCGCCACUAAUGUAACUAAACCUUAACAACAAAACGUUGCUGUUCGCUUAAAAAUUUUGUGGCGCAACGUAAAAGCGCCGCUAAUUAUUGAAUUUUGCGGCGUUUAUAUCUACGCGCCACUAAUAUCUUUAAAAUUUGAAAAAUAAAACGACGUCGUUUGGCUAAAACUAUUGCCGCUAGUGCUUGACAUUUACGGUGUUUUCCCAAAGCACCACUAAUGUCCCUAAGCACAACAGGAAACGACGUCGUAUGCUUAAAACAUUUUGUAGCGCUUCCUCUUAAGCGCCGCUAACGAUUGACUUUAGCGGCGAUUUCUUCAAAGCGCCACUAUUGUGUCUAAAACUCAACAAGAUCAAAAUGACUUCGUUCGGUAAAAUCUUUUAUGGUGAUUCAGGAAAGCGCCGCCACUAUUGUCCCUAAUACGGCGCAUACUUAAGACAUUUUCCGGCGCUUCCUCUAAAGCACCGAUAAUGAUUGACUUCAGCGGCGCUUCUAUAAAAGCGCCAUUAUUGUGUCUAAAAGUCAACAAGAAACGACGUCGUUCGGUAAGAAAUUUUGUGGCGCUUUGGGGAAAGCGCCGCUAAUACAUGAUAUUUUGCGGCGCUUCUUUAUAAACACCACUAAUGCAAUCAAACGUAAACCAAAACGGCGUCGUCUGUUAAUCAGUUUUACGACACUUCUUUAAAAGCGCCACUAAUGUCUUUGAAGCUGACAAAGAAAACGGUGCCAUUUACCUAACUCUUUUGCGGCGGUUUUGGUAAAUUGCCGCUGUUGCCUAUAAUUUACGGUGUUUUUUUUCACUCACCGCUAUUGUUCGGUUUUUUGCGGCAUUUUGUGUUAAAACGCCGCUAUAGACGUCGCUAAAGAGCUGUUCUGGUGUAGUGAUACAUCAAAAACUCCAAAUAAGUAAUAAAUUCUAGGAAUUAACAGAAAAUAGUCUAAAAUUUACGUGUGGCCACCGUCGAGUUCUCCGCUGCACUGACCCUUCAAGUCUGAGGAUUACCUGUACAUAUUAAAUAGAGAAAGGGUGAGUUUUCACAAACUCACUGUGUAAUCCCCACAGAAAACAUGCAUACAAUCAAUAUAAUUCAGUUAGAUACAGUGUAGGGCUCGUGCCCAUCACAGAGUCAGUUUGGGCCUUAGCCCGUUCAGAUAUAGUCUCAGAAAUACAUUAGGGCCUUGGCCCAUAUCAGAUACAGAAUGUAGAUAUAGUAAAUCAGAAUCGUACCCACCAGCCUCUACACAUCAUCUCCGUCCAACCCUACACACCAUGUGGGGAUUAAAUCAACCCACCCAUCCCUACACACUAUGCUGUACCAAAAUGCAGCACAUAAUUAGAAGGUUGCAGCUGAGCUGCUAGAUAACAGGCUUAAUAGCCUUUCGGACACUUCCUCCAAAUAUCAUCAACCCACCUCGAUGCAAUGAAACAUACAAAAUAUAUCAUGCCAUUAUGCAAUUAAUAGUACAUACAUUCAAAUAUCAUAAGUCAUGCUCGGUAUAGAAAUCAGACAGACAGAUCACACAUAUAGGGGUCCAAGUAAAACUUAUCGACCCUAAAGUAUUACUCUUUUAAAUGAUUUAAAGAAUGUUGAGGUUCAUAUUGAUGAUGAAGAUCAAGCUAUGCUAUUAUUGUGCUCUUUACCCCCUUCAUACAAGUCUUUCAGGGAAACCCUGAUUUAUGGCAGAGACAAACUCUCGUUCGAAGAUGUGAAGGGUCAUUUGUUGAGUAGAGACAAACUCGACAAUGAGCUUCAUUUGGAUAGCAAGACAGAUAGACAAGCUUUCGUUUUGAUAGCAUCAAAGAAACGAGACAAAAGGUGUCGCUAUUGUAAAAUGUUAGGUCACGUCAAAGCAGAUUGUUAUAAACUGCGAAAUAAAAGAGCUGCUGAGAGUAACGAGGAAGAUGAUACAGUCGACUUGGGUGACCCGUGCAACCUUACAGAACUUUUUAAAAAAAUGGGCUCACACGCCCAUGUGGCCCACUCGGCCCAAAUUGGCCUUGGCCACGAGAUCCAUUUUUAAGGUAACAUGUGCUAGUUAAUUAUUCAUAUAUGUUUUCACUAUUUACUUAUAUGUUCCUUCAAAGUUGUCUAAUUGAGUCACUAUUACUAAAUUAUUUAUAUCCUAAGCUACAGAAUUCUGAAUUAAGAUCUGCCUGAUGUCUUUGAAACUAGACUCAAAUAGCUUUCUACCAUAAAAUUUUCAGAAUUUUUGGUUUAGCCAAUAAGUACAGUAAAAUCUUCAUACUUACCCCUGUUCUGUUGUCUGACAGCUUCGUCCCUUCUUUGCUAAAAAUUAACUAUCUCUUAGUACAAAAUUUGGAUGAUGUUUCCAUUUGUUUCUAUUGAAAAUAGACUCAUUGGUAAUUUAAACAUGUAAAUUUUAAUCCCUAAUUAUUUUCUCCAAUUUUUGAUGAUUUUCCAAAGUCAGAAUAGGGGAACCCGAAUUUAAUCUGACCUUAUCUCACAAAGUUUAUUAUACCUCACGAUUUACAAUUCAAUUACUUAUAUAGUUUAUUCUAUGAAAAACUAGACUCAAUAAGCUUUAAUUCCAUAUUUUUUUCAUCCUCUAAUUUGAUUUCCACAAUUUAUGGUGAUUUUUCAAAAGUAGCCUACUGUUGUAAUUUUUCAAUAAGCUUUAAUCCCUUUUUUUUGUGUUUUGAGUACAGACCUGGUUUUAUUUGAUGCUAAAAUAGUCCCGAGCACUCCAAAGCCUAUAAUCAAGAAACUCAACAUUAAUUUAAUGGAUUUAUAAUCGAAUUGACAACCAAAAACGAAUCGAAACCCAACUUAUCACCAACGAUAACCCUCCGUUUAACUAUUGUUCAGACGAGAACACUGAAUUUACUAGUCCAAGCCUCCCCCUAUGCCCAAAUCACAGAGAAAAAACAUUACCACUUUAGUCGUUAAGAGAUUCAUGACUGAAAUGAAGAGAAACAUUUACCGAAACUAAGCAAGCACUAACCGCAUGUGAAAACGAAGGAAAAUAAAUGGAUUAGGGAAAAUCAAGAAGAAGAAAAAGAAGAGAAAGAUGGAAAAACUCAAAGAAUUUUGGCAAGAGGAGAGAGAGAAGAAUAUACGACAUAUUUUUUUUGAAAAAAGAGUCAAAAUUCGGUUAUGGGAAAAAAAUAAAAUAGAAUCCUGAUAACCCCCAAAAUCAUGUCCCCUAAUUCCCACUACAUAUCCACUACUCAGAAUUCCCCUAUUACACAACUCUAUCCCGAAAUCUUAGCAAAAAAAUAAUACCCUUGCUUGCAUAAGGAUUCGAACACAAGACCUCCACCACAAUAACACACCAUUUAACCACUAGACCAACAGGCCCAUUCUGAUGUAAUUUACCCAACAAUCAAAUAAAAGCCUACUAAACAAGAGUAAUGCCUAAUUCAUUCAAAAUACCAAAUUUUCCCAAGCGAAUGCUUGAACUUAGGACCUCCCAAACACUCCCAGGACACAUAACCACUAAAGCUGACAGAUAUUUGUGCAUAUUUUCAUAAUAACAAAAUUAGAAAUUUUGAGGUGUUACAUUAUAAAUAGGCUCUUUUACAACCUUAGAAAAUACACCCAUUAGGGAUUAGAACUCAUAACACAUUUAGAGAAUUUUGUGUUUACGUUUUGAGAGUUCUUUGUUUUCGGGUUUUCGGGGUUUAGUUUUUAUCUCCAUCUUUUGUGCUCUUCAUUCUUUUGCCAUUAUAAUAAAAUUACCUUUUCCUGUGGUUUUUUUAACUUCUUUGGAGGGGUUUUUCCACGUUAAAUUUGUGUGUUCAAUUUCUCAAUUUAUUCUGCUAUUCUUUUUUACUUGUUGCUUAAUCGGGUCGAUCCCAACAAGUGGUAUCAGAGCUAGUUUAAUUUUUAUAGAUUAACACAUUUAGAGAUGUUAGCUACAAGGUUUGAAAUUGAGAAGUUCAAUAGUGAGACAAAUUUCAAUCUGUGGCAAGUUUGGAUGAUAACAAUUCUAGUUCAAACAGGCCUGAAAAAGGUUGUUACUGGGAAAAAGCCUGAGAAUCUAAAUCAAACAGAAUGGGAAGAGCUUGAUGAAAAUGCCUUAUCUGCAAUCCAAUUGUGCCUUACGAAUAUGGUAUUGCAGGAGGUAUUGAUGGAGAAGGCCUCAUCCGCCUUGUGGAAAAGGUUAGAAACUCUUUAUGUGACUAAGUCUUUGGCUAACCGUUUAAUGUUGAAACAACGUCUAUUUACGUUUUGCAUGAACGAAUGUGAGCUUCUUAAAGAUCACAUCAAUCAAUUCAUUACUCUUUUAAAUGAUUUAAAGAACGUUGAGGUUCAUAUUGACGAUGAAGAUCAGACUAUGCUAUUAUUUGCUCUUUACCCCAUUCAUACAUGUCUUUUAGAGAGACCCUGAUUUAUGGAAAAGACAAACUCUCGUUCAAAGAUGUGAAGGGUCAUUUGUUGAGAAGAGACAAACUCGACAAUGAGUUUGGUUUGGAUAGCAAGGCAGAUAGGCAAGCUUCCAUUUUGGUAGCAUCAAAGAAACGAGAUAAAAUGUGUCGCUAUUAUAAAAAGUUAGGUCAUGUCAAAGCAUAUUGUUAUAAACUGCGAAAUGAAAGAGCUGUUAAGAGUAACGAGGAAGAUGUAGCUGAUGCUAAUUUGGCCGAUGAAAGUGGUGAUGAUUUCUUGUUAGUGUCAACGAGCGAUAACUCAAAGCUCACGUCUGAGUGGAUCCUAAAUUCAUGAUGUUCUUUCCACAUGUGUCCCAAUAGAGAAUGGCUCUCCACAUACAGUUCUGUUGAAGGUGGAGUUGUGCGCAUGGGAAUGAUUCAUCUAGUAAGGUAAUUGGUAUUGGUAUUGUUAAAAUUAGGAUACACGAUGAGACGAUUAGGACACUCUUAGAUGUCAGGUAUAUACCUGAUUUACAAAAGAAUCUCAUCUCAUUGAGUAUUUUAGAAUUGAAAGGAUUCAAAAUCAACAUUGAGUCGAGCGACAUUAAAGUAUCUCGUGGAGCUCUCAUUUUGUUAAAAGGUAAAAGAACCAACAGUCUUUAUAUUCUGGAAGGUUCUAUAGUGACCGGUGAAUUGAACGUCUCUCGUCCGUUACGGAGUCGAAUUCAACUCGUUUGGAGUGGAGGCAACUUGGUCAUAGGAGUGAAAAAGGUAUGACCGUUUCGUUGAAGAGAGGUUCUUUUUUGGAUGUAGGUUUUGAAAAGUUAGGGCAUUGUGUUCAUAAAAAUCAGACUCGGGUUAAUUUUAAUUCGGUAGUGUACAAGUCGAAGGCUAGAAGUCUUCCAGUUUCUAAGCAUAGAUUCAACUCAAUUAAUUCUCUGCAUAGUUCAAGAUAGGCCUGUGGCAGGCUUUGGCAAAGAUGGCAUUGUGAAAUAUGAGUCAAGGUGGAGAUUUGUUGAGUAUGACUCCUAUUUCAGUCAAAUUUGAGAAAUAAUCUUUCAGUUAAACUCUGUUUAUUUCUUUCAAUCAAACUUUUAUUAGUGUAGAUUAUUUUAUUAUUAUUUGACCUGUGAAUUUAGCUUAUAAAUAGGCUUUUUUACAACUUUAGAAAAUACACCCAUUAGAGAUUAGAACUCAUAACACAUUUAGAGAAUUUUGUGUUUACGUUUUGAGGGUUUUUUGUUUUCGGGGUUUAGUUUUUAUCUCCAUGUUUUGUCCUCUUCAUUCUUUUGCCAUUAUAAUAAAAUUAUCUUUGCCCGUGGUGUUUUAAUCCUCUUUGGAGGGCUUUUUCCACGUUAAAUUUGUAUGUUCAAUUUCUCAAUUUAUUCCACUAUUUUUUUUACUUGUUGCUUAAUCAGGUCGAUCCCAACACUAAGGAUUUAAUUGGUUCACUUGAAUCCAAUUCAAUCUUCAAAAGUCAAUGAUUGAUUUCCAUAGAUGGACCAUAGUAUUUUCAAUAUGAUAGUACAUUAACAAAUCCAAAGAUAUUUUUCAUUAAACUGUCAAUCCAAAUAACACAAGUAAUUAAACUACCUUAGUGGCAAUGUGUAGUGAGCACUGCCGAGUGCCACUCAGCAUCAAUCGAUUCAUCUUGCCUCAACAACAUGUAUAAUAUACCUAUAAGUAUGAGUUUAGAAAAACUUUUGAAUUGACAAGAAUACCUUUUAUUUUUAACCAUAUUACUAAAUUGAUAUUUAAAAAUAUUUAUAAUUUAAUUUAGAAUUAUUAGUUAUAACUUUCUUUAUUUAUUAAGAAUGAGCUAUGAUAAUUUUAUUCACUCUAAAAUUGAAUCAUAACUUGAAUAAAAGUCUAAGCAUACUCAUUCUAAAUAACUAAUAAAUUAAGGUUAAAAUAUUAAAUUUAAAAAAUCCAAAUCAUUUUUAUUUUUUACAAGUAAUUUUUUAUUUCCAUAUUUAUUAAUGAAAUAAAAAUAAAGUUAUAACUUGAACAGAAGUCUAAGUAUAUAUAAAAAAGAUUCUUUUUAUCUUUUAAUUACCACUUAACUAGUGUUAGAGUUUUAUAUCAAUUAAAAUUUAAGUUUAAAUCUAUAAAUAUAAUUUAUUAUUAGCAUUUAAGAAAAAUCAUCAGUUCAAAGAAAGAAAGUGGUUAGCAUUAAUAAGUUCGAAGGUUCUCAAAAAGAAAUAUUCAAAUGACAAUGGCACUCGAGAGCACCAGAAAGAUAUGUAAGAUUAUUUUAUCACCUAACUAUCUUGGAUUUUGGGUGUUUCCGUUUUUACAUUAAUCAGCUGGUGACCAAAAAGGACAAUUGAAUAAUUGGCUGACCAUUUUGUAACUUUCAUAGUUGGAUGAUCUAAAAAGAAAUGUACUAUUAGUUAAGUGAUUACUAGUGUAGUUUGUCCUAUAAUUAAUUGUGCAUGCAAUAUUUAAACAUAAGAUGAUGUUCUAUGGAUAAUUGUAUUAAUAGUUUGUGAGAAUUGAAUCAAAUCAAAAUUUCAUGUAUAAAAUUGCGCAAAAUCAAAGUUCUUGAGUAAAAUUGCACAUUAAACCAAAAUUCAUGUGUAGUUUUGAAAUUUAUCACAUACAAUAAUUCUUAUUUUGUCAAAAGAACAUAAAUAUAUAGGGUAAACUACAUAGAUAAUCACUCAACUAUAAAAAAUUCUCAUUUUAGGCGCCCAAAAUAAAAAAAGUUUACAAUUUAAGCACCCAUGUUACAUGGUUCGUUCAUUUUGGUCACUCCCAUUAAAAGCCCAAACAAAAAUCUGACAUGACAUUUUUUUGACACGUGGAUCAAUCAUUGGAUGCCACAUGGCACAAUUUACCACUGCAUACCACUUUACACUUGAAAGGAGUAAAAUAUAAUUUACCCCAUACUAAUUAUUAACCAAAUGAAUAAAUUAGUAUUGGGUAAAUUAUAUUUUAGUCCUUUCAAGUUUAAAGUGGUAUGCAAUGGUAAAUUGUGCCGUGUAGGCAUCCAAUGAUUGAUCCGCGUGUCAAAAGAAAAUGUCAUAUCAGAUUUUUGUUAGACUGUUAACGAGAUUGAUCAAAAUGAAUAAAUUAUUUAACAUGAAUGUUUAAAUUGCAAACAUUUUUAUUUUUGGUGUUUAAAAUGAAAAUUUUUUAAUAUUUGGGUGACUAUCUAUCUAGAUUACCCCAAUAUAUAUCCCAUAUAAAUGAUAACGUAUCAAAGUACAACAAAUUACAAACAAAAAGAAAGUACAAGAAAUAAUGGGAUUUGGGAAACUCCCAUUUAUCAAACAAAUAUAUGUGGUGAAAAAAAAGAACAUACAAUACUCAAAAUCAAGAGACAAAGACAACUAAAAUCACAUUCAAACAAAUCCAGUAUGCAGCAGAUAAACCAAAGGGGGUAUUUCAAUAAACCAAAGGGUAUUUCAAGGAGUAGAAGGAGAAGGUGGUGGAGAAAGGAAAGGAAUAGAGGGGAUUGCAGUUGGGAUUGAGGGCAUGCUUGGUAGAGGAGGCAGUGUGGCCCUUGGUACACUUGGCAAUGUGGGCAACCCUGGCAUGAUAGGAAGUGGAGGAAGCGCCCCAGGCCUUGGCAAUGCUGGUAUGGAUGGCUGUGGGAGAUUAGGGAUAGAUGGAAGUGGGGGGAGUGUGGUUGUAGGCAAAGUUGGCAUUGGAGGCAAUUGAGGCAGUUGCAGAAGGUGACGAGCUGCUACCCCAACAUCAGUGCUUGCAAAUGACAAAGCCAUCACGAAUACUAAAGCAAAGCAAUUGAAAGAUGCCAUUUUUCUAGAGAUGUGAGUCCAAUUAAGCAGACGAAAGAAAGCUCUUGUUUUGAUAGUUGUGGAGUGAGGGAGAGAAAGCAUGGUGUUGGGGGUUUAUAUAGGUCUUGGAUCAGUGGAGUUGGUAAUGUUUGAUCAUGUAUGGUUGGAAUGGAGAAAACAUAGUCGAUAUUAAAGGAUUUGGUAGCUCAACUUCCCAUGGGUAUUGUAGUUUAAAACAGGUGAAAUGCUGUUGUGGUUGGCAUAGAAGCUUCAUCCAGCCACUUAAUUAAACAGUAUACUUAAACAAUCCUCCAGGUUAGCAAAGUUUUCGCUAGUUGUCCAGAUAUCUAACAGAAUUAGGAUUUGUUUACUUAACAUGUUAGGUAUGAUAGUAUUUCCAAGGUUGGUUGUAUAAAUAAAUUUGCUAUGGUUGAGCAUAAAAUUGUUGUGAGUUAACCUACAGCUUCGUAUAGACUUAUUAAUUUUGACUUGAACUUGGAAUGAUUCAAACAAAUACUUUGAAAUGACAAACAAAUAACUCGAAAUGACCUAAAUUUGAAGUGACCAAAAUCUGAAAUAAUCGAAACCUAUAAUGACUCGGCCCAAAAAACUCGAGCCUCAAACCCAAAUUAAAUUGAAUCAAAAUUAUAAUUUCAUGUAUAUAACUGUAGAAAAUUAAAGUUUGUGUGUCAUAUUGUACAUUAAAUCAACGUUUACGUUUGACAUUACGUAUUGAGGUAAUGUUCAUUCAUAAUUUUGUGAUUUAUUCCCUUAAUUAAAGUAAUAUGUCAAAUAGUAUACUCUUGGUGAAGUUUAUGUACAUUGUAAGCGAACUAAAUAAUUAGAAUAAAUCUAAAGUAGGGCUUGGGCCUCCAAGAUUUCACGGUCUCAAUUUAUGUCUUAAAAUUUCAUAUUAUUGUCCUUAAGGAUAUUUACGAAUUUACGUAUUUCUUAGGAUUUAACUUAUAUCAUGCGCAAUGAGAAAAUUGCAAAAAUUUACUCAUUUGAAUGGAAUUGAGCUAUUAGGCUCAAGCAUCAUACAGGCAUAUCCAUCCUCUUAUUUUGAGUCUUACAAGUUUAUAGCAAACCAAAUCUAUAUAAACAUCAUUUAACAGAUGUAUCUAAAAGAUGUGAAAUAUGUAUAAUUCUUUAAAAUACACGAAAACUUCUAAUAGGGUUUAGGUUAUUUUUCGAUUUGUCUAUUUUAGGUUCAAAUCAUUCGAAUUUGAAGCUAAAUUUUUAAUAUCUAAUCAUUAUUGAUUCGAAUCAUUUCAAAUUUUGGUCAUUUUAAAUUCGAAUUGUUUUGUGAUCAAAUCAUUUCAAGUUUGGAUUGAUUCAGGUGAAUUCGAAUUUGGAUUUAUUAUUAUUAUUAUUAUAAAUUGAGUUUGAGUCAUUGCAUUGCUUAAGUAAAAAUUUAAAGAUUUGCCUCUGUGGUUUGCAUUGAGCUGCUUACGAGGGAGAAGUUGGAAGUUAGACUUACCCAUUGAGGUGGUAGCGGUCUUGCCUUGGAAUAACGCCAAGUAGAAGUUUGAAAAAAUACAUUUGUUAACAGAAUUUUAUUUUAUAACAUUCUCGGAUCCUGAAACACUUGUUUAAAGGUGAUAGUACGACGACGUUGAUUUCUUUUAUCACCACAAGUCUAAUUAUAUAUAUUGGAUUUAAUUUUUUAGUCCCAACCCAAUAAAUAAAAUAUACAUGUAACAUCUUAUAAAAAUUGUCAAUAAAUUAUACCUAGUGACAAAGUUAUUCAAAUCUAAUUUCAUUGCUAAUACCUAGUUUUUUUUUUCUACUGUCUUCAACUUUCAAUAUAAACGGAUUGAAAAUUUAAGAAAUUUAUGUUAUUUGAAAUAUCUUUUCUUAAAAAAUUGGUGUUUAGUAUAAGAUAAUUAGUAUCGUAUCAGUGGAUGUUUGAUUUUUAUUUUUACUAGAAUUGAUACAUAUCUUUUUGAAUUUAUCAAUAUUUUUUAAAAUUAUUUAAGAUAUGUAUAUAAAUAUAUUACAAAUAUAAAACGAAUGAAACCAAAUACAUUUCAAAUAUAACAUAUUCAUUAAUAAACUCAACAAAUAAAAAUUUAUCAUUCAAAUAAAUCCAAAAUUAAUAAUAAAAAUCCAUCAUUCAAUAUGAAGUUUUAAGGAUUUAGCUCGUUUCCUUAGUAAGGUGAAUGAUUUUUUCAUAAUUAUAUUUUAGUCUUUAUAUUUGAAUGUGAAAGUAUGUCCCAUUUUUUUUAAAACUUUACAUUCUUGAUGUCCACGAAAUUAACUAAAAUUAAGACAAGUGCAUCUAUCAAUUAAUAGUAUAGCUAUGGUGAGCACAAAUAUCGUUACCACAAAGAUUAAAAGUACUAGUAAUUAUUGUCUUUCUAUUAGUUAACUGAAUAAAUCGAGUGAUGGAUUAAAAACAAAAUUUAACUAACGAACAUGACAAAGAAAAAAAUAGAAAGAUAAUCGAUUAACAACCAAGAAGUAAAACAAUACCCGGGAAAUAAUUCACCUAGAUUUCAUCUGUCACUAUCAAUCUAAAUUACAUAAUUUCUUUACUUGGUAUCUUGAUACGCAGAAAUCCCUGAAUUAUGCUAAUAUCUCUUUCGAGAGUAAGAGCAACUGACUCUAGGUUGAUUAAUUGAAAUUUCUUUCUAAUUAAAACCCCUAUUAUCGCAUUAACUCGAUCUAUGGAUUCCUCAAUUAAAUUUGACUCUAAUCUUGUAGAUUUAUGUUGUCCUAUUUCUAGGAUUGCAUGCAACUCCACUCAAUUAUACAAGAUCUACUCUUAAACUGGGUUUAUUCCUCCUUUGAUUUAAGCACAUCAAACGUGAAUCAAUAAUCUAGAAAUAUUAAACCAAGAAUUAAGCACACAUAAUUGAGAACAAAAUCUAAGUAUUUAUUGCAUAAAAUAAAAAUCAAACGAUAAAAUUCAUCAUAAGGUUCAUCUCCUUUAGGUAUUUAGAAAUUUAGUUCAUGAUUGAAAGUAAAAAUAUCAAAAAUACAGUAUAAUCGAAAGAAACAAAGAAACUCAUGAUAAUUUCCUAAGAAAUCAAAUGUGAAUCUUCAAUCUUGACGGGAAUCUGCUUUAGAAUCGGCUUAAAUGAUGUUUUUUGAGUUGUUUUCUUGAAUAUUCUAUGACAGCUCUCUCUUAUCUUCUUAUUUUUGCCAUAUAUACGUCUUAGAAUGCACGAAAAACCUAAAAAUUGCAUUUUCCCGCAGUUCAGAGUGCUAAUUCACGAAAUCGGCACAGCCUGCCACAUGGCCGUGUGUAAGGGGUCAGCUCGUGUGACCCUUGUACCUUGCUUCGAUUUUUUGGUUUUUGUUCGUUUUUCACUUGUUUUGCUCCUAACUGCCCUCAUGAGUAUAAAAAACAUGAAUUUAAAGGAUUAGGAGCAUAAAAUUAAUCAUUAACAUCGAAUAAUCACCCAAAAACACAUUGAGGCUGAGAUUAAAACAUGUUCCUUUUAGCACUUAUCAAAUAUCCCUACAAUUAAGCAUUUGCUUGUCCUCAAGCAAAAUCCUCAACUCACAUUCAAGUUAAUUUCCCUCAAUUUAUUUUUUUCACUGAUAAUGUCUUAAGAUAAUUUACAAAUAAUCAUGCAUUAGAAAUUCACUCUAAAGUGACACUAAACAGUACAAACAAUCCAAGCAGAGAAUUUUUAAGGCUUAAAAACAUUAGGCAUCUCCCCUAUCUCAAUAAUUACCUGAAAUUCAAACUCAACAAGAAUUAUCAUCCUCACUAAGGAUUCACUCAAAGCACUCAAAGUGUUUUAAGGUUCAAGUAAUAUGCACUCAAUAGUUGAACAAGAAAUGUCAUUACUAUAGGCUUUCUUGAAAAUCAAAUCUCCACCACUAUAUAAAUGAGAUGACACAGCAAUCAAGAGGUCUUAAUAAGGUUGUAAUGGGGCUUAGGUUAAGGGUAUUGAAUAGGUUAGAAGAGUUGGUUUUAAUAGAGAAUCAAAUGGAUAUGUUACCAAACUAGAAAAAAAUCAGUUGUUGAAUUAAAAGAAUUUACAUAAACAAGAAAUAAAUAACGAAAAUGAGCUUUUCAACAGAAUAUGAAGCUAACGAUUCAAGCUCAAUCAAAUUUUUUAAUUUUUAGAUUUUUUCACUUUUUUUUCAAACAGAAUACAAUUCAACAAUACAAAUUAUAGAACAUAGUUAGACAACUAAGCAAAUGAGGUCUCGAAAAAAAGUGGUCCAUAAAAAGGAUAAUUUUACAACAUAGAUAUAGGUUAUGUGUUAACAUUAAAGGGUGAUAGAAAAAAUGUGUUAGGAUCAACGAGAUUUACUAGGGGUUAAUUCAACGGGUAAGCUAUUUAAAGGUUAAAUGGGUUAAAUCUUAAAUGCCUCUAUCAUCUCAAUAUAUCAAAUCAUUAAUGUGGUCUCGACAUAUAUAACCGAAGCAAGUUCUAGAAUAACAAAUCAAGUUGACAUACUCACAAUAGAACCAAUAGGAAAAAAAUAUAGGUUAUAUAGGAUCAAAAGCUCACAAAAAAUUAUGGUUUUGAUGUCAAACUUACAAAUUUAAAAUUUCAAAAUAAUUCUUUAGUUCAGGGAGACAACCUAAAAUAAUAGUUUUUGAAAAACAAAUUAUCAUGCUUGACUCUCUCGUGUCUUAAAAUAUUAAUCACACAAUGCACAAAUAUCCACAAAUUAUUCCCAAAAUAGAAUCACUAAAAACUCUAAAUUAAAAAAAUAACUUUAAUGAUAGGUGUGAGAAAAUCACUUAAACACGAACAAUAAUUCAUGGAGACACCUAAAAUAAUAAUUUCUGAAAAACAACUUAUCAUGCUUGACUCUCUCGUGUCUUAAAAAUAUUAAUUACACAAUGCACAAACAUCCACAAAUUAUUCACAAAACAGAAUCACUUAAAACUCUAAAUUAAAAAAAAAAUAACUUCAAUGAUAGGUGUGAGAAAAUUACUUAAACAUACAAACAAUAAUUCAGAGAUUUCAUCACAUAGGCAUACAAACAUCCACCCCACACUUAAGAUGUACAUUAUUCUCAAUGUACAAACAAAUAUAAACAAAAUACACAAAAUAUCAUAGGGGAGGAAGAGAACUAAAACUGCCUUGAAUUUAGAUGAAUUCGUUGGAAUAGUGAAAACCAGAAUCAUAGGCAAUUCUAAAUGAAGUACAUGUUUCCGAGCAAACUAAUAAAAAAAUAGAAAAAAAAGAAGAUAAAGAGAUACAAAAUAGAAAAACAACUUAUAAAAUAAUAACAGUAAUGUUUAAAAUAAAAAUAAAAUUAAACAGAUAAGUCUGAAAAAUAAAAUAAAAAUGAAUAACAAGAAAAAUAAAAAUAAAAAAACAUAAAACUAAAUAAAAUCUAAAUAUUUCAAAAGAAAAUAACAAAAAAAUUCUAAUACUAGUUUAAUAACAAAGUUAGCAGAAUAAAAAUGAAAAUAAUAAUAAAUAGGAUGGUUGGUUUGGAGGGUACCAACGGUGGUGUUGGGAGAAGGAAAAAAAAUGAAAACCCACUAGCAUUAAAAAAGGGUACAUGGCCAUGUGAUAGACCAUGUGAGCCACACAGCCGUGUGGUCAGACCAUAUAUUUCUUUGAAGCUAUGUGGCCUAUUAGAAAAUUUUAAAAAUUUGCUCCAGUGUUCACACGACCUGUGACACGCCGGUGUCUCCAGGCCAUGUGUUGUUACCGUUAGCUUCUCCCACGCCCGUGUACAUGGGUGUGUGGGGCACACGGCCGUAUCUUUAGGCCAUGUGCCUUCGACUCAGACCGUGUGGUCAAAAAAAUAAUUUUGAAAAAUUAUCUCUAGUGUUCACACGGCAUGUGACACGCUUAUGUGUCUAGGCAGUGUGUCCUACACGGUCAUGUGGUCUACCCCAGACCAUGUGGACCACUUUUUUUCCAAUUUUUUUAAAUAUAUUUUUUUUCAAAUUAUUUUUUAAUUUUUUAGGUAAUAAUAAAAAAUAAGUGUACUAAUCACUCAACAUAAUUAAAAUAAAAUAUAAAAAACCACACUCGGGUUGUCUCCCGAGGAACACAUAUUUAAAGUCUAAGUUCGACUUCCCUUUUCAAGAUAAUGGUUAAAGCGGAUCUUGGAGCUGGAGCUCCUUUCUCUCGUUAUCAAUAUCACCACCAAAAUAAAGUUUGAGUUGAAUACCAUUUACCUUAAAUGUGUUGUAUUCAGGACAUGUUACCUCAAUGGUUUCGUAUGAUAAUACGUUCUGUACCACAAAUGGGUUCGACCCUCUUGACUUAAGCUCUGUAAGGACCAUUCAUGGAUCUGACUCAUCUACCAGCACUUUGUCUUCAACUUUGAAUUGAUUUGUCCUCUUUACAUGCGUGCCAUAGCGUUGUUUUGUUACUUCUUUGAACGUUCUCGGUUUCUCAUAAGGCUUUGGUCGCCAUUCAUCUAAUUCAUCAAGUUGCACCAUUCAUUUUCCACUUUUCCCUAGAUUUUUAUCACCUUGAACACUAUACGAUUCUAACACGUAUUCGUGAUUGAUUUCCUGCAAAGAUUGUUGAGUUGCACGAUUACUAACAUUAUUAGAAUAAUGAGUAUCAUCUCACUCAUUAGAAACUCUCACAAUUUCAUGUGUUGGAAGAGUAAACCCUCAUGAUGGUCACUAACUAUAAUUACGACAAAGGCAAGUGCACCUAUCAAACAAUAGUAUAGCUAUGGUGAGUAUAGAGUAUAGUAUCCACGAGGACUAAAACUACUAGUAAUAACUGUUUUUCUAUUAUUUAGCCAAUAAAUUAGGGUGAUUGCUUUUAAUCUAAAUUUACUAAUCUAAAUUAACUAAGAACACAACAGAAAAUGAAAUAGGAAAUAAUCGAAUAAUACCAAAGAGAAAGACAAUACCCAGGAAAGAAUCCACCUAGACUUCACUUAUUAUUCUGAAUAUGAAUUAAAUGAUUUAUUCACUUGUGUCUUGAUCCAUAGAAAUCCCUAAAUUAUAUUAAUAUCUCUUUCGAGAGUAAGAAUAAUUAACACUAGGUUGAUUAAUUGAAAUCUCUUUCUAAUUAAAACUCCUUUUGUCGCAUUAAAUCGAUCUAUGGAUUCCCCUAUUAGAUUUGACUCUAAUCUGGUAGAUUUAUGUCAUCCUAUUUCUAAGAUUGCAUGCAACUUCACUCAAUUAUGUUAGAUCUACUCUUAAAUAGGGACUUUUGCUCCACUAAAAUAAUUACAUUAAACAUGAAUUAAUAUCCCAAAAAUAUUAAAACAUUAAAUAAGCAUAUAUAAUUGAGAACAAGAAUCAAAUAUUUAUCAUGUAAUUCAGAAAUCAAAUAAUAAGAUUCAUCAUAGGUUUCAUCUUCCGUAGGUAUCUAGGGAAUUUAGUUCAUAAUCUGAAAUGAAAACAUCUCAAAGUCAGAAAAACCACAAGACAUAAAGAAAUUCACUAAAACUUCAAAAGAAGUUAAAAUGAGAUUUUCAAUCUUGAAGGAAAUCCGCUUCUGCGUUGGCUUCGAUGGCGUUCUUUGAGUAAUUUCUUCAAUCUUCUCUGAGUGAUCCGUUAGGUCUUCUUCUAAUUGUUAUUUAUAUAUGUAAAAAAAUAGAACGUCGGCAAUGACAAUCUAUUGCAAAGAAAAAUAGAGAGAAAAAUAAAGAACACAGAUUUUACGUGGAAACCCUUUCGAGAAAAAAACCACGGGCAGAGGAGAAGAUAAUUCACUAUGUCGAAUUUGAAUAAUUACAAGAGAAGUAGACUAUGUCUAUUUAUAGGCUUGUAAAACCAUAUUCUAAUAAAAGUGUAGUAAGAUUGAAACACCUUAUUCUAAUAAAUAUCAAAUAGAUGGAGCUUAAUAAGGUUUGAAAAACCUUAUUCUAAAAUAAAAUAAAAGAAGUGUAGUUCUAUAUAGAUUUUACUUUUAUUUUAUUUUACCAAUGUAUUUUUUUAAAUAAGGAUUCGGGUCACUUAAUUCUAACAAUCUCCACAUUGACACGAAUUAUCAAUGAACAAGUUCUUCAUCGCGAACUCUCAAUGAACAAGUUCUCCAUCUCUUCCAUAAAACCCUUUAAGGGUUUAACUUCAACAAUGAACACCAACCAAGUCUAAGUAAUGUUCAAACUUGGUUAUAAGAAGUGACUUAGCAUCAUAUCUGUAGGAUUUUGAUGAGUACUAAUUUUGCUCAUAACAAUAUCACCACGAGCAAUAAUAUCACGAACAAAAUGAUACCAAACAUCAAUGUGUUUUGUUCUCUCAUGAAACAUUUGAUAAGGAAUAUGACACUCUAUCUUUCACAAAAUACUAUACUGAUUUGAAGGUCUUCAUUAAGUUCACUAAAGAGUCCCUUCAACCAAAUGGCUUCUUUACAAGCCUCAGUAAUCGCCAUGUACUCAGCUUCAGUGGUAGACAAAGCAACUGUAGUUUGCAAAGUGGCUUUCCAAUUGAUUGCACAACCUUUUGAUUGUAAAGACAUAACCUGUGAGAUCUUCUUCUAUCAAGGUCUCUAGCAAAAUUAGCAUUAACAUACUCAAUGACUCCAUCUCUAGUUCUUCCAAACUGUAAGCAAACAUCAGUAGUACCUCAUAAGUAUCUUAAAAUCCAGUGAACUACUUUCCACUGUUCUUUAUUGGGAUUCGCCAUGUAUCUGCUAACUGCACUGACUGCAUAUGAUAAAUUUCAACAUGAACAAACCAUAGCAUACAUGAGAGAUCCUACUGCACUAGAGUAUGGAACAUGUAACAUGUACUCAAUCUCAUCAUCUGAUUGUGGAGACAAAGCUGAUGAAAGUUUGAAAUAGGCUGCUAAAGGAGUACUAACAAGCUUAACAUUAUGCAUAUUGAAACUGCAAAGAACUUUCUCAAUGUACCCCUUCUGACUUAGGUAGAAUUUACUAGCUUUUCUAUCUCUGAGAAUCUCCAUACAAAGUAUCUUCUUUGCUGGUCACAAAUCUUUCAUCUCAAUUUCUUCACUUAGUUGUGCUUUGACCUUUCUUAUCUCCCCUUUAUCUUUCAUUGCUAUCAACAUGUCAUCAACAUAAAGGAGUAGAUACACAAAAGAACCAUCACUAUUUUUCUUAAAGUAAACACAACUGUCAAAGCUACUUCUUUUUAAAUCAUGAGAAUUCAUAAAGGAAUCAAACCUCUUGUACCAUUGUCUUGGUGACUAUUUCAAACUGUAAAAGGGACUUUUUUAGCAAGCAAACAUAGUCCUCUUUUUUUGAGACUGUAAAACCCUCUAGUUGUUGCAUGUAAAUAUCCUCCUUAAGUUCUCCAUGCAAAAAUACAUUUUUUACAUCUAACUGCUCAAGCUCCAAAUCAUGCAUGGCCACAAUACCAAGCAAAACUCAAAUCGAACUAUGCUUCACAACUGGGGAGAACACAUCUGUGAAAUCCACUCCUGGAAUUUGACUAUAACCCUUUGCAACAAGCCUUACUUUAUAUCUGGGUUCUUCAACUCCUGGAGUCCCUUCUUUCUUUUUAAAAACCUAUUUACAACGAACAACACUUUUACCUUUAGGAAGUUUCACAAGAUCCCAUGUUUUGUUUUUGUGGAGUGAUUCUAUCUUUUCUUACGUAGCAAACAUCCACUUUUCUGAGUCUUCAUAGCUAACUGCAUUAGAAUAAUUAGAUGGCUCUUGGUUUGCAUCUAUAUCUUCAGCCACAUUUAAAGCAUAAACAACUAGAUCAGCCUCGACAUACUUCUUUGGAGGUUUAAUUUCUCUUCUAAAUCUAUUUUUGGUGAGAGAGUAUUGUGGUGAAGAUGCAACUCUAUUUGAAUUUUUGUACUGGCUUAAGUAGUCGACUCUAUUGUAGAUUCUGGAUUAAUCUGAUGUUCCACCAGCUUUUGAUUUUCUUUAUUAGAAGAGUCUUUAAGAGAUAAGUUAGGUAGCAUAGCAGUUUCAUAAAAAAACAUCUCUGCUAAUCACAACUUUUCUAUUUUCAGGACACCAUAACUUAUACCCUUUUACACCAGCUUUAUAACCAAGAAAAACACAUUUAAUGGAUCUCGGUUCCAAUUUUCCAUUAUCAACAUGAGCAUACGCAGGACACCAAACCAUACUUCUUGUGGAGUCUUUUUCUCAAUGACAAUGGAUUGAGAUCGAUUGAUCAAAAAACAUGCAGUGGAGGCUGCUUCGGCCCAAAACGACUUUGGUGAGUUGGCAUUUGACAACAUAUAUCGAACUUGUUCCAUGAUCGUUUUGUUCAUUCGUUCUGCAACACCGUUUUGCUGUGGAGUAUGAUGAACUGUCAAGUGUCUCACGAUCCCUUCUAACUUGCGCAGUUUAUUAAACUCAUCAAAAUAGAACUCUAAGCCAUUGUCUGUGCGAAGGUAUUUUAUUUGUUUUCCCGUCUAUUUUUCAAUCAUAGUUUUCCAAGACUUAAAUGCGGAAAACAUAUCACUUUUCUUCUUCAGGAAGAACGCUCAAACUUUUCUGGAAAAAUCAUAAAUAAAAGUUAGCAUAUAAUUAGCUUCACCUCUCGAAGGCACUCUAGAUGCCUCCCACAUAUCAAAAUGAAUAUACUCCAAUGUUCCCUUCGUGUUAUGGAUUCCUCUGGUGAAUCGAACUCUCUUUUGCUUCCAAAAAAUGCAGUGCUGAUAGAACUUCAGUUUUCAAAUUCCUUGCCCAUCAAGAAGUCCUAUUUUGCUCAAUUUUGCCAUGCCAUUCUCACUCAUAUGCCCUAGGCUCAUAUGCCAAAGUUUAGUAAUAUCAGCAUCUAACAAGGAAAAGGAAGCGACAGUUGCAUCACCAGUAACAGUAAAACCCUACAGAACGUAUAACUUGGCGGUCUUUCUCUGCCCUUUCAUCACAAUGAGGGAACUUUUGAAAAUCUUCAAAACCCCACUUUCAGCUGUGUAUUUGUACCAUUUUGAAUCAAGAGUACUCAACAAAAUUAAAUUUGUCUUCAAUUCUGGAACAUGUCGUACGUUACUAAGUGUUUUGACAACACCAUCAAACAUCUUAACUUUAAUUGUUCCAACUCCUGCAAUUCUACAUGAAGCAUUAUUUCCCAUCAAAACAACACCUUCAGACACUAUUUUGUAAGUUGUAAAUCAAUCCUGAUUGGGACUCAUGUGGAAAGUGUAGCCCGAAUCAAGGAUCCACUCCUCGCUCACUUCAGAAUUGUUGACAGAAGCGACUAGAAGUUCACCAUCGCUGUAGUCUUCUACAACAUCAGCUUUACUGAUAUUUUCUGGUUGUUUUCCAUUUUGAUUCACAGCCUCCCUUUUGAUCUUGUUCUGUAGCUUAUAGCACUCAAAUUUAAUGUGUCCUUUCCUCUUGCAGGAGUUACAAGUUUUACCUCUGUUUGAAGACUUUGAUCUACUCUUGGAUUUACCGUGAGGAUUUCCCUAUGUCCUUCCACGAUCAUCAUCAACAUUCCAAUCUUGUCUUCCACGAACAAUGAGACCCUCUCUUUGAGAGUCGAUUUUAACUACAAGAUGCUUCAUCCUAUCAUACAAGGUUAAAGAAUUAUAAACCUCAUCAACUGUGAGAGACUCGCGGCUAUAUAAAAUCGUACCUCUAAAGGUUGAAUAAGAUGAGGGCAAUGAACAAAGUAGAAUCAACCCUAGAUCUUCCUUAUCAUAUUGAACCUCCAUGGCCUCCAAGUUUGAGAGAAUUUCUUUAAACACUGUUAAGUGUUCGUGCACCGACGCACCUUCCUCUAAACAAUGAGCAUAAAGAUGCUGCUUCAUAUGCAGCUUGCUAGUUAGAGUUUUCGACAUACAUAUUUUUCCAACCUCUUCCAUAAUCCAGUGGCAGUCUUCUCCUUCAUCACAUCUUGUAAAAUUUCGUUACAUAAAGGUAGAUGUAACUGUGUUAACGCCUUUUGAUUCUUGCGCUUCUUCUCUUUCUCCGUCAAUGUUGAAGGCAUCUUAUUUACCCCUAGUAGGGCUUCCUCUAAGUCCAUCUGUGCAAGAACUGCCUACAUCUUUAUCUGCCACAACGUGAAUCUGGUGUUGCGAUCCAACAGUAGAAUUUCAUACUUCAAAGAUGUCAUUACCGUGAUUGAGAUGAACAACCCAAAAGCUCUGAUACCAAUUUGUAAAAAAAUAGAACGUCAGUAAUAACAAUUUAUUGCAAAGAAAAAGAGAGAAAAAUAAAGAACACACAAACUUUACGUGGAAAUCCUUUGGGGGGAAAAAAACCACGGGCAGAGGAGAAGAUAAUUCACUAUGUCGAAUUCGAAUAAUUACAAGAGGAGUAGACUAUGUUUAUUUAUAGGCUUGUAAAACCAUAUUCUAAUAGAAGUUUAGUAAGAUUAAAACACCUUAUUCUAAUCAAUAUCAAAUAGAUGAAGCUUAAUAAGGUUUACAAAACCUUAUUCUAAAAUAAAAUAAAAGAAUAGUUCUAUAUGGAUUUUAAUUUUAUUUUAUUUUACCAAUGUAUUUUAUUUAAAUAAGGAUUCGAGUCACUUAAUUCUAACAAUAGACUUUAAAAUGCUAAGGAAGCCUAAAAAUUGAGUUUUUCCGCGUGUUUAGGAAACAAGAUGCGAAAUCGACAUGAGUUGGCACAGGGGAGAGUGGCCAGCCCGUGUGACUCAGACGAGCGUGUGGCCAGUCCAUGUGGAAAUGCUGAGGCUGUGUGGAUGCUGAAAACAACUCUUUUUGCUCAAUUUUGGCUUCUAUUUCGCUCAUUUAGCUCCCCUAUGCUUUCUUAAGUAUAAAAACAUGAAUUUGAAGGAUUAGGAGCAUCAAAUUCACUAAUUUACAUAAUUAAUCAUCCAAAAAUGCAUUAAGAAUGGGAUUGAAAUAUGUUACUUUUAUAGCUUAUCAAAUGUCCCCUCACUUAAGCGUUUGCUUGUCCCCAAGCAAAAUGCUCAACUCACAAUUAAAAAUUAAUCUUUCUCAACUUAUAAUUCUCAUCAAUAAUGUUUGGUCAUAAUUCACAAAUAAUUAUACAUUGAUAAUUUAACUAAAAGAGCACUAAAGAUUCAAACAAUCCAAGUCGAGCAUUUUUAAAGCAUGAAAACAUAAAUAUUUCCCCUUAUCUAAGUAAUUACCUUUAAUUCAAAAUCGACAAGAAUCGACAUCCUCACUAAAGAUUCACUCAAAUCACUCAAAGUGUUUAAGGUUAAAAAAUAAGCACUCAAUAGUCAAACAUGAAAAGUCAUUACCAUAGGCUUGCAUGAAAAUCAAAUCUCCACCACUAUAAAAUGAGAUGAUACACAAUCAAAAGGUCUAUAAGAGGUUGUAAUGGGGCUUAGGUUAAAGGUGUGGAAAAAGACUGAAAAAGAUGGUUAGAAUCGAGAUCGAAUUGAUAAAUUACCAAACUAGAAAAAUAAACAAAUGUUGAAUUAAAAAUAAUUACAUCAAUCGAAAGCUAUUCAAGAAUGACUCGAGCUUAUUCUCAAAAAUGAAUUUAACUAUUUAAGCUCAAUUAACAUAGAACUAAGUGAUAAUCAAUAUAUAUGUAUUUUUAUUUUAUUUUUUAAAUUUUCUUCUUUUUUUUGAGAAUAAUAAGAAAUAAUUUAGCAACUUAAACAAAAAGCUUAAUAAAAAAAUUAACCAAAUCAAAUCUCGAUAACAAUGGAGUCAAUAAAACAGGAAAAAUUCUCAAUGAACAAAAAAUGAGUUAUGGGUUAACAUUAAUGGGUAAAUCAAGAAACGGUGUGUUAAGCUCAAAGGGGUUCACUAGGGGUUAAUUAUGUAGGUAGGCUUUUUAUGGGAUAAGUGGGUUAAAACCUAAGUGCCUUUAUCAUAUCAGUAUAUCAAAUCAAAGGUGUGGUCUCGACAUGCAUAAUCGAAGCAAGUUCUAGAAUAACAAAUCAAUAUUGACACACUCAGAACCAAUAAUAAAAAUGAGCAAGAAAAAUGUAUGCUUUAAAGGCUUAAAAUCUCACAAAAAAUUAUAGUUUUUGAUGUCAAUCUUGCAAAUCUCAAACUUCAAGGUAAUACCUCAGUUCAGGGAAACAACCUAAAAUUUUUUAAUUCUGAAAAUAGACUUAUCAUGCUUGAUCCUCUCAUAUCUUAAAGUUUAAAACAACCAAUGCACAAUUAUCUAUGAAUUUAAUCUAAAACACAUCAAUAAAAAUCACAAAUCGAUAAAAAAUCAUUCUAAUAGUAGUAUGAGAAAAUUACUUAAACACAAGACAUAAUUCAGGGAUUUUCUAUUAAUUAUAUAAAUAACCUCCCCACACUUAAGAUGUACAUUGUCCUCAAUGUACAAACAUAGAUAAUCACAUUAUAAGCAGAAUAUCAUAAGAGAGGAAGAAAACUGAAACUACCCUGAAUACUGGAUGAAAUCUCCAGAAUAGUGAAAAGUGAUGUUGUAGUCAAAUCUAAAUGUAGAGCACGAUUUCGUACAAACUAAUAAGAAAAUAAACACAAAUUGUGAAGAAGAUUAAGGGAUUAAAACUCAAUUAGAAACAACCAUAAAAAUAAAAAAUAUAGUUCAAUAUAUAAAAACGAAAUAAGUCUAAGAAAAUAACAAUAAACAUAAAAAUAAAAAUAAAAUAAAACAAAUGGACUCAAUUGUCCUCAUCAUUAGAUGCGUCGGUGUCGUGAGUCGUCGGCGCUGAGGAGGAGAUAUAGAGAUGCUGACAGGUUUGCUGCAAUGUCGCAUCAAUACUGUCGAACCUCUAAAAGCAAUGCUACUUGAAACGAGUGAAUUGCUCGGAGAGGUCUGCUAAAGUAGCAGCAGAAGAAACAUGAAGGUGACUCAAAGGUAGAGGAUGAGGUGAAUCCUCGUGAUGGAAGGGGACAUCAUCAGUGAAGUCCUCGGGUUCAUUCUAAGAGUGAGAAUGAACGAAUUGGUACUGAACAAGAUCUACUCCACGACGCCGCUCAAUCAUCCCCAUAUGGAUCAUGCUCGAGAUUCCCUGUGGGGACAUCUGGUCACGAGUGUAAGUGUAGGGGACUGCUUUGGUGUGUCAAGGAGAUCGAAGUGUCGAGCAAGUCGAGUCACAUAAGGGCCUAAACAGAUGUGACCCUUCUUGUGGCGGUCAGUUUGAUGGCGGAAGGCUAAGGCGAUGAAGUAUGCCGAAUCAAAUAUAUGCCCGGUGGCCAUGCUCCAUAGAAAAUAAACAUCAGUGGUAUUGACGACUCCAGUGCUCUCUCUCCUACCGGUCAAACUAUGAGCUAAAAGGGCAUGAAGAUACCGUAAGGUCGGAGAGAGUGAAGUCGCCUUCGAGCUACUCGCAUCAUAAAGUGUCCUACUCACCUUAAGCUCUGGCCAACAACGAGAUGGCGAGAAAUGGAUGUGCUGGUGUAGGUGCAGGAAGUUCUCGGCACUCAUAAACACCUCAACAUAGAGUCCUAUAGCAGCGCUAAACUCGGGGACACUCAUAUGGCACACCAAACCACCAAGUCUGAAAGUAAUGGUGCCCGAUUGGUCAUUAGUCAUCAUUACCUACUGUAGAAUAAAUGUAGAACAAAACUCCAAAGUAAGCUCCAUGUAUGUGGGCUCGAUGAUGGAGAAAAAUUGGUCCUACGGGGUUGUAGUAAUAAAGGCGCGCACUUGAUUAGCUAUUUGGACCUACUCCAAAGCGGCCCAAUCAAUACAUCAGCCUAGGCCGAGUGGGUGCUGUCGAAAUAGUUGAAAUAAAUUCUCUUGGGGCUCCGUAGAAAUUGGAGAUAAGGGUGGCAGGCCUUGACAGAAGCGCUCGAAGAAGAGGUCGUACCAAGGGUCUUUCGCUUUUUCGAAGCAGGGACGACUACCUUAGACUUGCCUCGUGUUUUCGUCAUGGUGUGCCUGGAAACUAAAUAAUUCAUCAAUAAAUAAAGCAUCACCAAGUAAACAAACAAAGAAGCUGAGAAAUAGUUGUGUAAAUUAACAUACGACACUAAGAAUCAUCCUAAGACGCGCAUCGAAGUCUAAAUUGCCUAAAUAGAAAAUUCAUUCCAAAAACACUAUUUACUAGUAUCAGCCAUGUAAAAAUAAUAACAGAAAAGAAAAAGAAUAAAAUGGGUAAACAAGCAGCAGGGAAUCAAAAAUAUGAAACUAGGGAUGAAUCAUAGAUGUAAUAAUAAACUACACAGUAGCAUAAAGAAUAAUAAAUGGAUGAUAAGAACAGGAAUUAAAAAUAGUAUUAAUGUCAGGAAACAAUUAGAACCAAAAAAAUAAAAUUAUAAAACUAAGAAUAGAAAAUAAUAGAGAGUAAAUAAUGAAUAAAUAAAAUAAAAUAAAAUAAAAUAAAACUAAUAAUAAUAAUAAGAAACAAGAAAAAAAUAAAUAAUAAAGGAAAUAGGACAAAUAGUGGUUGACCGACAAGGGAAUGGUGGUAGCGACCGGACGGCGGCGGUGGAAUGGGGGACGGUGGCGGUAGUGUGCGCAAGGUGGGGGUCAAAUGUUGGAUAGACGGUGAGAAGUGAGAAGGGAAUGGAAAGGGGAGAUGGUGAAAGAGGGAGAGGGUUGGUGGUUUGGGGCAGUUGCGCACGUGGGUGCAAUGGGUCGGGCCGAGGUUUGUGGCGCGGGGGGCUUGGUGGAGGUUGAAUAGGAGCAAAAAGGUAGAGGAGAAGGGGUUGGUGAGAUGGGGCAAAGGAAGGGGAUCUAGUCGUUCAGAUGAGGGCUUGGAAAGAGAAGGGAACAAGAAGAAGAGGGGGCGGACGUUCGAUCAGAAUUGGGACAACGGGAAAGGAAUGGCGACCGGAAAGGGAGUGGUUGGCGGCUAGUGUUUGUUGGGAAGGUGGGGGAAGAAGAUAAAACAAAUGAAAAGAAAAGUGGGGCUAGGGUUUUUCAAGGGUGAAACGGUUGUGUUAGGGCCCGUGUUAGGCCACACGGCCGUCUCACAUGCCCGUGUGCUCUCGUUCAGCCCGUGUGCGUUAAAAUUUUUAACCUAGUCUUCACAUGGCCUUAGACACACCCGUGUGUCAAGGCCAUGUGGCACACACGGCCGUAUCACAUGGCUGUGUGCAACCUGCUUCAUUUCUCCCACGCCCGUGUGGUUCAACCGUGUCUUGCACACGGCUAUGUGCUUGGCCCGUGUAACUCUUUGACUUGUUUUAAAAAUAAAAAAAUUAGCUCCAGGUUUCUCAUGACCUAGGACACACCCGUGUGGACUAUUUUAGGCCGUGUCUCUGCCGAUUUUUGAAAAAACUAAGUCCUAGAAUCCACACGACCAAGGACACGUCCGUGAGUCUAGGCUGUGUGGGUCAGAUGGCCAUGUCGCCAUGCCAUGUAACUCAUUAUCGAUUUUUUAAAAUUUUAAAACUAAGUCUUAAGAUCCACAUGCAAAGGACACGCCUGUGUGUCUAGGCCGUGUAGGUCACACGGCGAUGUCGCCAGGCCGUGUAACUCACUAUCGAACCCCUUUUAGUGGACACAGCCUGGGACACGCCCGUGUGUCUAGGCCGUGUGGGUUCAAAAAACCUACAUUUUUUUAAUAUUUGAAAAUUAAUUAAUUUUAAAAAUAUCAUGAGAUAAAAUUAAGAAAAUUAGCAGUGUUAACACUCAGGUUGCCUCCCGAGAAGCUCUUAUUUAAAGUCUAAGCUCAACUUACCUCAAAUUCGCACGGUCACGGUGGUUCGCAGAGUUGAAACUCCUCUUUCUUUCUGUCAAUUCUAUUAUCAAAAUAAGGUUUGAGCCGAGUAAUAUUUACCUUAAAACUGUCGAAUUCAGAAUGAGUUACCUCGACUGUACCGUAUAUGAAGACAUUCAGUACUGUAAAAGGAUUUGCUCCGUUUGCAUUAAGCUCUAAAGUGGCAAUUCGAGGGUUCGUUUUAUCUAAUAGUACCUGAUCCCUAACCUUAAAUUGGUUCGUUCCAUCCUUAUGCUCGUCAUGUCAUCGCUUGGGUUCUGCAUCGUGUAUUCUCGGUUUCUCUUUGACAUGUGUCCGCUAUUCAUCUAGCUCAUUGAUCUGUAGCCUUCGUUCUUCAUGAGUUGUUCUGUUUUUGUCGCAUGAACUGGAACGUGGGUCUAUUACGUUUUUCCGAGGGUUUUCCUGCAAAAAAUUUUGAGCCACAAGGUUACUCAUAUUAACAGAACUUGUAUAAUCAUCUCGAUCAUUAGAUGUCUUAACAGAAUCACGAGCUUGGAGUUUAAUCGUAUUAUCACCUACACAAAGUAUCAAUUCACCUAUACCAACAUCAAUAAUAGUUCUGGCAGUUGCUAAAAAGGGUUGACUUAGAAUCAAAGGUAUGUCGCUAUCCUCAUCCAUGUCUAAAACAACGAAAUCAACUAGGAAUAUGAAUUUAUCAAUUUUGACAAGAACAUCUUCAAUAAUGCCCCUAGGAAAUGUAAUGGUUCUAUUUGCUAAUUGAAUACUCAUCCUAGUUUGUUUGGGUUUCCUGGGACCUAGUUGCUUAAACAUUUUAUAGGGCAUGACAUUAAUACUAGUCUCUAAAUCAGCCAAAGCAUUAUUAACAUUUACACUACCAAUUAAACAAUGAAUAGUAAAACUCCUUGGAUCUUUCAAUUGGUUGGGUAGUUUGUUUUACAAAAUGGCCGAGCAAACUGCAUUUAGCUCCACUUGCGACGAAUCAUCUAACUUCAAUUUUUUUGCCAAAAGCUCCUUUAAAAAUUUAAUGAAAUUGGGCAUCUGCAAAAGAGCUUCAAUAAAUGGUAAGUUAAUAUGUAUUUUUUUCAAAAGUUUAAGAAAUUUACCAAAUUGUUCGUUUGCGUGGUCUUUCUUUCUCGCGUUGGGAUAUGGCACAUGAGGUUUAUAUUCCUUACCAACCCUUUUUUGCUCAUUUUGGCUUACCUCAACCUUACCUUUACUUACCACACUUUCUUGCAUCGGUUCUGGUUUAGAUUCAACUAACCCUUCUUCAUCUCGAACAGUAAUUGCAUAAAGCUGCUUUCUUGGGUUAGUUUUGGUGUUGCUAGGCAAGCUACCUUACGGUCGUUCUGAAAUCAACUUCACAAGUUGACCAAUUUGGUUCUCAAGCCCUUGAAUCGAUGGUUGUUGAUUUUUAAGUGUUGUUUCAUUGUUUUGGAAGUGAGUUUCUGACACUGAAAUAAACUUCGUCAACAUCUCAUCAAGGUUCAGCUUUUUUUUCUUAUUGGUAAGGUGGUUGAAAGCCUAGAGGGGGUUGUAGUCUUUGGUUUCCUUGACCACCCCAAGAGAAAUUGGGAUCGUUCCUCCAACCUGCAUUAUGAGUGUUACUAUAAGGAUUAUACUGAGGCCUAGAAUUAUUACCCAUAUAGUUUAUUUGUUCGUUCUCUCUGCUAGGACCGUAGGGUAGACAUUCUAGAUUGUUCAUCCUUCCUCCAUUCGUAUUGCACUGCAUCACUGGAUGUACCUGCGUAGAAACACAUAAACCAUCAAUUUUCUUAUUUAAUUGUUCUACCUAAUUUUAUAACAUGGUAGCUGCAUCUAAAUUGAAAACACCGGCUGCUCUAUUAGGCUUCAUCCUCAUGACUUGCCACUGAUAAUUAUUCAGUGCCAUCUCCUCUAUAAAUUCAUAAGCCGCUUCAGGUGUUUUAUUGUUUAGAGUACCACCUGCGGUUGCAUCGAUCAAUUGCCUAGUUGAGGGGUUCAAACUGUUGUAGAAGGUUUGAACCUGUAGUCAUAAAGGUGACCCAUGGUGAGGGCACCUUCUCAAUAAAUCCUUAUACCUCUCUCAUGCAUCAUAUAGAAUCUUUAAGUCAAUCUACACGAAAGAAGAGAUAUCAUUCCUCAACUUAGCUGUCUUAGCCAUUAGGAAGUACUUCAAUAGAAAUUUCUCGAUCAUUUGGUCCCAUGUAGUGAUAGAACCUCGUAGUAAGGAAUUCAACCACUGUUUAGCUUUGUUCCUCAACGAGAAAGGGAACAACCGUAGGCGAAUGGUAUCAUCAGAAACACCAUUUAUCUUGAAAGUAUCACAAACUUCCAGAAAGUUAGCCCUAAUGAGUAUUUGGAUCUUCGUCCUACAAACCAUCAAAAUGAACAAAUUGUUGUAUCAUCUGAAUAGUGUUUAGCUUUAGUUCGAAAUUAUUCGCAGCAAUGGUAGAACUCACAAUACUCGAUUCAGCCCCAGUUAGAGUAGGGUUGGCAUAAUCGUACAUAGUACGAGGAGUAGGAUUUGGAUUUUCAGGAUUUGCAGCAACCACAGGGGGUAGCUGAUUUUUCUGAUUAUCAGCCAUCUCGUUAGUAAUAAUAAUGUCUUCUUGCUCUCCCACUGUACUCUGUCGAUUUUGCCGUGCUUCUCUAUGGUUUCUGCAAGUUGCACUUUCAAUCUCACUAUCAAAUACUAAUGGUCUCGACGGGUUUCUUCUAGUCAUAAACUAAAGGAACCUGCCAUAAGCAAAUAAAAGAAAAAAUUAGAAAACAAAAAAUAAACUAAAAAAAUAAAAUGCAAUAAAAAUAAAUGGCUAAAUUAAUAAAGAUCGAGUGUUCCUAAUAUUUUAGUCCCUGGCAACGGCGCCAAAAACUUAAUGAUCACUAAACUAACGAUAAUUAUGAUAAAGGCAAGUGCACCUAUCGAACAAUAGUAUAGCUAUGGUGAGUAGAGAGUAUCGUAUCCACGAGGACUAAAAGUACUAGUAAUAUUUAGCCGAUAAAUUUGGGUGAGUGUUUUUAAUCUAAAUUUACUAAUCUAAAUUAAACAAGAACGCAAUAAAAAAUGAAAUAGGUAAUAACCGAAUAAUACCAAAGAGAAAGACAAUACCCAGGAAAGAAUCCACCUAGACUUCACUUAUUAUUCUGAACCUAAAUUAAACAAUUUAUUCACUUGUGUCUUGAUCCGUAGAAAUCCCUAAUUUAUGUUAAUAUCUCUUUCGAGAGUAAGAACAAUUGACUCUAGGUUGAUUAAUUGAAACCUCUUUCUAAUUAAAACCCCUAUUGUCGCAUUAACUCGAUCUAUGGAUUCCUCUAUUAGAUUUGACUCUAGUCCGAUAGAUUUAUGUCAUCUCAUUCUAGGAUUGCAUGACACUCCACUCAAUUAAGCUAGAUCUACUCUUAAACAGUGACUUUUGCUCCACUAAAAUAAGCACAUUAAAUAUGAAUUAAUAUCCCAAAAAUAUUAAAACAUGAAAUAAGCAUAUAUAAUAGAGAACAAGAAUCAAGUAUUUAUCAUGUAAAACAGAAAUCAAAUAAUAAGAUUCAUUAUAGGUUUCAUCUUCCCUAGGUAUCUAGGUAAUUUAGUUCAUAAUCUGAAAUAAAAACAUCUCAAAGUCAGAAAAACCACAAGACAUAAAGAAAUUCACUAAAACUUCGAAAGAAGUUAAAAUGAGAUAUUCAAUCUUGAAGGAGAUCCACUUGUGCGUUGGCUUCAAUGGUGUUCUUCGAGUAAUUUCUUCAAUCUUCUUUGAGUGCUCUCUUAGGUCUUCUUCUAAUUGUUAUUUAUGGACUUUAGAAUGCUCAGAAAGCCUAAAAAUUGGGUUUUUCCGUGUGUUUGGGAAACAAGUUGCGAAAUCGACACAGGCUGGCACAUGGGCGUGUGGCUACACAGGCUCGCUACACGCCCGUGUGAGAGUUGAAAUGCUCAGGCCGUAUGGAUGUUGAAAACAACUCUUUUUGUUCAAUUUUGGCUUUCUUUCGCUCCUUUCGCUUCUCUAUGCUCACUUAAGUAUAGAAACAUGAAUUUAAAGGAUUAAGAGAAUCAAAUUCACUAAUUUACAUUAUUAAUCAUCCAAAAAUACAUUAAGAAUGAGAUUAAAAUAUAUUACUUUUAUAGCUUAUCACCUCAGUACAAGUUCAUCGUUACCCACAUUAAUAAUAGUUCUAGUAGUGGCUAAAAAUGGUCAACCUAAGAUCAUGGGUACUUCAAUAUCCUCAUCUAUGUCCAAUAUAAAAAAAUCAAUAGGGAAUAUAAAUUUAUCAACUUUAACAAGUACAUCUUCAAUAAUGCCCCCAGAAUACUUAAUUGAUCUGUCAGCUAAUUGAAUACUCAUCCUAGUGGGUUUUGGUUCACCGAGACCAAGUUUUUUUAACAUUUUAUAAGACAUAAGAUUUAUACUAGCACCCAAAUCAGCCAAAGCUUUUUCAACAUUUAAGUUACCAAUAAAAUAAGGAAUAGUAAAACUCCCUAGAUCUUUAAGCUCGGUGGGUAGUUUGUUUGUUAGAAUAGACAAGUAAUCCUUGUUGAUCUCCAUAGUUGACAAGUCGUCUAAUUUUCUUUUAUUUGUUAAUAGCUCCUUUAAAAAUUUUGUAUACUUUGACAUCUGCAAAAGGGCUUCACCAAUAGGUAAAUUAAUAUGCAAUUUCUUUAAAACUUCUAGAAAUUUACCAUAUUGUUCAUUCAUGUGGUCUUUCUUCAUUGCUGUCGGUUAUGGGAUUCGUGGUUUGUAUUAUUUGACCACCGGCUUACGCUCUUUCUUGCUUUCAUCAACCCUAUCAUUUUUCAAAAUAACUUCUAGGAUCAUCUCCUUUUCAGGCUUGACUAACCCUUCCUCGCUUCGAAUAGUGAUUGUAUGGACUUACCUUUUGCCUCUUUGGGUUGGUUUCAAUGUUUCUAGGUAAACUACCUUGCUAUCUCUCGGAAACUAGUUUAACAAGCUAUCCAAUAUGAUUUUCAAGCCUUUGACUCAAUGUUUGUUGAUUUUUUAGAGCUGUCUCAAUUUUCUGAAAUCUAGUCUCAAACACCAAAAUAAAUUUAGCUAACAUCUCCUCAAGGUUUGGUUUCCUUUCCUGCUAAUAAGGUUGCUGAAAUUUUGGAAGGGGUUGUGACCUUUGAUUACCUUGACCACCCUAAGAGAAAUUUGGAUGAUUCCUCCAUCCUUGAUUAUAAUUAUUGCUAUAAAGGUUGUUUUGAGGUUUAAAAUUGUUACCCAUAAAGCUAAUUUGCUCAUGCUCGAUGUUCGAACCGAGGGGUAAACAUUCUUUAUUGAUUACCAUUGCUCCAGUCGCAUUGCAUUGCAUUUCUGGAUUCGCUUAUUUAUCCCAACUCAAACCAUCAAUCUUUUUACUCAGAGCUUCCACCUAACUUGCCAACAUAGCAACUGCAUCCAUAUUAAAAACACUGAUUUCUUUAAUCUGUUUCAUUCUCAUAACUUGCCACUGAUAGUUAUUCAGUGUCAUCUCCUCAAUAAACUCUUGAGCUACCUCAGGUGUCUUAUUAUUCAAUGUUUUGCCAGCUACUACAUCAAUUAGCUGCCUAGUCAAGGGAUUUAAACCGUUGUAAAAGGUUUGAACUUGUAACCACAAAGGUAACACAUUCUUAAAAUAUCCUUAAUUCUUUUCCAUGCAUAAUAUAAUGUCUCCAAAUAAAUUUGAGAAACUUCUUAGUCCUCUGAUCCCAAGUCAUGAUAAAACCAUGUAGAAGUGAAUUCAACCACUGUUUUGCCUUCCUCCUCAAAGAGAAUGCGAACAACUUUAAGGAUAUGGCAUUGUCAGUAAAACUAUUAAUCUUGAAUGUGUCACAAAUCUCUAGAAAGUUAGCUAAAUGAGCAUUUGGAUCUUCAUCUUGUAACCCAUCAUAUUGGACAUAUUGCUGAACCAUCUGAAUUGCAUUCGGCUUUAGCUCAAAAUUGUUUGCAGCAAUAGCCAAGAUGACGAUACUCAAUUCAACCCCAAUCAGAGUAGGCUUAGCAUAAUCCAACAUAGUACGAGGAGCAGGAGGUGCCGGAGGCUGCUGAUUAUUUUGAUUAUUUUCCAUCUCUACAAUAAUGUCCUUUUGCCCUUGAUCAUCUAUUAAUAUCUGUUGACCUUGCUUUGCUUCUCUAACCUCUCUACGAUUUUUGCGAGCAGUCUUUUCAAUUUCACUAUCAAACACUAACGGAUCCAACGAUUUUCCUCUAGUCAUAAACCAAAAGAACCUGUAAAAAUCAAACAAAAGAAAAAUUAAAAUGUAAAAAUUAAAUUUUAAAAAAUAUACAUUAAAAAAUAAAGUUUUCCUAAUCUUCUAGUCCCGGGAAGCGGCGCCAAAAACUUGAUGUCCAUGAAACUAACUAAAAAUAUGACUAAGACAAGUGAACCUAUCAAUUAAUAGUAUAGCUACGGUGAUCACAGAUAUCGUUCCCAUUGAGACUAAAGGUACUAGUAAUGUAACACCCCAAUAUCGUCUUCGUCACUAGAUUAGGGUUACGGAGUGUUACAUUACAAUAUAGAACAUUUAACUUCAAAAAGAAACAAUUAUACCAAACUAAAUAAUACCAUUCCAUAACUCAUAUAAUUCAAGGUAAAAUUAAAUUUAUGGACCUUAAACCGAGCCCACAGGGCCUUAAAAAUAAUUUCAAAACAAUUAGGGGUCAUUUUAAAACAAAACAUAAAAACCUAAAAAAUUUGAAAACAGAGGUCCCACGGUUGUGUGACAAAGCCCAAACCGUGUGGCUAAAAAAUAUCGUUGUGUGUCUAUUUCACACGCCUGUGUGGCUAAUUCACACGCCUGUGUGGCUAAUUCACAGUCCUAUGUAUGUGGACCGUAUAAGUAACUGUGCCCAUGUAAUAUAAAGUUAUACGGCCGUAUGGCCAGACCGUAUAGCUCGGGGUCACAUGGUCGUGUUGCCAGGCCGUGUAACUCUCUUUGCCCGUGUGGACCAACCUGCACUUAAAAUAACAAUGACACACGGUCGUAUGGUGUGUUUGUGUGUGGCACAUGGCCGUGUGAUAACCCGUGUCCCAAGCCGUGUGCUCCAAUUCGUACCUUCAAAUUCAAGUUUACCAAAACAUGCCUACCUGGACAUCAAGAAACCCAAUUUUCAUCAAAUAGACUUACUCAAAACACGAUUAAACAAGCUUAAAACAAGUCAAAACAUCCAUCCUAAGUGUCUAACCAAUGUGCCCUCAUUGACACCACAAUUCAAUUUUUCAACCAAGUUGCAUUCAAAGCCCAUAACUCUUUACUAAGAACACAUGCCAAUCUUACCUUUCAUACAAUCAAGUUCACUUUUAUCAUAGUAUAGUCAUACAAUUGUAGCAUAUAGCCGAAUGAACGAAAACACUUAUUUAUGAACCAUUACAAGCCAAAUAUCAAAGAUAUAUAUUCACAUGAACCAAAAUCAUUUCAAGACCAAAAUCAUUCAAGUCUAGCAACUACCACAAGUAACUUGUAAUCAAGACGUUUACAAAACACCUAUUACAUGCCAUAUAACCCAAAAGUAAACAUUCAAAACAACCAAAAGAUAUCUGUGAUUUCUUUGACUCAAUCUAAUCACCCGACUUCAACGAAAUGCUGUGUACAAAGAGAUAAGACAAAUAACAUGAAUAAGCUUUUAUAAAGCUUAGUAAGUUCGACAAUUGAAACAAAUAAGCUUACCGGAAUAACAUGAAAACUUAAAUAACAAGAUUAAUAGUCAGUAUUUCUUGUCAACCACAAUCCGUAACAGGUGAGUUAAACACAAACGAGUACGAGUUACAUUUGAAUAUAAUCAUAUGAUAUCAAUCCGUAAUGUUAACAUGAAUUCAUAAUCAAUUCAUCGACAACUCAAUAUCAAGUCAUUUAACAAUAGAAAUGUUGCCCGAUGAACGAUAUACGGAUAUGAGUACACAAUUAUCUACCCGAAACACACCAAACGCUCCAAUGAGCCAAUCCAACUGAAAACACUCCUUGACACCAAGUGCCUAGACCAAAAGGCUAUCAUUCCUCCAAAACCACGCCCGGGCACUAAGUGCCAAGCCCAAAGGCUUUACAUCCACCUCCAAUAACACACCAAAAUCAUUGCAAUAUAACUUGAUAGUUCGCAACAAAUGAUGAACCUUGGGAUAUUCAGUGUAUAAACACAAAUCAGGAAUAAUUGCCUCAUCACAUAUCAAUCCCGUAAAAUGCAUAUUAUAACCUAUUGGCACGCCAAUCGUACUUUAUCCUACGUUCAUCCAACCCAAUAAAUAUCAUCGCUAAACAAUGUUCCAAGAAUUAACCAAUUCAAUUUAUACUAAUUAAAAUUAAACAUUUAGUAACCAAUUUAACAUUCAAUAUACAUUUCAAAUUAAAUUAAACUAAACUGAAUGAACUUCUAGGGCUAAACUGCAGUAAUAACAAAAGUCCAAGGACUAUUCUAUAACCUUCCCUUUUCCUCUGUUAUCAACUUGCUCUUGAUCUAUAAUAUAAUUUUAUUUCAAUUAUUAGCCUCAAUUUAAUAUAUUAUUCAAUUUAAUACAUGUGACUUCUUAUGUACAAUGUUACACAUUUACCCCAAACUUUUACACUUUAUUCAAUUUAAUCCCUAAACCCGAAACAAUAUUAUUUUCCAAAAUUAAACUCUAUUCCCAUAGAACCAAUUUUUUAACUAUACAAAAUAAAUUCACACAUGCUGAAAUUUCAUAAGAAAACCUUGCUUAAUUUAAUUUAUUUUCAAUUAAAUCCCUAAACUUAAAAUCAUAAAAAUUACUCAACAAAAUAUUUCUAUUUAACAACCAAACAUAGUAAUUCACCAUUAAACUUCAAGAACACACUAAAUUCAUCAAUGACACAUUCAAAAACAUUCAAUAGUUUCAAAAUCGGAGGUACGAGUUAUCUGGACCUAGUUGUAACGAUCUCAAAAACAUAAAAGUCAUGAAAAAUUAACCAAGAAACACUUACAAGCAAUCAUGAAUUCAAACCAAACCUCCCCCAAGUCUUCCAAUGGAGGCUCAACCAAUAUAAAAGAAAAAUGAAGAAGAUAGUACCAUUCUUUACAUUUUCUUUCACUUAAUUUAUACAAUAAUUACAAGUUUGUCAUUAGUUCAUAUUUUUAAUCAAUUUUCUACAUACCUACUGUCCACUAAAUAUGGAAAUGAUUUAAUUGCCAUAAUAAAUCAUCCUAAAUUAUUUAAAUAUCCAAUUAGCACUAAAACACUAAUAAUAAUUGACUUUUUCACUUUUUACAAUUUAGUCAUUUUAAAUUAAUUACCUAUCUAAACGUUAGAAUUUAUAACCAAAAUUUAAUACAAUACUAUUUACCUCGUAUAUAUUAAAUAAUUAAUACUUACAGACUGACACGUCAGAAUUGUGGUCUUGGAACCAUUAUUUCCAACACCACUGAGAAACGAGUUGUUACAAGUAAUUACUUUCUUUCUAUUAUUUAACCGAAUAAAUCCAGUACUAAAUUAAAAACUGAAAUUAACUAAUGAACACGACAAAUAACAAAAUAGAAAAAUAACAGAUUAGCAACCAAGAAGCAAAACAAUACCUAUGAAAGAAUUCACCAAGAUUCAUCUACCGCUAUCAAUCUAAAUUAUGAAAUUUCUUUACUUAGUAUCUUGAUCCGUAGAAAUCCAUAAAUUAUAUUAACAUCUCUUUCGAGAGUAAAAGUAACUGACUCUAGGUUGAUUAAUUGAAAUUUCUUUCUAAUUAAAACCCCUAUUAUUACAUUAACUUGAUCUAUGAUUCCCCUAUUAUAUUUGACUCUAAUCAUGUAGGUUUAUGUCAUCUUAUUUCUAGGAUUGCAUGCAACUCCACUCAAUUACACAAGAUCUACUCUUACACAGGGUCUAUUCCUCCUCUGAUUUUAGCAAAUCAAACAUGGAUCAAUAAUCUAGAAAUAUUAAACCAAGACUUAAACACACAAAAUUGAGAACAAGAUCUAAGUAUUUAUACCAUAAAAUAAAAAUCAAAUGACAAAAUUCAUCAUAGGUUUCAUCUCCUCUAAGUAUUUAGAAAAUUUGUUCAUGCUUGAAAAUAAAAAUAUCUAAGAUACAGUAUAACCGAAAGAAACAAAGAAACUCAUUAUAUCUUAAGAAAUCAAAUAUGAAUCUUCAAUCUUGAUGGAAUUCUGCUUUAGAAUUGGCUUCAAUGGUGUUUUUCGAGUUGUUUUCUUGAAUAUUCUAUGAUGACUAACUUCUAUCUUCUUAUUUUUUUCAUAUAUACGUCUUAGAAUACCAUGUGUAAAAGGUUAGCCCGUGUAACCCCUGUACCCUAUUCUGAUUUUCUAGUAUUCGCUUGUUUUUCGCUCCUUUUACUCACAAAUGAUCUCUUAAGUAUAAGUGCUUGAAUGCAAAGGACUAAGAGCAUAAAAUUCAUCAUUAACAUCGAAUAAUCACCCCAAAACACAUUAAUACUGAGAUUAAAACAUUUACUUUUAUCACUUAUCAAUUAUGAUGUAGCAUUUUUAAUUAGUCAUGUUCCAAUUAAGUAUUUAGAAUAAUAGUAAACAAUUAAAAUUUUUAUAUUUUUAACAUUAUUCAUGCACUGGACGGAGCACUAUGUUCUGGCAGGUGCGACUAGAAUUAAUCAGAAUAAGUUGGUGCAACUGGUACGGGCCAAAUUUUUUUCCAGUGCAGAAAAAUGGUGUUUGGUGUUUCGCAAUGUUAUUGAAACCGGAAUGAACAGACCGAGAAAUUAACCCAAGAACAAGAGUAAACCACAUUUAAACCGCAAAUUGUCGAUCGGUUGAACUAUUUAAACCGUAUUUUCACAUUUUCUAAACCCAAAAAACAAAAAUUUCACCCUAAAUCCCUUAAGCUUUUGUUACACUUCAUCUCUGCUCUCAAUGAAAUCAAACACAACAUAAAAAAAGAACCAGUUCUUUUCUUACUUUAUCUACUAAAAUAAGUUUUUUUUUUUGGUAAAAAAACCUAAGUAGGACAUAUAACAUUCAAUCAAUCAAAGCAAAGAAGAAGAAAACUUAGGAAAGAUGAAAGAUGGGGAGAGGGUAGGUGGCAAAGAAAUGAAAAAAUGAAUUUGAAAAGUAUAGAUUAAUGAAAAGAUUCUUCUAGGCUUCAUUAUUUUACCCUUUCUUAUCACGGGCCUAAAAUAGAUGUGCUUGAUUGGGUUUUAAAACUUAAAGCCUCCAAAAUAGAUGAGUUUGAUUGAAGUUUCUAAUAAUUAGUAUUAUUUUAUAUUGUUGAAAAGUAAAUUAAUUGUAUCAGUGGUUGAACCUAUUAGAUCAAGAAUCAAUGAUUUGAUUAAUUCGAUCAUUGGUCUAAUUUUAAAAACAUUGAUAAUUCGAUAUAGAAUUAAAAUAAUACACACAAAUUAGUUUAAUUGAAAUCGAUACGAAACCGGCCACCCUAAUUUAGUACAUAAUUGGGCAUCCAUAUAAAAUAUUUUCUUGGGAUUAUAUUGAAAGAGGAAAGUAAUCGUAUGUAAAUGGAUAACUUGGAAGAGAUAAUGAAGAAGGAACCAUUAUAUCAGCAGUGGCAUCUUCUCGAUGUAUGGCUGCUCAAUAUCUUGACUGCAUUUAUCAUUUGAUUCUUUUCUUAAUUAGCCAAACUCAUGAUAAAAAUGGUAUAAAAAUAGUUAAUUACUUCAUGGACAGAACAUUAAUAUAUAAAUACCCCAUAUAUAAUAAGCAACAACGUAUCAAAGUACACCAAAUAACAGCAAUUGGAGAACUCCCAUUUAUACAAUCAAAUAUAAGUGGGCAAAAUCAAUAAUCAUAAUAAAGACACAAAGACGACUAAAAACCUUAUUAAACUAGAUCUAGUAUGCAGCAGAUAAAAAAAGGGGGUAUUUAAAGAAGUAGAACGAGAAGGUGGUGGAAAAAGAAAGGAAUAGAGGGAAAUGCAGUUGGGAUUGUAGGGACUGAAGGAAUGCUUUGUAGAGGGGGAAGUCCUCUUGGCAAUGUGGUAGGAAGUGGAGGAAACGCCCCAGGGUUUGGGAAAUUAUGGAAAUAUAGAAAUGGUGGAAAAGAGAAAGGAAUUGGGGGAAUUGUAAUUGGGAUUGUGUGGACUGAGGGAAUGCUUGGUAGAGGGGGCAGUCUUGUUCGCAAUGUGGUAGGAAGUGGAGGAAAUGCCCCAGGCCAUAGGAAUGAUGGCCGGGAUGGCGUUGGGAGAUUAAGGAAAGAUGGCAAACUUUGCGUUUGAGGCUGUUAUAGAAGGUGAGGAGCUGCUACCCCAACAUUGUUAGGAUCGAUCCAAUUAAGCAACAAGUAACAAAAAAUAGUGGAAUAAAUUGAGAAAUUGAACACACAAAUUUAACGUGGAAAAACCCCUCCAAAGAGGAUAAAAAACCACGGGUAAAGGUAAUUUUACUAUAAUGGCCAAAGAACGAAGAGUACAAAAGAUGGAGAUAAAAAACUAAACCCCGAAAAACCCGAAAAAAAGGAACCCUCAAAACAUAAAAACAAAAUUCUCUAAAUGUGUUAUGAGUUCUAAUCUCUAAUUGGUGUAUUUUCUAAGGUUGUAAAAGAACCUAUUUAUAGGCUAAAUUAGUAAGUCAAAUAAACUAUGCUAAUAAAUGCUAAAUAUAUUAUACUAAUAAAUACUAAAUCUUCUAGAAAGAAAAUAUAUUUUAUUUAACUUAACUUGCAAGCAAUCUCUUAGAAUUUGGGUCACACAACUCUAACAAUCUCCACAUUGACACAAAUUCUUACAACGCUAUCUUUGCCAAAGCCCGCCACGAGCCUAUCUUGAACUAUGUAGGGAAUUAACUGAGUCGAAUCUGUGCUAAGAUGUUGGAAGACUUCUAGCCUUCGACUUGUGCAGUUCCAAAUCAAAACUAGCCCUGGUCUAAUUUUUACGAACACAGUGCCCUAACUUUUCAAAAACUGCAUCCAAAAGAGAACCUCUCUCCAACGAAACGGUCAUACCUUUUUCCCUCCUAUGACCAAGUUGCCUCCGCUCCAAAAGAGUUGACUUCGACUCCGUAACGGACGAGGGACGUCUGAUUUUACCAGUCACUGUAGAACCUUCCAGAAUAUAAAGACUGCCAGUUUUUUUACCUUUUAACAAAACAAGAGCUCCACGAGGUACUUUAAUGUCACUCGACUCAAUGUUGAUUCUGUAUCCUUUCAAGUCUAAAAUAUUCAAGGAGAUGAAAUUCUUUCGUAAAUCAGGUACAUACCUGACAUUUGAGAGUGUCCUAAUCGUCCCAUCGUGUAUCCUAAUUUUAAUAGUACCAAUACCAAUUACCUUACUAGAUGAAUCGUUUCCCAUGCAAACAACUCCACCUUCAGCCGAACUAUAUGUGGAGAACUAUUCUCUAUUGGGACACAUGUGGAAAGAACAUCCCAAAUCUAGGAUCCACUCGAACGUGAGCUUGGAAUUAUUGAUCGUUGACACUAACAAGAAAUCAUCACCGCUUUCAUCAGCCAAAUUAGCACCAUCUACAUAUUCCUCGUUACUCUGAGUAGCUAUUUUAUUUCACAGUUUAUAACAAUCUGCUUUGACGUGACCUAACUUUUUUUACAAUAACGACACCUUUUGUCUCAUUUCUUUGAUGCUACCAAAACAGAAGCUUGCCUAUCUGCCUUACUAUCCAAACCAAACUCAUUGUCAAGUUUUUCUCUACUUAACAAAUGACCCUUCACAUCUUCGAACGAGAGUUUGUCUCUGCCAUAAAUCAGGGUCUCCCUGAAAGACUUGUAUGAAGGGGAUAAAGAGCACAAUAAUAGCAUAGCUUGAUUUUCAUCGUCGAUAUGAACCUUAACAAUCAUUAAAUCAUUUAAAAGAGUAAUAAAUUGACUGAUGUGAUCUCUAAGAAACUCACCUUUGUUCAUGCGAAACGUGAAUAGACGUUGUUCCAACACUAAACGGUUAGCCAAAGACUUAGUCGCAUAAAGAGUUUCUAACCUUUUCGAUAAGUAGAUGAGGUCUUCUCCAUCAAUACCUCUUAUAAUACCGUAUUCGUGAGGCACAACUGGAUUGUAUAUAAGGCCUUUUCAUCAAGCUCUUCCCAUACUAUUUGAUUUAGAUUCUCAGGUUUUUUCUCGGUAAGAACCUUUUUCAAUCCGGUUUGAACUAGAAUUACCAUAAUUCAAACUUGCCACAGAUUAAAAUUUGUCUCACCAUCAAACUUCUCAAUUUCAAACCUUGUUGCUAUCAUCUUUGAAUAGGCUGAUCUAUAAAAAUUACAGUAGCUUUGAUACCACUUGUUAGGAUCGACCCGAUUAAGCAACAACUAAUAAAAAAUAUAAAAAUAAAUUGAUAAAUUGAACACACAAAUUUAACGUGGAAAAACCCCUCCAAAGAGGAUAAAAAACCAAGGGCAAAGAUAUUUUACUAUAAUGGCAAAAGAACGAAGAGUACAAAAGAUGGAGAUAAAAAACUAAACCCCAAAAAACCUGAAAACAAAGAACCCUCAAAACGUAAACACAAAAUUCUCUAAAUGUGUUAUGAGUUCUAAUCUCUAAUGGGUGUAUUUGUAACACUGGGGUUUGUGCAAGUGUACACAGUCGUUAUCAAGUAAUAAGUAAGUAUCGAGUUAUCGUCUCCACAGGGAAUGUAUGUGUGUCGAGUCACUUAAUUUGUAAAAUUAUAUUAACAAUUUGAAAAACUAAAAACAAAAUAUAGUUGAGAAGUGGUAUAAAAUAGAUGUAAUGAUCCCUAAUGUAAAUUAUCCAAAUAUGCAGACUAUAUGAAUGAAAUAGAUUUUAGCAAAAUUUAACACAUGCAACAAUUAUAACAUAACUGAACUAGGACAAUUACUUUAAUUAAACUUAAUUUAUUAUCAUCACGCUUAAUAAUAUUCGAAAAAACAUUCCAUGGCAACUCGAUCUUUCAUGAGUUUGGAAACCAAAUUAGGUCCUUUUGGAAUCCUUUACUCAGUAAAUACGCAUUUUACUGAUUCCUAUUUACUAAGGGUUUCUUAGCAUUCGUGUGAGGUAACAGGGACGUGUUAGGUUUGAAACAAUUUAAUCACACAAAUCUAAAAACUAUGCAGAUAACAGAGCCUAGUUAGAGUUGUUAUGCAACCUACAAUUUAAUCGGGUUAGGAUCUAAAUUGAGCAUGCACAUUUCAAUUAUGCGUCCAUUAGCCGUCGCCUGGUUAGGAUCGCUCAGCUAAUUCAGGUGCAUUUCAAUCAUGUAUGAACGAAAUACAGACUUGAUUUUAAUUGAAAACAUGAUCGAUUGAGGCACAAACAUUAUAAGCAUGAAUCAAAUAAAUAUUAUUUAAUCAAAAUAAUCAUCCUAGCUUAAAUAAAAUUAAGCCAUCAUUGUUGUAAAGAAGAACAAAGAACACAUAGCAAACAUCUUUAUAUUAAAUUAAAGAAAAGAAAGAUUAAACCCAAUUUAGAGUGGCUAUCACCCAAGACUCUGACUGACGAGACUCCUUCUCUUCUUUGCGUUGCUCCUUUGCUGAUGGUUCUCCAAUGUGGCCAACCAAGGGCUUUUUAAGAGGCUAAUUUGCUAAAAUCCUUAUGCAAGGAUGAUGAUAGGCAUGAGAGCUAAGAGAGUUGAGAGAGAGGAUGAGAGAUGUGAGAGAUGAUGAGAUGAGGGAUGAGGGAUGAUGAGAAAUGAGCUCUUAUUUAUAGGUGAGGCAAGGGAGCUAGUUUGCUAAAAUUAGGAGUGUCCAUCCUUUGAAACCUCCUCCAAGAAUGGUUGGCCAUGAAUUGAGGAAAUGUGGCUGAUUUUUCCUUUAUUUUUGGUCAAUUUUAAUGCCACAACAACUCAGGACUAAGACUCGAUCUCCAACAAAUCUUCAGGUAAAUCUCUAAUUUCUUCAACUCUUCAAAGGCCUUGUAUAAUUAAACCGAAAAUUGGUUUAUAAUCAGCCAUGUGCAGCCAAAAAUUGGGUUGACUUGGUCCUCACUUUCUACGGUUUUGCAAUUAGAAGAAAACUCUCAGACCUAUCAAAAAUAACUACUUUAUUUAAUCAAUUUACUUAAUUAAUUAAACCCAAUUUUAUUAAUGAAAUAUUUACAAUGAAUUAUUAAAAUAUAACAUUAUAUUUUAUUAUUUAAUUUAAUCAUGCGUGGCCCACUUCAUAGCUUAAAAAUAUAAUAUGCUUAAAUUAAUAUAAAAUAAGUCAUUUUAUGCAUGAAAACUAUAUAAUAAAACAUAAAAUCACAUUUUAAUAAUUUCUAUGUCCUAAUUUCAUAUUUUCACAUAUUUCAUUAAUUUAUUAAACAAUUACUUGGUUUUAACAACAAUUUUAAGUAAAAAGGUGAUGAAUUAUAUAGGAAAAAUCCUAUAUAUUUUUCCAUUUAUACCUCCCAAACUCAAAUCAUUGCUCGUCCCGAGUAAUGUUCAUGCACAACACAAGGUCUUGCUAAGGCAAAUUUUGCUAAGAGUGUUAGUAGCAUCAAUCUUUGUCUCAUAAUCAUGCAUCAACAAAUUCAUGCUCAUAGAUCGUCUUUAUUAGCAAGUAACUCAUAUACAAACAUUUUGAAAAUUUUAUUCUAGGUUUCAAGAUAUGGCAACAUGAAUAAUAGUUUGCAUGUAUGUCAUAGCCAUAGAUAAUAUUCUUCAUUCAACACAAUUUAUCAUGAAUCAAGCAAACAAUCAUAAGGCUUAUUUAUGAUCUUCAUAUGUUGAACUUAAUACUUCCUCUCCACUAAUGUAGGUGACAUAAUCAUCAAAUCAAUUGGUCUUUUAUAAGGUUCUAAUGGGGCUUGGUUUAAAGGUAGGGAUUUUAAGAGAUGAGACAUUUCGGUUUCAAAAAUCUUAACCUUUAACUUGUCUUGGAUUUCUUGAAAUUCAACCUUUUUCUUCAAGUGAACCUUUGGAACACCCCCAAACUUAUUUUGAACUCAAGCUCGUACAUUUUCCUUUUUAAAGACUAGGCGAACUUUUCUUCGCUCUUUCCUUGUCUUUGUGAUUUUUUAAGCAUGAGCACAUACAUCUUUAUGAAAAUUUCCUCAAAUGUUGAUUCCCAAGACACUUAAGUUAAAAUAGGUGCACAAAAUAGGAUAAUUUUAAAAAGAUGGUAACCGGCUUAUAAUGUAGGUUCAUUUCAAAAACAGGCCUUAAAGCUCAAAAUUGUAGUUUCAAGGGUCUAAUAUCAUAAGGUGGGCUUGAAAAGGCUCAAACGAUCCAAAGAAAAAUGGUGUUUAUAUCAUUUUAGAUUUUUAUGUCCCCUAGAAUUUCGCCUCAAGAAAGUUACUAAGUCAAUUCUAAAGAUAUAAACCUUCAUGCAUGUUUGAUCUCAAGAGAAGCUAAGUUUUCACGGCAAACAUUACCUAAGACUAAGAUCAUAAAAACAUUCCAUUCUUCACGAUAACAUACAAUCACUCAGAUAAAAUCAUCAUUCAUACUUGCAUACAAGAUAUCUUAUUAAAAAGAAUUUCUCUAAACAUUCAUUUAUUAAAACAUACUUAUGAAAGAAAUGAUUGAAACAUACUUGAAAAUUUUAAAAUUUAAGCAAUUUAUUUGCGUAACCCCCCUUUAAAAAGAAGCAAUGUCCUCAUUGCAAGAACAAAGUAUGAAUGAAACCUGAACACCAGGUAGGGUUGUCAAAACCAUUUUUUAUUUGAUUAACAAAAAUUUAGUAGUCGACUUAAAAAUAAAAAUUGGAGUCGCCACCGAUCUUUUAUUAAGGUGUGAUCGGCUCACCUUAAAAAUGGUUUUGGUCUGCAGAAUUUGAGAAAAUAGGUUCGGGACUCGGUUACAUACGAGGAAGUGUUAGCACCCUCGUAACACCCAAAAUUGGUACCGAAUUGAUUAAUUAAUGUCUUAAUGCCGAAUGUUUGAAAAGAUUUUAAAAUAUGAUCCUUUGAAAAGAAAAUUUGAAUAAAAUUAAUUGGAUGAUGAGACUCACUUAUUUCAAAGAAAUAAAUUGUCACACUCAGUAAGUUAGAGUGCAACAUCUUAAGUCCUCAAAAUUAAGUUUAUUUUUUUGACUUUUAAAACCUAUGCAUUUUGAGAAGGAUAUCUGAUUAUUUGGGUCAAAUGAAGAGAUCAAAACCCAGUAAGUUAGGGUUCAAUUUCUCAAAAUUCCAAAUACAGAAUAUUGCCUUUAUUUUUAGAAGAAUCCUCAUCUCGAGGAAACAACAUGUCAUACCCAAUGCGUUAGGGCACAACGUAUCAAAUUCCAGAGAAUGAGCUUUUUUAUUUAUGUUUUAAUUAAAGAGGAUAUUCGGUUUCCUAGAUCCCGAGGAAGAUUGGAAUCCAAUAAGUUAGGACACAAUCCUUUCGAGGAUCCCAAAUUCUGAGUGUCGCGUUGUCUUGAAAGACUUUUGUAUAAAUGAUUUUGAUAUUUAAACGAUAUUAGACGUAAUCUUUAAUGUAACGCGAUUGAAUGGUAAAGUAUGAGAUACUUUGUAAUCCGAAGACACACUAAAAAAUAAUGACCAAGCAAUAGAUAAAUGUUAACAAGAAUAGCAACAAUAAUUUUAAUCCUAUUAUACAAACAUCAAUAUUAACAAUUAAACAUCAAACGAAUUAAUAAUCGAUUUUAAAACGUAUACUAAGAAAACAGUGGCAAUAAGAGAAAUCACAAUCAAUAAAUUAUACAUGCCAAAGUCUUGAAAUGAACAAUAUAUAUAUAUAUAUACCAAUACAUAAUAUUUUUCUUUUAAAAUAAUGCCUAAUAAAUCUGAAAUGAUAAUACAUAAUAAAUUUAAAAAUAAAUAUAUAAUAAAGCUAAGCUAAUAAUACAUAAAAAUUUAUGAUGUUAAUAAUAUAUUGAAAUUUAAAAAUAAUACAUAAUGAAAUUUAACGCUAAUAAAUACGAUUGUAAUAUAUAUGAAAAAAAAUUCAAGUGUAGUACAUAAAGUAAUAUGUACAUAUAUAUAUAUAAAUAGAUAAAUAAAAUAUAAAUAACGUAAUUACAAUAUCAAUAAGGCUAGUGGAGACAAUGAUAAUAAUAAUAAAGAAGAUUAAACUAAUUAAUAAAAAAAACAAAUAACGAAGAGGAUUCAGUUGAGUUUUAAACAAAAUUACAAGGAAAAAAAUGAGAAUAAAACAAAACAGAGGGCCAAAAUAUAAUGCGCGAAUUACUUGGGGGACCAAGUAGGAAAUACUCCCUUCCCUCAAAACGCGGCGUUUAGAUCAAGACUGAAUUGAAACAAAUUCAAAAUUCAUGAAAGUAAUUUACAAAAAAAAAUGCAAUUAAAAUGAUGGAGUAAAAUGGAGGGAUCGAAGGCGCAAAUAGACCACACAACAAAAAUGCAUGGAUCCUCCCCGGGUCGGGUCACCGUGCUAACCAUAAACCACCAAACGGCGUCGUUUUGGAGCCAUUGGAACCGGGCUUAAACGACGUCGUUUUUUUAGACUAGAUAAAGAUCACUUCAAACCCUAAAUCAUAAACCCCAUGCCAUUUUCAAAACUCACGCCGCAAAACCUAUGUCUCUCUUCGUCGUUCGAACCCCUUCGACUCUGAUUUAGACGAAAUGAAUAGGAACUCCGACGACUCCUCCAAUGGCAAGAUCCUUUCACUUUCUCUCUUUUUGGAUUUCGUAGAGGAACAAAAAUAAUUUGCAUUAUAUCAAAAAAUGAAAUCUGCCAUUACUCUUUUAAAAAUCAAUCUAUUAUUAUUUUUUUGUUCAUAAUAAAAAAAAUCAAAGAAAUAAAAGAAGAAGAGGAAAAAAAAGGAAAACGGAGAAUCACCUUCAAAAAAAUUUACUUUUUUUCUUUUUGUAUUGAUAUCGUGUGUGUAAAAAAAUAAAAAGGUUCUUCCUUUUCUUUUAUAGCCGAGAGAAAAAGAAAGAGAAUAAAAUAAAAAUAAAACAUAUCCAUUUUCUUUCUGUUGUAUUGUUUUCGUCCCAUUUGUAGGCGUACGGAGGCUCGUCACACGCGAGGGGCUUGGCUGCGGCGCCUGGAUCUUCUAGGGUUUCCGUGUGUUGUUUAAUGUUUUGGGCUCAUUUGGGAUUUGGGUAGAAUUAGAUGUUGGACCUUAAUUGUUUGGGCUAAUUUCUGCCUAGGAUUUCACGGAACAAGAUAUUUUGCAAGUCUAGUCCCUGAGGAUUUGACCCUACUUCCCUUUUACUAUUCUUUUUCAUUAUUUAUUAGGGAUAGGAUAUUUUUGGUGCUUCCAAUGACCGCAUCAAAUUUUAGCGCCGUUGCCGGGGACUGGCAACAUAUUAAUCUUGUUGUUUGUUUCUUAUGGCCAGAUCUGCUCCAGGUACUCUUGAGUUCGAUUCAAAAAUUGAGAAGACUGCUAGAGCCAAUCACAAGGAGAAAAGUUACAGAAAAAGCAGUCAGCGGUGGUUGGAACUCAAAGUAACCCACCGCCAGAAAUAGAAGUCGACGACGAAGCUGAGUCUAGGGUUAACGAAAACCCUACUCGAACACUUGAGAGCGAAAAAGUAGAAGUUGACUCACCAGAACAAGUGCUUAACGCUAGGGUUAACAAAAACCCAAAUCUAGCACACCAACCAAUGGCUCAAACGAUUCGGCAACUGGCCGAAGCUCCGACAGAACAAUCGCCAUUGUGCAUCGCAUAUCCUACUAUGGAUACUGAUUUUGAGUUGAAGAUAGGUUUAAUCCAGUUAUUGCCAACUUUUCGUGGGUUACAAAAUGAAAAUCCCCACAAGCAUCUGAAAGAAUUUCAUUUGGUUUGUCUUAGCAUGAAACCUCAGGGGGUAACUGAGGAUCAGAUUAAAUUGCGUGCUUUCCCUUUCUCCCUAGCAGAUUCUGCUAAGGAAUGGUUAUUUUAUUUACCCCAUAGAUCUAUUACAACUUGGGCUGAUGAACAGGAUUUUUCCAGCGUCACGAGCAGCUGAGCUAAGAAGAGAGAUCAUUGGAAUAAGGCAAAAAGAAGCUGAAUCCCUUUACGAUUAUUGGGAGCGGUUUAAGAAGUUGUGUGCAAGCUACCCACAACAUGGUAUAACGGAGCAAUCUCUCCUCCAAUACUUUUACGAAGGUUUGAAGCCCAUGGAGAUGAAUAUGGUAGAUGCUGCUAGUGGAGGAGCAUUGGUCAACAUGACUCCCGAACAAGCGAGAGACUUGACCUCCACGAUGGCUGCAAAUUCUCACCAGUUUCGAGCUAAUACUGAACCCCCUAGAAGGGUUCACCAGCUAAGUAAUUCAACCUUAGAGGAUAAAGUUGAUAGACUUACUAAUAUGAUGAACUCUCUUAUUGCAGAAAAAGCGAAGACAACUCAGUUAUGCGGAAUAUCUGCUACACUUGAUUAUGCAACUGAUGCAUGUCCCAGUUUGUAUGAUGAUACCAUAGCCCAUCUGGAUGUUGUGGGAAAUUUCCCUGGGCCGCCACAAAGGCAGUACGACCCCUACGCUAAUACCUACAACCCAGGGUGGAGGGACCAUCCUAACUUAAGCUACGGGGCCAAUCCACGAAACAACCAGCCAUACCAAAAUCGGUUUCCGCAACAACCACAAGGUUCAGGUAAUUUUCUAAAAACCAUGGUCAAUAAGUUAGCAGCUAAUGUUCUUGAUUUUCAACAGCAAAAUCUUAAUUUCCAAAAAGAGACGAAGGAUUUCCAACAGAAAACUGAGGCGUCCAUCAGAGAGUUGACCACAUUAAUCGAGGAAUUGACCUCUCAAGGGAAGCUGCCGUCACAAACAGAACUAAACCCUAGACAAAAUGCAAAUGCAGUGAUGUUGCGAAGUGAAAAGGUACUGGAACCAAUUCCUGAUAGGAAUCUUGCCCAAGAAAUAGCCGAGGAAAAACCCGAAAAAGAUGAACAGGUUCGACCGAAGCCUCCAUUGCCUAAAAUUCAACCUCCAUUUCCAGAGCGAUUCAACUAGUGUCGAAAAGGUAAAGAGGACAAGGAAAUUCUUGAAACAUUUAGGAAUGUCGAGAUCAAUAUUCCGCUGUUGGACGCCAUCAAGCAAAUACCGCGGUAUGCUAAAUUUCUUAAAGAGCUUUGCACCAAAAAAUGAAAAUUAACAGGUAAUGAAAGGGUGAAUGUUGUUGAGAAUGUAUCCGCAGUGUUACAGCGGAAAAUGCCGGCAAAAUGCAAGGAUAGGGGCAUGUUUGUAAUACCAUGCAAAAUAGGCCAUCUGGGAAUUAAGAAGGCUAUGUGUGAUCUAGGGGCCUCUAUAAAUGUAAUGCCAUAUUCUAUUUAUGAAUCACUUAACGCGGGUUUUUUGACAAAAAAAGGUGUUAUCAUUCAAUUAGCAGACAGGUCUGUUGUGCAUUCAGAAGGAGUCCUUGAGGAUGUUCUGGUAAAAGUUAACGAGCUUAUUUUCCCUGCAGAUUUUUAUGUGAUCAAAAUGGAGGAGGAUAGCACUCCUGGAUCUUCAGAUCUCCUGUUGGGUUGACCGUUCCUUAGUACAGCUAGUACUAAAAUUGAUGUUCGAAGUGGAACUCUCACGAUGGAGUUUGAUGGGGAGAUCGUAAAGUUUAAUGUCUACGACGCCAUUAGCCAUCCAAGCGAAAUUUUGAGUGUAAAUCGUAUCGACAUAAUUGACUCUUUGGUGGAAGAGAAUUUUGAGUCAAUUUAUGGAGAUAAUUCUGAACUUGAUGAAAUUGAAUUUGUUAAUGAACUAUUAUCUCCAAAUACUAAACUGUUACCUUCCGUUAUACAGGCGCCAGAGUUGGAGUUGAAACCGCUUCCUGAGCAUCUGAAAUAUGUAUUUUUGGGGAAGGGUAAUACCCUAUUAGUCAUAAUCUCCAAUAGACUCUCCACACAUGAAGAGGAAAGUUUGGUUCAUAUAUUAAAAAGUCAUAAGGAGGCGAUCAGUUGGACCAUUGCAGACUUAAAAGGGAUAAGCCCUUUGACGUGUACACACAGGAUCUAUUUGGAGGAAGACACGAAAUCAAGGCAAGAGGCACAAAGAUGGCUAAAUCUGAAUAUGAUGGAGGUAGUACAAAAAGAAAUAAUCAAGCUUCUGGACGCUGACGUAAUUUACCCUAUUUCUGACAGUAGGUGGGUAAGUCCAGUUCAAGUCGUGCCCAAGAAAACGGGCGUGACAGUAAAGAAAAUGCUGAAGGUGACUUGGUACCUACCCGAGUACAAAAUGGGUGGCGCGUCUGCAUUGAUUACAGGAAGUUGAACUCAUACACUAGAAAAGAUCAUUUCCCUCUUCCUUUUAUAGAUCAAAUGCUUGAAAGAUUAGCCGAAAAAACUCACUUUUGUUGUCUUGAUGGAUACUCAGGUUUCUUUCAAAUUCCAGUCACACCGGAGGACCAAGAAAAGACCACUUUUACAUGCCCAUUCAGUACAUUUGCAUACAGAAGGAUGCCAUUCGGUCUUUGCAAUGCACCGGCCACCUUCCAAAUAUGCAUGAUAAGUAUAUUUUCUGAAUAUGUAGAAAAAAUUAUCGAAGUCUUUAUGGAUGAUUUUACUGUAUAUGGGAGUUGUUUUGAUGAAUGCCUUAAAAACCUAACGAUAAUUUUGAGUAGGUGCAUAGAAUUUAAUCUUGUCUUGAAUUAUGAAAAGUGUCAUUUUAUGGUAGACAAGGGUUUAAUUCUGGGUCAUGUUAUUUCAUCUAAAGGAAUUGAGGUCGAUAAGGCCAAAAUUGAUAUUAUAAAUUCUUUGCCUUAUCCCUCCACUGUGAGGGAAGUUCGUUCUUUCCUUGGCCAUGCAGGGUUUUACAAGCGCUUCAUAAAAAACUUCUCGAAGGUAGUUGAACCACUGUGUAAGUUGUUGCAGAAGGAUAAGAAAUUUGAGUUUGACCUAAAAUGUAAGGAGGCAUUUGAUACACUCAAGCAAAAGUUAGUCUCCGCUCCUAUAGUGCAACCACCAGAUUGGAAAUACCCAUUUGAAAUUAUGUACGAUGCCAGCGAGCGCAGUGUAGGAGCUGUGUUGGGGCAAAGGAUAGACAAAGAACCACAUGUCAUAUGUUAUGCCUCGAAAACCCUAGAUGUUGCCGGAGCAACUACACCACUAUGGAAAAAGAACUCUUAGCCGUUGUAUUUCCUUUAGAUAAAUUUCGGCCUUAUUUAUUGGGAUCUAAACUAAUUAUUUUUUCUGAUCAUGCAGCCCUCAGGUACUUGAUCUCGAAGAAAGAAGCAAAAUCGAGGCAUAUUAGGUGGAUUUUACUACUCCAAUAAUUUGACAUUGAGAUUCGAGACAAAAGGGGAUGCAAAAAUUUAGUGGCUGACCACUUAAGCAGAAUAAAAGUACCUUUUGACGACAUCCCUAUUAAGGAAGAAUUCCCUGAUGAGAGCCUAUUCUCGACUGAGGCACGUCUCCCAUGGUAUGCAAAUAUAGUAAACUUUCUAGCCACAGGAUCAUUACCCACUGAGUUAGCACGCUCUGUGAGAGACAAGCUUAGACGCGAUGCUCGAUAUUAUAUUUGGGAUGACCCAUACUUGUGGAAACACUGUUCAGACCAGAUAAUACGAAGAUGUGUUCCAGAAACUGAGGUAACUUCUAUCCAUAAUUUUUGUCAUGCUGAAGCUUGCGGAGGUCAUUUUGGCCCUAAGCGGACCGCUCAUAAGGUGUUAGAAUGUGGGUUAUAUUGGCCCACAAUUUUUCGAGACGCAUAUAACUUCUGUAAGUCUUGCGAUAGGUGCCGACAUACAGGUAACAUCACUCCCAUUUCUUUCUUCAUUUGGUAAUGUAUAUAUAAUUAUUGCAGUAGACUAUGUUUCUAAGUGGAUAGAAGCAAAGCCUACUCACAAUGAUAAUGCCAAAACUGCUAUGAAGUUUUUAAAGCAAACUAUUUUUUCCAGGUUUGGCACACCUCGAGCCCUAAUUAGUGAUCGUGGCACCCACAUUUGUAAUAAGGUCAUGGAGGAACUGUUGGCAAAAUACGGAGUCCACCAUCGUAUAGCUACGGCUUACCAUCCCCAAACGAAUGCUCAAGUUGAGGUCUCAAACAGGGAAAUCAAGACUAUUUUGGAGAAAACAGUUCGUCCUAACCGAAAGGAUUGGAGCCUUCGACUAAAUGACGCACUUUGGGCCUAUCGAACUGUGUAUAAGGGACCGAUUGGUAUGACCCCGUAUCGACUUGUUUUUGGUAAAGCUUGCCACCUUCUGGUCGAAUUGGAACAUAAAGCCUAUUGGGCCAUUCGACAGUGUAACAUGGAGUUAGAACCAGCAGAAAAUGCAAGGAAAUUAGACAUCCAAGAGUUAGAAGAAAUUCGCAAUGAUGCCUAUGAAAAUGCUCACAUUUAUAAAGACAAAACAAAGUUGUUUCAGGAUAAGAGAAUAGCUCAGAAGCAUUUUUCGGUAGGACAAAAAGUUUUACUUUAUAAUUCCGUGUUAAAGUUAUUCCUAGGUAAGCUUCGAUCACGAUGGCAAGGACCUUUUAUUGUUACUAAAGUGUUCACAGAUGGAGCAGUUGAAAUAGAGAGUGAAGAAUCUGGAAAGCGGUUCGUAGUCAAUGGCCAGCGGUUGAAGCCGUUUUAUGAGAAUUUUCAAGCCCACACGAUUGAGACAAUCCAUUUGGAACCACCAUAGAACCAAUAACGGCGUCGAGCUAACGACAUUAAACAAGCGCUUGUUGGGAGGCAACCCAAUUUUUAUUUUUAUUUUUAUUUAUUUUUUUCUUUACUUUAUUUAUUACUUUAUUUUAUUUUAUUUUACUUAUUGGAUAUUAAUAAAUUUUUCUUCUUUUGCUUAGAUAAAACAUAGCGAAAAUGCGAAAAAAACCGUUGAGCAACGCUUAGAGCGCAUUGAGGCCCGACUUGAAACCUUUGGCCAGCAACUGACCAAGCUCAUUGCCAUCAUUUGCGAUCGACAGUAACAACACGGGGAUUUUUUCUAAACUUUUCUACCUAUUUAUUUCUUUUCGUCCACAUUGAGGACAAUGUGCUUUCAGUAGGGAGAGGUACUCUUCGUUAUUACUAUCAUUUUCUACUGUGAUUUUGGUUAUUAUUGCUGAUGUUACUGGUGUUGCUGCUUGAGACUUUAUUUUUUCCAUAUUUAUUUUUUUUGAAUCUCCUGCCUCUUUUCAUGCCCAAGAUUUUUACCAAGAAUUGCCUACUGUUUGACUUACAAGCAUGAUUCUUGUUUUCUGAGAAAAUUACGAGUUUUCCAUAAUUAAUGCCAUCUCCACUGUUUUAUUCUUAUCAGACUAAAAAUAAUUGUGAUUCAUAAAGUUAACUUUAUCUUGCUUUUCGUAAAAUUGAUCAAGUUUAAAUACAAAGUAGACACUUAAUAUGUUUGCAUGCUAAAAUAUGUUGAUGACUAUUAAGGUAAUUAUUGAAACUUAUUUUUGACACUUGAUUAUUUUUUCUCUAAAGUCCUCAUAAAAAAGUUAUUAUUAAAAUGUUGUUUCCGUGGUUAUGAGUGCAGCUUAAAAACGUGACUGACUGAGUAACCGGGGUAGGGUGCUUGGGUUGUCAUCCUAUUUCGCGUCAAAAAGUUGUGUGACGUGUGAGGUAAAACUCCGCUAACUGGAAUUAAUUUUUAAGAACAUGUUGGGCUGAGUAACCGGGGUGGGGUGCUUGGCUGUCAUCUAUCUUCGCGUUAAAAGGUUUGAUGUGUUCAUAAGAAAAAUUAUAAUAAAUUAGGAGUUUGCUGGGCUGAGUAACCAGGGUGGGGUGCUUGGCUGUCAUCUCUCUUCGCGUCAAAAGGUUCAGUAUAUUCCUAAAGCAUAAAAAAAGAGAAAAAAACAAAAAGAAAAAAAAUAAUUUGGAGACUGAAGGACGAAACAAAAAGAGUGUCUUGGUAGGUUUGGUAAUUUACCUAAUUUUCAUUAAAUAAUUCAAGUUGAUUCUAAUUUUUGUGUGUAUUAAUUGGAAAACUUUUUCUGUUUUACUUAAAGCAAGCUUAGGGUUCUCUUUAUUUUUCAUAUGCAUUUUUGACUGAUUUUUAUAAAACUUUGGAGUUGUAUUUCUUUUAUGUCAGAAUCUAACUUUCACAGUAGAUAGGAACCAUACUUGAGGGCAAGCAUGGGCUAAGUAAGGGGGAUUUGAUAACACUCUAGAAUAACAUAUUUUUAUGUAUUAAUUAUGUAUUUAUUCUGAGUAUGAUCCUGCUAAUUUGAGCUAUUUAUGAUAUUUUAUCUCAUAGGGACUAAAUUUGAGGCAAAAGCAAAAUUAAGGGCCAAAAGCAUGAAUUUAGAGAAAAAACAGGCCAAUGUGCGACAUAAGGAAAAGUUGGUGCCAAAAGUGCAAGCAUGGAGGACACAAGGGUUGAAAUGCAAAAAGAAGAGAUUUUAUUCUAUUAAACUCUAUUUUAAUUAUAUUAGGAUAAUUAAUAUUGAGAUAAUUAUUAAGGAUUAUUUUUAGGAUUUUAUUUUAUCUUUAUUUAUCUUCAAUUAAACGUAUUUAUCUUUUAGGAAUUUAAGUAGGAUUAGAAUAUCUCCCUUAGCACUAUAAACAGGGGGUGAAGUGACUCAAAAGGGGAUCCCAGAUAUUUUUCUGAAAACACUCUCUCCCCAAAAGUUUAGGCUUUUGUUCUUCUCAUAUUUCUUUUUAAUAAAAUCUUUAUUUCUAUUUAUUUAUUUUCUUUUCUACCACAACCAUGAGCCACUAAACCCAUCUAGCUGAAGGUUGUCAAAAAUCUCCAAAAGGGUUCAUGAGGCUUAGAAUCCGUACUUAGCUUCCGUCCAUGUCCCUAAAGAAGUAAGCUUUUCAACAUAUGCAAAGGCGGCCGCUUUGUAUGUUUUGGGAAGGUUGCACAGUCGGUUCAUUAGCUUACUGCGUCAGAGGUUGGCGAGCCCAAGAGACAAAAUGGCGUGGGAUUCGCCAUUGAGAAGUGUUGAUCUAGCAUAAGACGAUCCCACAGAAGCGAUUGUUGGCUAGAGUCAAGUUCCACCACAUCGUAAGUCUAAGUCAUUGGAGCUGGUGGUCGUAGGCGUCCUCUUCCACUAUAACUGGCUUAUUCGGUUUGGGAAGGUUCAUCUAAAAGUCGAGGAUUGAACCCAAGGCAGAACGAGACAACUGGAGGCUGGAAUCUCCCAUAAGAAUUUCCUUUCUCUCAACUCUAUUUUUAAUUUCUCAAAUUUUCGAUUCAAUAUUCUUAAUUCUAUUUUUAUUUUAUUCUUCGUUUCCAGAUCCAAACAUUUAAUUCUGUUAUUUUUAAUUUUUUCAGGAACGCAGGUUGUCUUGGGCAAGACUCUUCCUAGGAUUCCACGGAACAAGAUAUUGUGCAAAUCCAGUCCCUGAGGAUUUGACCCUACUUCCCUUUUACUAUUCUUUUUCAUUAUUUAUUAGGGAUAGGAUAUUUUUGGUUCUUUCAACGACCGCAUCAGUGUUGUUUAGUGUUUUGGGCUCAUUUGGGGUUUGGGUAGAAUUAGAUGUUGGGCCUUAAUUGUUUGGGCUAAUUUUUGGACUGGUGUUUAGUGGGUUUGAGGUUUAAUGUAAUCCGGGCUUGGAUUUUAUUAAAUUUGUAAUACUGGACUGUAUUGGACUUUUAUUAUAUUUAUUUUAUAUAUAUAUUUUUAUAUUUGGGUUUUAAUACUUGGGUUCGGGUCGGGCAAAAUUUGGGUAUUACAGCUGCCUCUCUUUGCUCGUUAUCGUGUAACGAGAACGGAGCAAAGACUCUAGAAAUGGCCAAUUUUGCCCGGUCGUGUUGGACCUUGGCGCUCUUCUUCUUCGAGUUGCCUCAUUCCAUCCUACUGCAUCUUCAGAAGUAUAGGAAUUGGUGCAUCGAUCCACUCCACCGCAACGUCGGGGAGAUAGGAUUUGUAACUCGUAACUUUAAUCUGCUUAACUGUGAUGUUAGGGAAGCAAGACUCGCUAUUGUAACUUCAAUCUGUUCUAUUACACCACCAGAGAAGUAAGAUUUGCUAUUCUCAGUCUGCUACGCUGCAACUUCAGGGAGAUAAGACCUGAUGCGAUCCACUCUACUACAACUUUAGAGAGAUAAGAUCUAUUAUUUUAAUUCACUCCACUGCAACCUCAGGGAGAUAGGAUUAGUGGCUUCAAUCUACUCCAGUGUAACCUCAGGGAGGUAAAAUCAGCCACCUUUAGUCUGCCCCACUGCAACUUCAUGGGGAUAAGACCUACUUACUCAGUCUGCUCCACUACAACCUCAGGGAGAUAAGACUUGAUGCGAUCCACUUUACUACAACUUCAAAGAGAUAAGAUCUAUUAUUUUAAUCCGCUCCGCUGCAACUUCAGGGAGAUAGGAUUAAUGGCUUCAAUCUGCUCCACUGCAACCUCAAGGAGAUAAGAUUUGCCAUCUUCGAUCUGCUCCACUACUACUUAGGGAGAUAAGAUCUGUAAUUCUUGAACCUACUCCACUACUGCUUAGGGACAUAAAUCUUACAAUCUUCAACCUAUUUCACUGCUGUCCCGGGAUAUAGGAUUCACAAUCUUUAACCUACUCCACUGCUAUCCAGGGAGAUAGGAUUCACAAUCUUCAACCUACUCUACUGCUGUCCAGGGAGAUAGGAUUCACAAUCUUUAACCUACUCUACUGCUGUCCAGGGAGAUAGGAUUCACAAUCUUCAACCUAUUCCACUGCUGUCCAGGGAGAUAGGGCUGGGGUCAUCGAUCUACUUCGCUGUCGGUGUAGGAAGGCAAGAUCUGUUAUUUUCAACCUGCUCUGCUGCAACCCAGGGAGGCAAGGCUAGUGUCUUCAAUCUACAUCGCUGUCGGUGCAGAAAGGCGAGAUCUGCUAUUUUCACUGAUAUGUUCUCUGGGGAACAUGACUUGUAUAAUGAACCUAAUUAUGCCUAAUGAUUAGGACGGCAUGAUCAAAAUGAAUCAAAUGCUCCUAACUAGACAUGUGUGAAUGGUGUUUGCAUGAAUGCAGAAUUUUAUUUUUUCGAGAAUGAUCCUUCUUUAUCACUUAGGUUAUCAUUACUCAAAGUUGAUUAAAGCUUUAUCACUGACGUACUAUAACGCCUUCGCUCAGCCGGCAUCUCCAAAGGAACACUUAAUCAAAUUGCCCCCACUGUGAACUUCAAAGUUAAUUCCACUAGGACGCAAAAUUUAUACCAUCUUUCUCGCGCUGUGAACCAAGGGUAGAAAAAUCUGGUUUUUUCUCAAUCCUCUUCUAUCAUAAUUGAAAGCUAUAGAAUAUGAAACUCUUUGGUCCUUUACAUUAUGCCUAUGCACAAAUGAAGAAUUCUCUUCUCCAAGAAUAGCUUCCUCUUAUUAUUCAGUGAUCAUUGCUUGCUUGUUCAUGACAUCUCGUCAUUUUGUUCAAUCAUAUUUGACAACAACAUCCAAAGAGAAAGUCCUAAUUUAGACUCUUCCUUUUCAGAUUUCCAACCUUUAAACUUGGUACGUUCUAAACAUUAGUCCUGUUUCAGGCUCCUGUAUUAUUUAGAAACUUCUAGAGUAAUAUGUAAAACUUCCCUUGUGAAAGUUUUAUUAGUCCAUUAAUCAUUAUCCCAAUGCAACAUGCUUGCAAAAAGGGUCAUAACAAUGGUUAAGAAUAAAGUUGGUUCUGAGCAUAGCUCGAAAGGAAUAAAUUACCAAAAAUAGUAAAGAUGGAUAACAAAGAAAUUGAUUGGGAAUGUGUAUCUUGGAAAAGAAUGAAAUAUUCCAAGAACAACAAAUUCAAUAUAAAUAGUAUGCAAAUUGGGUGCCCCAGAUAUCGUAGCUUGAACUUCUUUGUACAAACUUUCUGAAGACCAUUCUGAGUUUGACAUGAGUUUAGGAGAUCUACAGUAUUUUCUCGAUGCCCCAAGAUGUCGCCUACCCUUUCCUAUUGAUUCAGGUAUAACAAGAUCACCACAUGCCCCAAUAUGAUCAAUAUUUGAGCCGCCCUUUUCGGGUUUUCUACUCAAAUUCCCUUUGGCCUAAGGCGCCCUUUGCGGGUUUUCCCCUUAGCCUCUCCAUUUUUACUUUUUCAUUUUUUCAUUUUUCACAUUUUUUUUGACUCAAAGUGCCCUUUGCAGGUUUUCACCUUGGUCCUUUCUUCUUCUUUAAACGAAAUAUUUCUUGACUAGAUCUGAGUUUAUAGGAUUUGGCAAGUUUUUACCAUCCAUCUCACUUAGAAUCAAAGCUCCACCAGAAAAGACCUUCUUUACGACAUAAGGACCCUCCCAAUUUGGCAUCCAUUUUCCUCUAAAGUCUUUUUGUAUAGGAAGAAUUUUCUUCAACACCAGAUCCCUUCGUGGAAUUCUUUGGGACGACCCUACUUAUUAUGGGCUCGUAUCAUUUAUUUCUGGUACAUCCGAUCCUGAUGAAUAGCUUUUAACCCUUUUCCUAGGUUCAACUGAUCACAUCACGAUUGGAUUCAUUCUGCUUCAUCCAACUCUAGCUUAACUAAUACCCGGAGAGAGGGGAUUUCAAUAGGUAAAACUACCUCAAUCUCGUAAACCAAAGUGAAAGGUGUUGCCCCAGUACAGAUGUUUGACAAGCAAGUAGGGCAAAUGGUAAUUUCUCAUGCCAGUCCUUGCAAGUCACAGUCAUUUUUCCUUCAAUUUUCUUGAUAUUCAUCUCUAGGCAAUUUGGUGAUGAAUUGUGGUGUCUGAUUUUGGCUUGAUUACGGACCUCAGCUAUCGUGCUAUUGUUCAGGAUCAAUUCAUUAUCCAAUAUAAUCCUCUCUGACGGUCUAUAUAGUCAUAUGAUGACAUUAGUGUAUGGAGCAACCUCUACUAGUUUGAUGAAGUAAUUGAUAUCCUAAAAAAUAAGGCGAUGCACAUUAGAAGCCUUCGGUGAUAUUGGCCCAAUGUCAUCCAUGCCCCACUUUGCUCAAAAUUUGAGUCGCCCUUUUCGGGUUUUCAACUCAAAUCCACCUUUGGUCAAAGCACCUUUUGAGAGUUUUUGCCUUGACCUCUCCUUUUUCUUUUUUUUUUCAUUUCAUCAUUUUUUUGUUUUGAUUUUAAUUAUUUUUUUUUUGAUUUUUUGAUUUUGAUUUCUUUUUUUUAUUGAAUCUGAACUCAUAGGAUUAGGCAACUCAUUGCUAUCCCUUUCGAUCAGAAUCAAUAUUUUUGUAGAUAAAGUCUUUCACCUAAGAUCUUCCACUUUCAUCUUGCAUGCGAAAAAUCUUAUUUGGCAUCUGAUUUCUUUCUUAGAGCCUUUUGGGGCGCAACUACGAUAGAAAACUUUGGAUCUUACUCUUUAAUCGGGAUAAAAUCCAAUAAAACUUGAAGAGAUGGAAACUCGACUUCAAACAGGCAAAGCUAUGAUGAGUCAACGAGAAAGGCAUUGCCCUGGCAAAGAAUUGCAUCGUUCAUACUGCAAAUUUCUGACAUCGUGCUGUUGUGUAGAUUUCAUUAUCAGAUGUUAACCCAGGCAUAUCCUGGUAUGAUCAUACAAAGACAUCUUUGAACUCUAGAGGUAACUCAACAAGGUCUUGCUUCAUCUUCUCGAUCAGGUCAAUUCUAAUCUUCACCAAGCUCACAAUUCCAAAUGAUUCCUUGUGAGGUAGGAUUUGUCUAUCCUCUUGUUCUACCAUCCUCAACAAGUCCAGAGAUAAGCUACGAUCUAUGUCAUUUUCAAAGUCAUGAGAUCCCUCUAAACACAUGCCUCGCUCAAAAGGAAAAUCUAAGUCUGUAGCAGCGUCAUUCAUGUAAUUGAUAUCUGGGGACCCAUAAUAAGUACCAAAGAAUGUACAAAAGAAUGUAUAAAUUUAUGAAUAAUUAUUUUUACAAUAUGCUUAUGAAUGAAUGAAUGAUGUGGAAGGAAAUUCAAAAGAAUGAAAGAAUAAUUAUUCAAAAAGACUGAAAGAAUAUUGGUUCAAAAAUGAUCACAAGAAUGCAUUUCAUUAAAAUAACAAUGUUCAGACAUGAGCCUAUUUCACAAAGAAGUUCUGAUUGCUUCUAGGCUAAAAGCAACAAGUGCGUUCUGACUAUUACUCUAAGUAAGCUCUAAAUACUAUAGGAAUUUCUUCCGGAGUCCAAUUGCUAAGAACACUCCCAGAUUUAUAAGGACGGAUAUCUAACAAGGUCCCUUCUUCAAUUGUGUCUUCAUACAUGUCAUUGAUUUGAACGCUUCCCAACAUCUCUUCAUACAUCGCAUCAAUCAUGAUUGGGUAGAGGGUUUUCUGCACUAGAGUCAUCAAACUUGACAACACCCAUGUUGAUGUGCCUUUAAACAAGCUUUUUAAAGACGGUGCAAUUUUCUAUCGAAUACCCCGCAAUUCCCGCAUGAUAAUCACGUUGUGCAUUCACGUCAUACCAUUUGGGGUACGGAGGUUGCAGGGGUUUUAAGUAGAAAGGGGAAACAACGUGCGCAUCGAAUAAGCUUUGAUACAGCUCCUUAUACGACAUCAAAAUUGGCGUGAACUGGAGCUUUUUAGUAUUUUUUUCACACCAGAUUCUUGUCUUGAUGAACCUUGUAGACUAGCAACCACUUUUCUUGGCUGGUUCACCGUAAUUGAUUUGUUGUAUGUGCUCACGUUGUUUACCUCAUUCUCCUUUCUCCUUGCGGCUGACUUUUUGUUACUCUCUCAUGGCUUUAUUUUCCCAUUCCUGGUGGCAUUUUCAAUCAUCUCACCAUUCAUGAUUAUAUCUGAGAAACUCUUUGAGGCACUUCCCAACAUGUGCGUGAUAAAUAGGGCUUUCAGUGUGUUGAUGAAGAGCAUCGUCGUCUCUUUCUCCAAUAGUGGCGGCUGAACCUGGAUAGCGACUUCCCUCCAUCUUUGUGCGUAUUGCCUGAAACUCUCGCUCGAUUUCUUCUCCAUGUUUUGUAACGUAAUGCUAUCAGGGGUCGUAUCAGUUACACGACUGUACUGUUUUAUGAAUACCUGUGCCAGGUCCCUCCAUGAACCAAUCUUGGUACUGCUCAAUUGAUUGUACCAUUUGGACGCUGCCCCUACCAAACUGUCCUAGAAGCAGUGUAUUAGCAGCUGGUCAUUGUUAACGUAGUCAGUCAUCCUUCUACAGAACAUGGUGAUGUGAGCCUCGGGGCAACUAGUUCCAUUGUAUUUCGAAUUCAGGCAUUUUGAACUUGUGAGGGAGUACUAAGUCCGGAACCAAGCUCAGAUCUUUAGCGUCGAUUCCAUGAUGGCUAUCAGCGCUUUCCAAGGCUUUGAAUUUUUCCUCCAACCAUUUACACCUAUCCUCCCAUUGUUUUGGUAGCUCCACGUUUGCCUUUUCUUUUUCAUUCGUUUCAUCAAAAUUGGGAAUAAUAGGGUUAAUCAGGUUAUCUCUUAGGAUUAAACUUGAUCCACCUUGGAGAUUCACGGGCAUAGAGGCACCAGCUUGGAAUUGUUGAGGCCUAAUUGUAACAGAUAGUCUUCUUGGGUAUAUGUCAGCUUAGGUUUGUGCAUUUGGUGGAGUAAAACCCGGGGGAUAUAACGGAUCCUCAUUAUCUUCUCUAGGAUUGGUCAUAGGGUCCUUUCCCUUAUUUGCUCCUCCCGCCAGUAAUUGAGUUAACUGAGCAAUCAUCUUUUUCGUCAUAUUUUGUUGAAUUUUUUCUAAUUGCUCUUGCAUUCGCACUUGUAACCGUGCUUGCAUAUCCUUUUGCAUUUGCUCCAGCUUCUCUAAUCUUUGAUCCAUUUCCUUAGUUUUGGGACGAGUACCGUAAGGGUGUUUGGUUGAUUGGUUUUCCAGAUUAGCUGAAAUAAAUUUACUCAAUUAGAAUCUUUCAAUGGAUUUUGAUGAUGUCAUGUAAUGUAAAUGCAUGAAAUGAAUGCCUAAAGAGGGGUUGAUUUUGAUUCAAUUACAUUUAGAAAACUUUACUAGAAGAUAAAUUUCUUUACAUAAAGCGGAUAUAUAUACAGUCUCGCCCUCAUAUUCCAAGAGACAACAUCGAUCCCUUCCUUCAUCCGUGUGCUAAGAUAAACCUUGCGAAUUCUUCAAAAAAGGUGUCUCCUUUAUCUCUUUUUGUUUGAUCUUGGUCGCAAUCCGUUGUCUGCCUAUCCUCGUAAUGCUAAUCAGGUCCUUUAAGGAAGUUAGAAUGUCGAUGGCUCUUAGAUAGUCAUCUUGAAUCUUCGAGCCAUGAGGUACAAUCAUGAACUUUUCCUUCACCCUUCUUGUGUUUCUCGGAAUAUAUUCAGGAAGUCGUACUAUUUUCCAUUUUAUCAAGAAAUCUGUAUUCCAUGAAAAGCUUUCUAAUUUAGUAAUCGGACUCGAAUCAACAUCUCUUUCCUAAGAUGCAAAUGCAAUGCAAUCAUAGUCAAAGCAAAACAAAACGAGUUAGUACAAACUAAAAGCAAACAAAAGAAUACCUAGUCGGGAAACCACUAGGGGUUUGGAGUAGUCCUACCUAAGGUGGGCACCAAAGGUCUUUUACAUGCGGUUUGGUUCUAAAGUUGAGGUACCCAAACCAGCAGAUUCCUCGAUCCUCACCCAUUAUAGGCUCAUACAGGUCGAGUUCGGUUCAGGGGAAUACAUUCCCCUAUGGUUGCACGGAGAUGAAAAUCUCACGAAGACAUAGGUACGAAUGUAUUCCGAAAGUGAUCCACUAUCCUGCACGGAGGUGAAAACCUCACGAAGAAGUAGUUUCUCACUUCCAUUUAAAAGGUAAGACUAAACAAUCUUUAUGCAAUAUGAUGCCAAAAUAUAAAACCCAGUCAGUAGUAAUCAAUCACAAACAAAUGCAAUGAGAGGAUCGUAAUUUUUAAAAUCAAAUUUUCAAUUUUCGAUAAUAAGACAGAAAACAAUCAGUUUUACGGCUUGACUCUCUAAAGUCCCCAGUGGAGUCGCCAAGAUGUCGAAACCAUUUUUUUUUGAAAAACAAAAAUUUAGUAGUCGACUUAAAAAUGAAAAUUAGAGUUGCCACUGAUCUUUUAUUGAGGUGUGAUCGACUCACCUUAAAAACAAUUUUGGUCUGCAGAAUUUGAGAAAACAGGUUCGGGAGUUGGUUACGUACGAGGAAGUGUUAGCACCCUCGUAAUGCCCAAAAUUGGUACCGAAUUGAUUCAUUAAUGUCUUAAUGUCGAAUGUUUGAAAAGAUUUUAAAAUACGAUCCUUUGAAAAGAAAAUUUGAAUAAAAUUAAUUGGAUGAUGAGACUCACUUAUUUCAAAGAAAUAAAUUAUCACACUCAGUAAGUUAGAGUGCAAUAUCUUAAAUCCUCAAAAUUAAGUUUAUUUUUUGACUUUUAAAACCUAUGCAUUUUGAGAAGGAUAUCUGAUUAUUUGGGUCAAAUGAAGAGAUCAAAAUCCAGUAAGUUAGGGUCCAAUUUCACAAAAUUCCAAAUACAGAAUAUUGCCUUUAUUUUUAGAAGAAUCCUCAUCUCGAGGAAACAACAUGUCAUACCCAAUGCGUUAGGGCACAACGUAUCGAAUUCCCGAGAAUGAGCUUUUUUAUUUAUGUUUUAAUUAAAGAGGAUAUUCGGCUUCCUAGAUCCCGAGGAAGAUUGGAAUCCAAUAAGUUAGGACACAAUCUUUUCGAGGAUUCCAAAUUCCAAGUGUCGCGUUGUCUUGAAAGACUUUUGUAUAAAUGAUUUUGAUAUUUAAAAGAUAUUAGACGUAAUCUUUAAUGUAACGCGAUUGAAUGGUAAAGUGUGAGAUAAUUGGUAAUCCGAACACACAUUAAAAAAUAAUGACCAAGCAAUAGAUAAAUGUUAACAAGAAUAGCAACAAUAAUUUUAAUCCUAUUAUGCAAACAUCAGUAUUACAAAUUAAACAUCAAACGAAUUAAUAAUCAAUUUUAAAACGUGUACGAAGAAAACAGUGGCAGCAAGAGAAAUCACAAUCAAUAAAUUAUACAUGCCAAAGUCUUGAAAUAAACAAAAUAUAUAUAUACCAAUACAUAAUAUUUUUCUUUUAAAAUAAUGCCUAAUAAAUCUGAAAUGAUAAUACAUAAUAAAUUUAAAAAUAAAUAUAUAAUAAAUCUAAGCUAAUAAUACAUAAAAGUUUAUGAUGUUAAUAAUAUAUUGUAAUUUAAAAAUAAUACAUAAUGAAAUUUAAUGCUAAUAUAUAUGAUUGUAAUAUAUAUGAAAAAAAAUUCAAGUGUAGUACGUAAAGUAAUAUGUACAUAUAUAUAUAAAUAGAUAAAUAAAAUAUAAAUAACAUAAUUACAAUAUCAAUAAGGCUAGUGGAGACAAUGAUAAUAAUAAUAAAGAAGAUUAAACUAAUUAAUAAAAAAACAAAUAACAAAGAGGAUUAAAUUGAAUUUUAAACAAAAUUACAAGGAAAAAAAUGAGAAUAAAACAAAACAGAGGGCCAAAAUAUAAUGCGCGAAUUACUUGGGGCACCAAGCAGAAAAUACUCCCUUCCCUCAAAACGUGGUGUUUAGAUCAAGACUGAAUUGACACAAAUUCAAAAUUCAUGCGGGAAAUUUACAAAAAAAAAUGAAAUUAAAAUGAUGGAGUAAAAUGGAGGGAUCGAAGGCGCAAAUAGACUACACAACAAAAAUGCGUGGAUCCUUCCCAGGUCGGGUCACCCUGCUAACCAUAAACCACCAAACGGCGUCGUUUUGGAGCCAUUGGAACCAGGCUUAAACGACGUCAUUUUUUAGACUAUAUAAAGACGACUUCAAACCCUAAAUCAGAAACCCCUUGCCAUUUUCAAAACUCACGCCGCAAAACCUAUGUCUCUCUUCGUCGUUCGAACCCCUUCGACUCUGAUUUAGACGGGAUGAAUAGGAACUCCGACGACUCCUACAAUGGUAAGAUCCUCUCACUUUCUCUCUUUUUGGAUUUCGUAAAGGAGCAAAAAUGAUUUGCAUUAUAUCAGAAAAUGAAAUCUGCCAUUACUCUUUUAAAAAUCAAUCUAUUAUUACUGUUUUGUUCAUAAUGAAAUCACCUUCAAAAAAAAUUGCUUUUUUCUUUUUGUAUUGAUAUCGUGUGUGUAAAAAAAAUACAAAGGUUCUUCCCUUUCUUUUAUAGCCGAGAGAAAAAGAAAGAGAAUAAAAUAAAAAUACAAUAUAUCCAUUUUCUUUUUGUUGUGUUGUUUUCGUCCCAUUUGUAAGUGUACGGAGGCGGUGGACGUAGUGUGUACGGAGGAGAAGGCGUACGCGUACGGAGGCUCAUCACGCGCGAGGGGCUUGGCUUUGGCACCUGGAUCUUCUAGGGUUUCCAUGUGUUGUUUAGUUUUUUGGGCUCAUUUAGGGUUUGGGUAGAAUUAGAUGUUGGACCUUAAUUGUUUAGGCUAAUUUUUGGACUGGUGUUUAGUGGGUUUGAGGCUUAAUGUAAUCCGGGCUUAGAUUUUAUUAAAUUUGUAAUACUGGACUGUAUUGGACUUUUAUUAUAUAUAUUUUAUAUUUUUUUAUAUUUGGGUUUUAAUACUUGGGUUCGGGUCGGGCAAAAUUUGGGUAUGACACAUUCAUUUAUUAAAACAUACUUAUGAAAGAAAUGAUUGAAACAUACUUGAAAAUUUUAAAAUUUGAGCAAUUUAUUUGCCUUACCCCCUUUAAAAAGAAGCAAUGUCCUCAUUGCAAGAACAAAGUAUGAAUGAAAACUGAACACCAGGUAGGGUUGUAAAGAAAGAGAGGUGAGUCAUUAAGACUUCUUAAAUACCAAGUCUUUCCUAAUAACCCAAUCCUAGACAUCUUCAUUCUCAUUGCCACAUCACUUAGUCUUUUUCUUUCUAAAGAAGUAUUUAUUCAUGCUUUCUAUGUUUAUUUUUCAAAAAUUAAAUCCUAAUUACUAAAGAAAUAAAUUCCUAAAGACCUAGAAAACAAUUAAAUAAAUAACAAGACAAGAAUCCCCCAUUUUAUUUUUCUGACUCAUUCCCCUUGUCUUAUUUAGUUCCAUCUCUGCUUGCAUCGUUUGUAUCUUCCGUUCAUGUCUCAAAGAUAGCAUCUGAGAAUUCAAGAACAAAAGUGUUAGAGAUAUUCAUAAAAGUAUUUCAAAUUGAAUCAUCCCUAAUUUUUGCAUAUUUCCAGUAAGUUUGUUGUUGAUUGUGCAUGAACUUGCACAUAUCCAUCAAAAUUGUCAACUUCGAUUUCUUUGAAGUACUUGCAAGAGUCGGCAUUGGAGUCGUAAAUUCUGGUUCAACACUUAGCUUGACUGGUUCUUCUUCUAGCUCAACCAUUGGUUUAGAGUUUUCAGUUCCUUCAACUGGUUGAGGACUAUUUGGUUCCUUAUCAGAUUCUCCUUCAAUGUCUGUGUAACGCCCCAAAAAUGUAUAUUUUUGUUUAUAAAAAUAUGACACAAAUAUGUUUCUGCUUUAGUGGUUAAGUGUUCUAGGUGUGUGUAUGAGGUCCUAAGUUCAAGCCAUGCCUUUGGCGAAAUUUUGGAAUUUUUUCUAAUUAAAGCCUUAUCCUUAUUCAGUGGGCUUAAUUUUAAUUAUUUGUAAAACCAUAUCAGAAUGAGCCUACUGGUUCAAGUGGUAAGGCAGUUGGAGUGUUGGAGAUUUCGUGUUUGAAUCUUUGCACGAGUGAGAAUGUUAAUUGUUUUACUUGAUUUCCUAGAAGAGUUGUGCAGAAGAUGGAUUCUGAGUAGUUGGGAUUUGGGGAGUUAUCAGGAUUAUUUUUGUACUUUUUUAUUUUAUUCAUUUCAAAAUUUGUUUCUCUCUCUUUCUCUCCAAAAUUCUGACGUCGACUUUCUUCUUCACUUUUCUUCUUCGAUUUUUCUCGACUUCCUGUUGAAUUUUUCACAGUCAUUGCGUUCAUGGCCCUUUUUCAUCUGGUAAGUGAUCUCUUUUAGUCUUCUUCCUUUGAUUUGGGGUCUAGAGACAUUAGUUUAUGGUAGUUAAUCGAUGUAUCCUGUGUUUAUGAAAAGAUCAAGGUGCUGGGGUUUCCGAGUCGAUGCUUUAAAUGUGCAGAUUAAUGUUGCUCGACCUAAGGUAAGAUUUUAGUCGAUUUAAGUGGGUUGUUCAUCACUUUUGGUUCGGUUUAAUGUCAUUCUAAGUGUUUAAUUCUGGGUUUGUUUGGUCAAUAUUAGGUAUUGAAGUGCUUGUGUGCGUAUUUGCAGUGAAACGAUACCAGGUGUGUACCCAAAACACAAAAAUAAGAGAUUCGGCAAAAAGCCAAAAUUGCUUGCUGUUUGGAUAGCAGCAGUAAGCUAAAUUUGAAAAAUCACCAUAAAUUGUAAAAAUCGAAUUAAAGGAUGAAAAAAAUAUGGAAUUAAAUAUAUUUAAGUUUAGUUUUUUAUAGAAGAAACAAAGUAAGAAAAUAUUUUCAUGUUAUGGGAUAUUUGAAUUUUAGUGAGAUAGGUUCAGAAUGAUUUCAAAAUCCCUAUCCUGCAUUUGGAAAAUUAUUAAAAAUUUUAUAAAAAUAAUUAUGGGUUAAAAUUUAUAUGUUUAAAAUCUGGAAAAGCAAACAAGAACAUCAUCUGAAUUCUGUAGAAGAAGAUAAUUAAUUUUUAGUGCAGAAAGGUCGAAACUGUCAGACAGCAGAACAAGGAAAACUUUAAACAAUAAACUGUACUUAUUGGCUAAACCAAUAAUUCUAAAAAUUUUAUGGUAAGAAAAUAUGUGAGUCUGGUUUCAGAGAAAAUUUUCAGAUCUUAAUUCAAAAUUCUGUAGCUUAAGACACAAAUAAUUUAGUUACAGUGACUCAAAUAGACAACUUUGAAGGAUCAUAUAAGUAAAUAGUGGAAACACAUAUGAAUAAUUAACUAGCAUGGGUUACAUUAAAAUGGAUCACGAGGCCAAGGCCAAUUUGGGUCAUGUGGGUCACACGGGCGUGUGGGUCCACACAAGCGAACAUCAUGGGCUUGUAGGCCUAUUUUCACUGUUUGAUUGAUAAGGUCGCACGGGUCGCCCAAGUCGUCUGUGAACCUACUGUAGGGUCGGUAAGUUUAUCUAGACCCCUAAUUGACUGAAAUGACUGUAUGACUGAUAUGAUUAAGCAUGAUGGCGUCCCACUGAUUUGAUACUGUAUGCCCUGUUUACAUGCAUGAUAUUAUGUUAUAGCAUGUCAUAUCUGUAUAUUGCAUUACAUUGGGUUGGGGGAUUAUAAUGUUCGGAGGAAGUGUACUGAAAGGCCUCGAGCCUAAUUUACUGGCAGCUUAGCUGCAAACUACUGUCUAGUGCCACAUUCGGUACUACUUGAAGUAUAGGGAUGGGUGGUUUGAUUAUAUCCCUACAUGGAGUGUAGGGUUGGACGGAGAUGGUGUGUAGAGGCUGGAUGGGUAGGAUUUUGGUGACUACAUAUCUGUUACUGCUACUGAUACUGUGAUGGGCUAAAGCCUUACUACAUGACUGUUUUUGUACUAAGAUGGGCUAAGGCCCAAACUGAACUGAUACUGAUACUGAAAAGGGCUUAAGCCCAGACUGUGAUUAUUUGUUUACUAUCUGUUCAUUUGUAUGGGGAUUACACAUUGAGUUUACGUAAACUCACCCCUUCUGUUUAAUCUGUAUAGGUAAUCCCUAGAUAUAGGCAGAUCGGUGCAGCGGAGGACUCAGUGGUGGCUACACGACUUCUUUUACAUUGUUUACUACUUGUUUAUGAUUUUACUUUUAUUUGGGAGUAUUUUGAUGUAAUUAUGACCUUUACGUAUUUUGGUUUAAAAUUUGGAUUUUAUACGGUUUUAUGAUUUAAAUCUGCUUAGUGUUAGGUAAAACUCAGGUUUUCAAAUGAAAUUAAUGUUUUAUCAAAAAUACCACGAAUAAACAAACUGUUUAAAAGCUUCUGCAUAGAAUAAACAUUUUGAAAACUUUCGACUGAUUAAUUAACACGACUUUAGAAAUAAUAAGUAGACUUUGAAAAGUUUUCUAAGUGAAAAAUGUUUUAAGCAAAGCUACGGUUUUCAAACACUACCAUGUGACAUUGCCAGAUUCGGCCAUAACGUCUAGGUCGGGUUUGGGGUUUUACAGUCUGUAACUGAAUCAGCUUCAGUUUUACUUUUAUUUGUUAACUCUUUGGUUUCUGGAUCAAUUGGUUCCUCUUGCUUGCCUUGGUUCAGCUCAUGCACUCCCUCUACUAACCUUUCAAGAUCAUGACUUGUGAUGCACCCUUGGACAUACUGCCCCUUCAGAUUUGCUUGUGUUUUAACACGGGCCCUUAAGCAAAGUGAAGUGAUUAAUGGUGGGAAAUAAGCACUUCCUGCCUUCUUUUUAGCACAAUCAUGAAUUUUCUUGAGUAUAACUUUCCCAACAUUAAUGGAAUUUUCUGUCAAAAUUGUAUAUAACAAGAGCAUUCAUUACAUCGAGAUGGUGAAACUAUGUUGUCGAAACCUCUUUUAAAUUUAUUUGAAAAAACGGGGAUCGACUUUAAAAAAUGAAAAUUGGAGUCGCCACCGAUCUUUAAUCAGGUGUGAUCAGAACACCUUGAAAAUGAUUUUAGGUCUACGAAUUUUGAGAAAACUGGUUCGAGAGUCGGUUACGCACGAAGAAGGAUUAACACCCUCGUGAUGCCCAAAAUUGGUACCGAAUUGAUUGCUUAAUGUCUUAGUGUUGAAAUUUUGAAAAGAUUUUAAAAUAUGAUCCUUUGAAGUUUAAAUUUGAAUAAACCAAAUUGAAUAAUGAGACGCACUCAUUUCGAGGAAAUAAAUUGCCACACUCAGUGAGUUAAGGUGAAGCAAUUCAAUCGUCAAAAUUAAAUAUGUCUUUUUAAUUUUUAAAUUUUAAAAUUCAUGUAUUUUGAGAAGGUUAUUUGGUCAUUUAAGUCAAACGAGAAAUCAGAAUCCAAUAAGUUAGGGUUCAAUUUCUCGAAAUUCCUAACAUCAAACAUUGCCUUUAUUUUAAAAUCCUUAACUCGAAGUAACAAAAUGUCAUAUCCAGUGAGUUAGGAUCCAACAAUUGAAAUCUCGAAAAACUUUAUUUAGAAAUCGUAUGGUUUUAUUGCAAUAGAAAUACUUGGCUAUCUAAAUUCAUUGAAAAAAAAUUGAAGCCCAGUAAGUUAGGGCACAAUACUCUCGAGAAUCGGGAAUACCAAGUAUUUUGAGAAUUUACGGAAUAAAAUGAUUUUAGUGCUUUAAUGAAACACAUUUUGUAAACAAAUGUAAUAUGAUUGAAUGGCAAUGUAUGAUGUAAAAGAUAAUCGUUUGAGCAAUAGAUAAAUGCAAACAAGGAUAGCAACAAUGAUUUAAAUCAUAUUAUACAAAUAUCAACAUCAAUAUUAAAACUAGAUAAAUCUAUCAUCAAUUUUAAAAGAUACGCCAAGACGAUAAAAAAUAAUAAAAACAAUAUGUCCUACGCAUAGAAAUUUUAAAAUAAAUUACAUGCAUAAACUCAAAAUAGACUUGAAAUAAAAUAAUAAUAACAUUUAAAAAUAGUAUUAAAAAAUAUUAGGUAAACAUUUAACAUAUAGAUAUACUAAAAUAAAUUUUAAGAUAUAACCUAAAACAAAACAUUAAAAUAUGUACAAAAUAAUAUCAGAUUAUUGUAAAUAUAUAUAUAUCAAUAAUAUCGUGUCAAGUUUGAAAAUAAAAAUAUAUAAUGGACCCUUUUUAAAAAAAUGUAUGAUAAAUUUAAAACAUGUUAAUUUGGAAUAUUAAAAUAAUAUUAGAAAUGAAAACUAAAUUUGUCAAAAUAAGAUCUAAUUUGAUUUAAAAUUAAACUAAUAAAAGUUUAGUUAAAAUUGAAACACAAUCAAAAGAAAAAUAAAAAUAAAAUAAAAUAAACUAGAGGAACGAAAAUUAAAUUGAAAUUAAAACAAAACUAAAUAGGCAAUAAACAUAAAUAAAAAUAAAAGAAAGACUAAAUUCGAACUUGAUGUAAAAACUGAGGGACCACAAUAGCAAAUAAACGCAUACUUCUGAAGAUUUUAAUCUUCUUGAUGGAAACAACGUCGUUUGCUUGCCGAUCAAAAUAGAAUCAGAAUAAAAUGUGCAAUAAGAUUUGAAUACAUUGAAGAGAAACUGAUUUGAAAUAGAAUACAAAGAAAAGGGACCUAAUGCAAAAUAAACCAUUUCUCAAGACGCGCGGAUCCUUCCCACGGAUCGGGUCACUGCUCGGGUAUGGCCAACACGUUGCCGUUUUGAAGUCAUGGAAGAAGACUUUAGACGGCGCCAUUUAAAUAAUCUGCCUAAAAUUUAAAAACCUAAUUGAUAUUAAACAAUCAUCUAAAAUAAAACUAACAAAACCUAAUCAAUUCUCUUUCUCUCUUGCGCUGCUCAGCCAACCAACGUUUGGAGGCCCCGAUUCCUCACUCACCUUCGAUUGCGACGGAGGGAGCAAAAGAUCAACCACCAGGUACACUCUUUGAUUUCUAACCUUCUAUUAUUGUAUUGAAUAGGGAACAAAAGAGCGAAGAACAAAAAAGGAAGAAAAAAAAGAAAAGCAAUCUAUUCACCUUUCAAUUUUUCUGAGUAUUUUUUCUUUUUGCAUUCAAUCUCUGUAAAAUGCGUAAAAAAAGAUCCAUUUUUACAAAUCUUGAUGGCUUUUAUAGCUAAAUUUUCAAAGAUGAAAAGAGAAUAAAAAAUACAAUGUUUUUCCUUUCUCUGCUACGCUAUUUUCGUCCCAUUUGCAGGUACGAAGGAGUGCAUACGUACGGAGGCGCGGUGACGUGGAGAGGACGCGUGGUGGUAUGGCUCAGCUACGUACGGAGGCUGGUCACGUGCGGAAGGCUUGGUAAGUGGCUAGCGGCGGCUGAGGCAGAUAGUUGUUUUAGGGUUUUAUUUUGAAAAUGUUUUAGGGCUAGGUAUGUGGGUCAAUGGUUUGGGCCUUUUUGGGCCGAUUGGUUAUUGUAAAUGGACUGCUAUUGGACUGUUGUUAAUUGUAAAUGGACUUUUAAUAUUUUUUACUUUUAUGUUGGUUUUAUUUAUUUUUUAGUGGUCCCGGGUCAAAAUUGGGCAUUACAGCUACCCUUAUUUGCUCAUUGUCGUGUAACGGGAAUGAAGCAAAGACUUUGAAAAUGGUCAAUUUUACCCGGUCAUGCUGGACCUUGGUGCUCCUCUUCAAGUAGCCUCAGUCCAUCCUAUUGUAUCUUUAGAGAUAUAGGAAUCGGUGCCUCGAUCCACUCCACUGCAAUGUCGGGGAGAUCAGAUUUGUAACUCAUAACUGUGAUGUCGGGGAAGCAAGAUUCGCCAUUGUAGCUUUAAUCUGUUCCGAUGCAUUAUCUGGGAAGUAAGAUUCACUGUUGUAGCUUUAAUAUUCUUGACUGCAAUGUCGGGGAAGCAAGAUUCGCCGUUGUGGCUUUAAUCUGCUCCACUACAUUAUCUGUGGGAUAAGGUCUGAAAUUCUUCGGUCUAUUCCACUGUAAUCUCAGGGAGAUAAGACCUGAUACGAUCUGCUUUACCGUAACUUCAGAGAGAAGAUCCUUUAUUUUAAUCUGCUCCACUGUAAUCUCAGGGAGAUAGGAUUACUAGCUUCAAUCUGCCCCGCUGUAAUCUCAGGGAGAUAAGAUCUAAAAUUUUUCGGUCUAUUCCAUUGUAAUCUUAGGGAGAUAAGACCUGAUGCAAUCUACUCUACUGUAACUUCAGAGAGAUAAGAUCCUUUAUUUCAAUCUGUUCCACUAUAAUCUUAGGGAAAUAGGAUUACUAGCUUCAAUCUACUCCGCAGUAAUCUCAGGGAGAUAAGAUUCACCAUUUUCGAUUAGCUCCACUAUUGCUUAGGGAGAUAAGAUCUGGAAUUCUUCGGUCUAUUCCACUGUAAUCUCAGGGAGAUAAGACCUGAUGUGAUCUACUCUACUGUAACUUCAGAGAGAUAAGAUCCUUUAUUUUAAUCCUCUCCACUGUAAUCUCAGGGAAUUAGGAUUAUUGGCUUCAAUCUACUCCGCUGUAAUCUCAGGGAGAUAAGACUCACCAUCUUCGAUUUGCUCCGCUAUUGCUCAGGGAGACAAGAUCUGUUAUAUUCACUGAUCUGUUCUCUGGAGAAUACGACCUGUACAAUGAACCUAAUUAUUCCUAAUGAUUAAGAUGGCAUGAUCAAAAUGUAUCAAAUGCUCCUAACUAGACAUGUGUGAAUGGUGUUUGCAUGAAUGCAGAAUUCUAUUUUUCUGAGAAUGACUCCGCUUUGUCAUUACACGAAUUUUAUUAAGGCUUUAACACUGACGUGCUUACAACGCCUUUUUGCUUAACCAGCUUUGUUGAAGAAACAUCUAGCCAGGUUGCCCCCAGUGUAAAUCUCAAAGUUUAAUCCAUUGGGGCGCAAAAAACCAUCAUUCUCCCACUGCAACACGAGGGUAGAAAUAUAUGUGGUUUUUAUCACAAUCCUCUCUUAUAACAAAUCAAGGAUAUAGGAUCUAAAAUUGUUUUGGUUCCCUACACCAUUCCCAGGGUGUCAUACCAAAUACUUAUGUGCAAAUGAAGGCUCUCUUCUCUGAGGUAACCUCUUUCUCUUGCCUGAUGAUUAUUGUUUGCUUGUUUAUUUAAACUUUGUCAUUAACCCGACAUCCUAUCAUUUUGUUCAAUCAAUGCAUUUGACAACAAAAUCCAAAGAGAAAGUCCAAAUUUAGACUCUUCGUUCUCAAAUUUCCAACCUUUAAAUUUGGUGUGUUCUAAACAAUAGUCCUGUUUCAGGCUCCUAUAUUAUUUAGAAACUUUUCAGAGUAAUAUGCAAAACUUCCUUUGUGAAAUUUUUAUUAGUCCAUUAAUCAUUAUUCCGAUGCAACAUGCUUGCAAAAAUGGUCAUAACAAUGGAUAAGAAUAAUGUUGGUUCUGGGCAUAGCUCAAAAUGAAUAAAUUAUCACAAAUAGUAAAGAAGGAUAAUAAAGGAAUUGAUUGGGAAUGUAUAUCUUGGAAAAGAAAAAAAUAUUCCAAGAACAACAAUUUCAAUAUAAAUAAUAGAAGAAUUGGGUGCCCCGAGGAUUGCAGCUUGAACUUCUCUGAACAAACUUUCUGAAGACCAUUUUGAGUUUGACAUGUGUUUAGGAGAUCUACAGUGCUUUUUCGAUGCCCCAAGAUAUCGCCUACCUUUCCCUGUUGAUUCAGGUAUAACAAGAUUACCACAUGCCCGAAGAUUCGAGUUUUUCUGAUCGCUUCAUGCCUCAUUUUGAUCAAUAUUUGAGCAACCAUUUUCGGGUUUUCAACUCAAAUCCCCUUUGGCCUAAGGUGCCCUUUGCGGGUUUUCUCCUUAGCCUCUCCAUUUUUACUUUUUCAUUUUUCAUUUUUCAUUUUUUUUUAAGAAUCAAAGUGCCCUUUGCGGGUUUUCACUUUGAUCCCUUUCCUUCAAGUGAAGUAUUUCUUGACUGAGUCUGAGUUUACAGGAUUUGGCAAGUUUUUUCCAUCCAUCUAACUUAGAAUCAAAGCUCUACCAGAAAAGGCCUUCUUUACGACUUAAGGACCCUCCGAAUUUGGCAUCCAUUUUCCUCUAAAUUCUUUUUGUAUAAGGAGAAUUUUCUUCAACACCAGAUCCCUUUCGGGGAAUUCUCUGGGACGAACCUUUUUGUUAUAGGCUCGCAUCAUCCGUUUUUGAUACAUAUGACCAUGUUGGAUGGCUUUUAACCUUUUCCCUUCUAUUAAGUUCAACUGGUCGUAUCGAGACUGAACCCAUUUUGCUUCAUCUAAUUUCAAUUCAGCUAAUACCUGAAGAGAAGGAAUCUCCACUUCAAUGGGUAAAACAGCUUCCAUCUCAUAAACCAGAGAAAAGGGUGUUGCCCCAGUAGAGGUCCUAGCAAAUGUUCGGUAAGCUAAGAGAGCAAAUGAUAGCUUUUCAUGCCAAUCCUUGUAGGUUUCAGUCAUUUUCCCCGCAAUUCUCUUAAUAUUCUUAUUGGCCGCUUCCACUGCACCAUUCAUUUUUGGGCGAUAUGGCGACGAGUUAUGGUGACUAAUCUUGAACUGACUACAAACUUCCGCUAUUGUGCUAUUAUUCAAAUUCAACACAUUUUCGGAUAUGAUUCUUUCAGGCAUUCCACUCGACAAAUGAUCUCCUUUUUUAAGAAUUUACUAACCGCCGAUUUCGUGACAUUUGAUAUGAAGCAGCUUCCACCCAUUUGGUAAAGUAAUCGAUGACCACAAAGAUGAAACGAUGCCCAUUUGAAGCCUUCGGUGAUAUUGGACCAAUAACAUCCAUGCCCCACAUGGAGAACGGCCAUGGAGCAGUCAUAACGUGUAGAGGUGAGGGAGGUACACGUAUCUUAUCUCCAUAAAUUUGACAUUUAUGACACUUCUUGGCAUAGCUAAUGCAAUCCCCUUCCAUAGUAGACCAAUAGUAUCCAAAUCUCAUGAUCUGUCUGGCCAUUGUAAAACCAUUUGCAUGAGUUCCGCAAAUGCCCUUAUGGACUUUUUCCAGGAUCUUUCUAGCCUCCACGGCAUCUACACAUCUUAACAGCACUUGAUCUUUCCCUCUCUUGUACAACACUUCCCCAUCUAAGACAUAUUCAAUGGCUAUUCUUCUCAGUGUUCUCUUGUCAUUUUCUGUCGCUUGAUCAGGGUAUUUUCGAUUUUUCACAUAUUGUAGUAUACUCUAAUACCAAGGGUGAUCAUUUUUUCCUUCCUCUUCAAUAUUGUAGCAAUGAGCCGGAACUUCAUAUAUGCUCAUCUAAAUAGGCUUCAUGAUUUCUAACUUGUUCACCUUAAUCAUCGAGGCUAGAGUAGCCAGUGCGUCAGCCAUCUCGUUUUCAUCUCGUGGAAGAUAACAGAAAGUGAUGUCAUCAAACUCGUCAAUCAAUUCAAGAACCAGCUCUUUAUAACUGAUCAACUUAGGGUCUCUGGUUUCCCAUUCUCCUUUGAGUUGGUAUAUCACCAAUGCGGAAUCUCCACACACUUUUAGCACUUUGAUUUUACGUUCAAUGGCCACACGAAUACCCAUAAUACAUGCUUCAUAUUCGGCCAUAUUUUUUGUGCAAUCGAAGUCUAACUUGCUAGCAACAGGAUAAUGAUCUCCAGUUGGGGAUACCAAGACUGCCCCAAUUCCAUUACCCAUAGCAUUUGAAGCUCCAUCGAAAUUUAACUUCCAUAUGUGGUCUAUUCGAGGGUUUUCUUCAGUGUUUGCCACAUACAUCAAGUCCUCAUUUGGAAAAUCGAAGUUCAAAGACUCAUAGUCUUCCAAGGCUCUGCUGGCUAGAAAAUCAGCUAUUGCACUUCCUUUUAUAGCCUUCUGACUUACAUAUACUAUGUCAAAUUCAGAGAGCAGAAUUUGCCAUCUAGCCAUUCUCCCAUUUAAAGCAAUUGAUUCCAUUAUAUACUUUAAAGGAUCCAACUUUGAAAUCAGCCAAGUCGUAUGAUACAACAUGUAUUGCCUUAGUCUUCGAGUUGUCCAAAUUAAAGCACAACACAACUUUUCAAUGGAUGAGUACUUCAUUUCACAAUCAGUGAAUUUCUUGCUGAGAUAGUAUAUUGCUCUUUCUUUCUUUCCUGUUUUGUCAUGUUGGCCCAAGACGCAUCCCAUGGAAUUGUCAAACACCGUUAGAUACAAUAUCAAUGGCCUAUCUAGACUAGGCGGUGAUAGUAUUGAAGCAUUAGCCAAGUAUUGCUUUAUCUUGUCAAAAGCUUUCUGACAUUCCUCAUCCCAUUCUCUCGGAUUAUGUUUCUUCAGAAGACGAAAUACUGGAUUGUAUUUCUCAGUCAAUUGUGAAAUGAACCGAGCAAUGUAGUUCAACCUUCCUAGGAAACCUCGGACCUCUUUCUGAGUGCUUGGAGGAGGCAGAUCUCGUAUUGCUUUAACUUUAUCCGGGUCAAUCUCAAUCCCCUUCCUACUGACUAUGAAGCCCAACAACUUUCCUGAUCUGGCUCCAAAUAUGCAUUUUGCUGGGUUGAGCUUAAGCUGAAAUUUUCUCAAUCUUAAGAAUAAUUUCCUCAAGACUCGGAGAUGAUCUUCUUCAGUUCUAGAUUUUGCAAUCAUAUCAUCAACAUAGAUCUCAAUUUCUUUAUGCAUCAUGUCAUGAAACAGGGCAUUACUUUGUAACAAAAUGUUCCCCAUAGGGUAAUGAAUGUGGUUUUCCUCAUAUCUUCAGGAUGCAACUUUAUUUGAUUGUAUCAAGAAAAGUCAUCCAUGAAAGAAAAUAAUGAGUAGCUAGCUGUAUUAUCUACCAAAGUAUCAAUGUGUGGCAACGAAAAAUUAUCUUUUGGGCUAGCCUUGUUCAAGUCCCUAUAAUCCACACACAUUCGUACCUUUCCAGCCUUUUUGGGAACAUGGACAAUAUUUGCUACCCAUUCUGAAUACCUGACCUCUUGUAAGAAUCCAACAUAUAACUGCUUUUUGACCUCCUCUUUUAUUUUCAACACAAUAUCAGGUCUCAUUCUUCUGAACUUCUGCUGAACUGGUUUACAAUCUUCUUUUAUAGGUAAACGAUGUACCACAAUGCUAGUAUUUAGCCCUGGCAUAUCCUGGUAUGGCCAUGCGAAAACAUCUUUGAACUCUCGGAGUAAUUUAAUGAGGUCAUGUUUUGUCUUUGUGGUGAUAUCAGUUCCGAUUUUCACCUCUUUUCCUUCCUCUAAGCUCACAAUUUCUAAUGAUUCCUUAUGAGGUAGGAUUUGUUUAUCCUCUUGUUCCACCAUUCUCAAAAAGUCCAGAGAUACACCACCGUCUUCGUCAUUUUCAAAGUCAUGAGAUCCUUCCAAACACAUGUCUUGCUCAAAAAAAGACUCUGUGUUUGAAACAGCAUCACUCAUGUCAUUGAUAUCUGAGGACUUAUAGGGAUACACCAAAGAAUAUACAAAAAUAUAUAAAUUUAUAAAUAAUUAUUUUUACAAUCAGGUUAUAAUGAAAAAAAAUCAUUUGGAAGACAAUCAAUCAAAUGGAAAAUAUUUACUUGCCUGGAAAAAAUAAAAGAAUAAUUGCUCGAAAUGAAUGCAAUGUAUUUUAUUAGAAUAAUGAUAUUCAGACUUAAGCCUAUUUCACAAAGGAUUUCUUAUCAUUCUUAGGCUAAAAACAACAAGAAUGUUUUGAACAUUACUCUGAAUAAGCUCUAAAGAAUACAGGUAUUUCUUCCGCAGUCCAAUUGUUUAGCUCACUCCCAGGUUCGUAAGGGCAAAUCUCCAACAUGGUCCUUAUUUCAGCUGUCUCUAUAGCAUUGAUAUGAACAUUUUCCAACAUCUCUUCAAUGCCUUCCCUUCUGGACACCCUUCGCUCAGGGUAAAUAAACCCACCCGACACAAAGGAUUUAGAUAUAUGGGGGAAAGUCAAAGGCUCCCACUUGACUUCCUCUCCGUUUAAACGUGCCCUUCUUCUCUCCUUCCUUUUCUCCACUUCUUUUCUCUUUUGUUUCAUAUCUAGCUUGUAACCUAAGCUAAAACGAUCAAACUUUUCCUUCAGCAUGGGUGCUUCAAUCCUUCCUUGAAGGUAUUUUCCCAACCCUUUCCCUGGCGAAGCUCCUCUUCCUACCAUCAAUUGUAGACCCAUCUCAGUAGUCUUGGAUAUCUUUGGUACUGGAAUUUUGUUUCCUUCAGCAAUAAACGUUGCGUUCACAAAUUCCAAGGACCGGAAAGAACAUUCCACUCCCUCAUCAUUGGUCUCUACAUAAGGUACAUCACGCGUUACCAUCGCAAUGAUAUCCUCCUCUGCACUUAUUGUUAUCAAUCGACCCUCUGAUAUUAGCUUCACCUUCUCAUGUAACGAUGAAGGUACUGCCCCUGCCGAGUGUAUCCACGGUCUCCCCAAUAAACAGUUGUAGGAAGGCUUAAUAUCCAUUACUAGAAAGUCCACCUCAUAAGUAGUUGGGCCAAUUCUUAAUGGUAUUUCAAUUCUUCCUAUAAACCCUCUUUCUGUUCCAUCAAAUGCCCUUACUAUAUUCUGGCAGACUUUCAUAUGUGAACUGUCCACAGGUAGUCGAUUAAGAGUGGACAAAGGCAAUACGUUCAAUGCGGAUCUAUUAUCGAUCAAAACCCCCGGUAAUGUGUCCCCCCGACAUCGGGUAGUAAUGUGUAGAGCUUUAGUAAAACCCCUACCUGCAGAUGGUAUUUCAUCAUCUUGAAGAAAAUAAAUUGUCAGCACUUAUAUUAUUGAUCAACCGAUCCAACUUAUUGACUGAAAUGUCAUUGGCCACAUAUGUUUCAUUUAGUACCUUCAUCAGUGCAUUUCGAUGUACUUCUGAGAUGAAGAGCAAAGCUAAUACUGAAAUACGGGCUGGCUAUUUGUGCAGUUGCUCCACAACACUGUAUUUGCUAUGUUUCAAGAACUUCAAGAAUUUCUUUGCUUCUUCUUCUUUUAUUGGUUCAUUAACCAAUGGCUAAGGUUCCGCUACCUUCCCUUUCCUCUGUUCUACUAUCAGAGUCUAUUCUCUUAGCAAUUCUACUUGAGUGUCAUAACGCUUCCCAUUACGUGUAUAAAAACCCCUUUCCUGAUAUUCUUUUACCAUAUUGCCCUCAACUUCUUUUCCUGGGAUUGUCACAUUGCAUCCGUAAUUCCAUUGGACCAUUUUGUCAUCCUUAUAUGUGAAACUUGACGGUUUGGUGAUUACAAUUUUUGGUGUUACCUGAACCCUAGCCUCAUUACUCUUAGGGCGUGAGAUAAUGACCACAAGAUGAUUUAUUUUCAGAGUCCCUAUCCCGACUCUGUCGCGUAUAUGCUCCUCCUUUCUUCCGCAUCUUCAUAGAACCUCAUCUCCUUGUUAUCCAUCAUGCUUUGAACCAAAGCCCUGAAUCCUUCACAUUCUUGGAUUUCGUGCCCUAUUUUAUGGUGGAAUUCACAAUAAUUUCCCAUCUCAUACCCUUCCUUAAAAUCUAAAAUAACUAACCCUCUUUUUGCCAUCUCUUUCUAGACCCGUUUCAAUGGAGUUUUUACUUCAGCAAUGUCAGUCUUGACUUCUUCCCCCGUACCUUCGCUCAACAUAUUCACUCCCUUAUCAUCAUGAUUAGGCAACAGAAUUUCUGUGUUGGGUGAGUCAUCAAAUUUGACAACACCCAAUUUGAUAAGUCCUUCCACUACCUUCUUGAAAGCAGUACAAUUUUCUGUUGAGUGUCCUAAAAUUCCCGCAUGAUAGUCACAUUGCGUGUUCGUGUCAUACCAUUUUUGAUAUGGGGGUUGUAGAGGACUCAAGUAACGAGGAGCAACAACAUGUGCAUUAAAUAAAUUCUGGUACAACUCUUUAUAUGUCAUUGGAAUGGGAGUGAACUAGGGCUUCUCAGUAUUUUGCCUCAUUCCCGAUUCUUGUUUCGAUGAGCCUUGUUGAUUAGCAACCAUCUUCCUUGGUUGAUUCACUGUAAUUGAUUUGCUGUAUGCAUUCACAUUGUUUACUUCACUUUCUCUUUUCUUUGGAACUGGCCUUCAAUUAUUCUCUCCACCAUCUAUUUUUCCACUUUUAAUAGCAUGUUCAAUCAUUUUUCCAUUCAUGAUUAUAUCCGAGAAACUCUUUGAGGCACUUCCUAACAUGUGCGUGAUAAACGGUGCCUUCAAUGUGUUGAUGAAAAGCAUCGUCAUUUCUUUUUCCAAAAGUGGUGGCUGAACUUGAACUGCAAUCUCUCUCCACCUGUGUGCAUACUAUCUAAAACUGUCAUUUGAUUUCUUUUCCAAGUUCUGCAAAGUGAUUCUAUCAGGCAUUAUUUCAGAUACAUGACUGUACUGCCUCAUAAAAGCCUGCGUCAAAUCCUUUCAACUGCUGAUUUUGGUCCAGCUCAAUUGGUUAUACCAUUUAGAUGCCGCCCCAAUGAGGCUAUCCUGAAAACAAUGUAUUAAUAGCUGAUCAUUGUUAAUGUACCUAGUCAUUCUCCUACAGAACAUUGUAAUAUGGGUUUUAGGGCAACUGGUCCCACUAUAUUUCUCAAAUUUUGGCAUCUUAAACUUGUAAGGAAGUACCAAAUCCAGAACCAGACUCAGAUCUUUUGCAUCUAUUCCAUGAUAACGUUCAAUGUUUUCUACUGCCUUAAACUUCUCUUCAAUCCAUUUCCAUUUCUCCUCAAACUGUUUUGGUAAUUCUUCAUUUUCUUUAUCCUUCUCAGCUACUUCAUCGAAAUCCGGGACAGCAAGAUUAAUCGGGUUCUCACCAGGGUUAGAACCUGAUCCAGCUUGGGAGUUCAUCGGUAUUGGAAUAUCGGCUUGAAACCGCUGAGGCCUUAUUGAAACAGAGGAUCUACGCGGAUGCACCUCAGUCUUAACCUGCGCAUGCGGAGGCGUAAAGCCUGGAGGAUAGGUGGGUCCAUUCUUGUCUUCUUCUUCAUCAUUAAUCAUAGGACUUUUCCCCUUAUUUAUUUCUUUUAGUAAUUGCGUCAGCUCAGUCAUCAUGUCCUUUUGAGACUCUAGCAUCCUUUCUGUCAUGUCAUGUUGAAUUUUUUCCAGUUGCUCAUUCAUUUGCAUCUGUAACUGAUCUUGCAUUUCCUUUUGAAGUCAUUCCAACUUUUCCAAUUUUUGAUCCAUAAUUUUUUAUUUUGCACGGGUACCGUAGCGGUGCUUGUUUGACGAGUUUUUGUUGGUUUCAAGAUCCGUUGCCUACAGCCUUGUAAUGCGUACUCCAAUUCUUCUAUCCUCUUUUUCAUUUCUUCAAUAUUGCACAGACUUGUCUUUAAUUCCACUACAGAAUUACGACUUCUAUACGAAGCAAGUGAUCUCUCGAGUUCUGCUAUUCUAGCUUUUAAGUCCGCUUGAUAGUUUUGAGUUUCUGACACCUGCCGUUCUAAGGUCUCUUUCUGAACUUGAGCCUCCCGAGACUUUCUUUCCCACCGAUCGGCUUUGUCUCUUUCUUCCUGGAUCUCCUGUUGCCUCUGCUUCGAAGUCUUUCCCAACCUAGCAGUUCUCAUUGAUAGUCGUAGCUUUUUGUACUCUGUCUAUAAGCUAUCUAGAUCCUCCUCGACUUUAUUCUUCCUUUUUUUUAAUUUUUCAGCUUCUAACUUUUGGACGUCAACGUCUAGCCUCAAAUGCAUCUUUUCUUCUUCCAACUGCUCUAUUUUCUUUUCGAGUUCUAAAUUCCUAUUUAUAAAAUAUUGUUUUAUAAUCUCUAACUCUGAUGGGAUCACUUGUAGGUACUCUUCCAUUGGUCGAACACCCUCCGAGUUCAACUCCGGAAUGUUAUCAUUAAUUCUUUUACCUCGCCACUCACCAUACUCUGGAGUUGUCAUCGAACCCACAGCUAGCCUUUUCAUCCUAUGAACCUGAUUCCAAGCCUAAGAAAUUUCUUUCACCUUUUUCUUGUAAUUGUCUCAUCGAUAUGAGAACUCACAUUGAGCUAAACCAUACGUUGCUGGCACAAACUGUCUUGAACUGUAUUGCCUUAGGACCAGCAAAGGUGCAGACCCGAUGGCUCCCCAAAUCCCAAGCAACGGAACCCAGUCAAAGCUUCCACAACCGUAGAGAAUUCCAUCAGGAAUCAACCAAGGAGCUCUCCAUUCCACGUCAUCCUCUUGAAGAUUUUGCAGAAUUGCUAUCCAAUUUUCUUCUAAUAUGUCGUCCCUUCUUGGCGUAGCCACUAUCUCUUUUAAAGGGGAGUAAUGCCCAGAGAAAACCCGAUACGAAACUUUUUCGACCUUCCAGAAAUGACUAUGGAACCAAGCUAUCAACAAUUGCGCACAACCUAUAAAUUUUCCUUCACCAGCUCGCCUACACGCAUUCAAAGAUCUAAACGUUUCAGCCAAAAUCACAGGAACAGGCGUGACCCCUUUACCCAACCGAUCAAAGAGAUCUAAAACCGCUUCGUCAACAUGCCCCAAUGCUCUAGGGAAAAUCACUAACCCGUAGAUACUCAAAGCAAACACAUCGACCUUCUUUUUCCCAUCAGGAUGUGCUAGGAUCAAGUCUUGCAAAUUCGUCCAUGGGAUACAUUUACACUCGCCCUUCUGUUUGAUCCUGGCCGUGAUCCAUUUUUCGUUUAUUCCCGUAAUACUCAUUAAUUUCUUCCAAAACACUAGGACAUAUGCGGCUCUGAAAUAUGCUUUAUCAACCUGAAGCCUAGGGCAGUGCAGUAAAGUUGUAUAUUCCUCCACUUUGGAACCAAAUCUACGUUCCCAAAAGUAAAACAGCUAUAUGCAGGAUUCUAAUAUUGAGCGAGAGCGUGAAACAAUCGUUCAUCACCUUAAUGUUAAGUAAGUACGGCAAGUCCCCAUAAUUAGAGUAGAACAACUGCUUGGUUUCAUCAUUCCACCAAUCCCAAAUCUCAUUUAACUACUGAAGGCUAUUUUGCGUCACACUAAAACGAGUGUAGUCCCAAAAAUCUGACACAUAUCCCUUAGCUAAAUUGUCUCCUUUCUCCAAUUGCACCUUCUCUGACCAUAUACGGACAAUGGCAUUGUCUUCCACUUUAUCAAGAAAUUCUUUUUCCAUGACAAUUUUCUAAUUUAGUAACUGAACUUGAAUCGACACUCUUUGAGAUAUGCAGUGACAUGCAAAAAUAUCAACAAAACACAAACAAGUCAGUACAACACAAAACAAAAUUCAAAGCAAGUAUAAGAAAAUCAAGCACCUAUUUGGACAAUCGCUAGAGUUUGGAGUAGUUCUACCUGGGUUAGGUUCCUAAGUCCACUAUAUGGAGUUUGGUUCUAAAGUUAAGGUACCCGAACUAGCAGAUUCCUUAUCUUCACCCAUUAUAGGCUCAUGCAGACCGAGUUCGGUUCAGGGGAAUACAUUUCCCUAUCGCUGCACGGAGAUGAAAAUCUCACGAAGACAUAGGUACGGAUGUAUCCCGAAAGUGAUCCACUAUCCUGUACGGAGGUGAAAACCUCACGAAGGAGUAGCUUUUCACUCCCAUUUAGAGGGGUAAGACCAAAAUAGCCUUUAUGCAAUAUGAUGCGAAGAUUUUUACAAAACUCAACCUACAAUAAUCAUACAAAUCAAAUUCAAAGAAAGGAUCGAAAUUUUUCAAAUCAAAUUUUCAAUUUUCGACGAUAAGACAAUUAAUUUUACGGCUUGACUCUCUAAAUCGAUUCCCCAGUGGAGUCGCCAAGCUGUCGAAAUCUCUUUUAAAUUUAUUUGAAAAAACGGGGAUCGACUUUAAAAAAUGAAAAUUGGAGUCGCUACCGAUCUUUAAUGAGGUGUGAUCGGAUCACCUUGAAAAUGAUUUUAGGUCUACGAAUUUUGAGAAAACUGGUUCGGGAGUCAGUUACACACGAGGAAGGAUUAGCACCCUCGUGACGCCCAAAAUUGGUACCGAAUUGAUUGUUUAAUGUCUUAGUGUCGAAAUUUUGAAAAGAUUUUAAAAUACGAUCCUUUGAAGUUUAAAUUUGAAUAAACCAAAUUGAAUAAUGAGACGCACUCAUUUCGAGGAAAUAAAUUGCCACACUCUGUGAGUUAGGUGCAGCAAUUCAAUCGUCAAAAUUAAGUAUGUCUUUUAAUUUUUAAAUUUUAAAAUUCAUGUAUUUUGAGAAGGUUAUUUGGUCAUUUAAGUCAAACGAGAAUUCAAAAUCCAAUAAGUUAGGGUUCAAUUUCUCGAAAUUCCUAAACAUCAAACAUUGCCUUUAUUUUAAAAUCCUUAACUCAAAGUAACAAAAUGUCAUAUCCAGUGAGUUAGGAUCCAACAAUUGAAAUCUCGAAAAACUUUAUUUAGACAUCGUAUGGUUUUAUUGCAAAAGAAAUACUUGGCUAUCUAAAUUCAUCAAAAAAAAUUGAAGCCCAAUAAGUUAGGGCACAAUACUCUCGAGAAUCGGGAAUACCAAGUAUUUUGAGAAUUUACGGAAUAAAAUGAUUUUAGUGCUUUAAUGAAACACAUUUUUUAAACAAAUGUAAUAUGAUUGAAUGACAAUGUAUGAUGUAAAAGAUAAUCGCAUGAGCAAUAGAUAAAUGCAAACAAGGAUAGCAACAAUGAUUUAAAUCAUAUUAUAGAAAUAUCAACAUCAAUAUUAAAACUAGAUAAAUCUAUGAUCAAUUUUAAAAGAUACGCCAAGAUGAUAAAAAAUCAUAAAAACAAUAUGUCCUACGCAUAGAAAUUUUAAAAUAAAUUACAUACAUAAACUCAAAAUAGACUUGAAAUAAAAUAAUAAUAACAUUUAAAAUAGUAUUAAAAAAUAUUAGGUAAACAUUUAACAUAUCGAUAUACUAAAAUAAAUUUUAAGAUAUAACCUAAAACAAAACAUUAAAAUAUGUACAAACUAUAUCAGAUUAUUGUAAAAAUAUAUAUAUCAAUAAUAUCGUGUCAAGUUUGAAAAUAAAAAUAUAUAAUGGACCCUUUUUUAAAAAAAAUAAUGUAUGAUAAAUUUAAAACAUGUUAAUUUGGAAUAUUAAAAUAAUAUUAGAAAUAAAAACUAAAUUUGUCAAAAUAAGAACUAAUUUGAUUUAAAAUUAAACUAAUAAAAGUUUAGUUAAAAUUGAAACACAAUCAAAAGAAAAAUAAAACAAAAAUAAAAUAAACUAGAGGAACGAAAAUUAAAUUGAAAUUAAAACAAAACUAAAUAGGCAAUAAACAUAAAUAAGAAUAAAAGAAAGACUAAAUUCGAACUUGAUUUAAAAACUGAGGGACCACAACAGCAAAUAAACGCAUACUUCUGAAGAUUUUAAUCUUAUUGAUGGAAACGACGUCGUUUGCUUGCGGAUCAAAAUAGAAUUAGAAUAAAAUGUGCAGUAAGAUUUGAAUACCUUGAAGAGAAACUGAUUUGAAAUAGAAUACAAAGAAAAGGGACCUAAUGCGAAAUAAACCAUUUCUCAAGACGCGCGGAUCCUUCCCACGAAUUUGGUCACCGCUCGGGUAUGGCCAACACGUUGCCGUUUAGAAGUCAUGGAAGAAGACUUUAGACGGCGCCGUUUAAAUAAUCUGCAUAAAAUCUAAAAACCUAACUGAUAUUAAACAAUCAUCUAAAAUAAAACUAACAAAAACCUAAUCAAUUCUCUUUCUCUCUUGCGUCGCUCAGCCAACCAACGUUUGGAGGCCCCGAUUCCUCACUCGCCUCCGAUUGCGACGGAGGGAGCAAAAGAUCAACCACCAGGUACACUUUUUGCUUUCUAACCUUCCAUUAUUGUAUUGAAUAGGGAACAAAAGAGCAAAGAACAGAAAAGGAAGAAAGGAAAAGAAAAAAAAUCUAUUCACCUUUCAAUUUUUCUGAGUAUUUUUUCUUUUUGCAUUCAAUCUCUGUAAAAUGCGUUAAAAAAAAAAGAUCCAUUUUUACAAAUAUUGAUGGCUUUUAUAGCCAAAUUUUCAAAGAUGAAAAGAGAAUAAAAAUACAAUGUUUUUCCUUUCUCUGCUGCGCUGUUUUCGUCCCAUUUGCAGGUACGGAGGAGUGCAUAUGUACGGAGGAGCGGUGACCUGGAGAGGACGCGUGGUGGUAUGGCUCGGCUACGUACGGAGGCUGGUCAUGCGCGGAAGGCUUGGUACGUGACUAGCGGUGGCUGAGGCAAAUAGUGGUUUUAGGGUUUUGUUUUGAAAAUGUUUUAGGGCUACGUAUGUGGGUCAAUGGUUUGGGCCUUAUUGGGCCGAUUGGUUAUUGUAAAUGGACUGCUAUUGGACUGUUGUUAAUUGUAAAUGGGCUUUUAAUAUUUUUUUCUUUUAUGUUGGUUUUAUUUAUUUUUUAGUGGGCCUGGGUCAAAAUUGGGCAUUACAUGUGAGAUAGACAUAAAACUGUAGCGAACAAAAUAAAACCAUACCUUUGCUACUGGUUUUAAAUAUUUAUAAUGACAAGAAUGGCUUCUAUACUUUCUUAUAAUCCAUUGGGAUCCCGGAUUUGUCACAACAUUAAGCACUUGUUGAAAAAAAUCUCAUUUGAUAUUGUUCAUCAUAGGGUAGUACUCAUCUUCCUCAACAUCAGGUAAAUUAAACAAAACAUUGAUGGACUUAGAAGUAAGAGAUACCUUUUUCUUUCAAACGAUGACUUCAAUAGCAUCUUGUGUAGUCAAUCUAGUAUAGAAUUCUCAAACUAGUUCAUCAUCGGGAAGUGAACGAGCAUCAAAGAAUCGUUCCCACUUAGAGCAUUGAUUAUCUUUAUAAUUGGCACAGGGACAACCAUCACAUCAUUGCUCUUCAGGUUAAAACAUUUUUCCGGCAUCAUAUGUUGAUGCUUGAAAAUUGAAUCAAAUAGCUCUUUCACUUCUUCAUCGAUCAAAAUCUAGUUUUCAGAAGUAGUUUUUAACGAUCUAGUUCUUUUGCGAGGCAUGGUAUUUUCCCGAAAAUUUGGCAAAGUUUUUGCUUGCAGAGGUAAAAGAGGGUGGAUCUUGCUUCGACAAAGCUUACGAUGGUGAAGGUGUUGUGGCGGCGACAAAUACGUGCGGCAGCAAUAGUGGUAUGCGGUGGCAAUAAUGAUUGCAUGCGGCAGCGACGUCGAUGCUUCGGCAAUUCUCUUGUGGCGGCACUAGGUAGUUUCAGCCAAAGAAAAGAAAAAGGGCUAGAGAUUCCUUUUGGGAUCUGAGGCUAGUGGCACAAAAAGAGAGAUUUUAAGGAAUUUUAGGGUGUAAGUAAAUUACUUUGAGGGAUAUGAAAAUUUAGUAGAAUAAGGAGGGGUUUAUAUAGGAAAAUAUUAGGGCAACAUGUAGCAAAAAAAUUAGCUAAAUUAAAGUUACUUGGGCGGCAAGUAAUGGGUGUGACGGCAAGGGUUAAAUUUUCCCUCCUUUUUGCUAUCUUGGGCCUCAAACUCAGACUGUAUCUCACUAAAAAAUAAAUUAUUAGUACUUGGGCCAAAUUUUGACCCCCUUUAUUAACAUAAAAAUUUAAAAUUUAACAAAAUAAUUUAAACUAGAAAAACAUUUUAAAACCUAAUUAGAAGAUCUCUUCUUAACAAAUUACAUUAAAUUAAUUCUCAGGAAAGGUUGGAGGGGUCAGAGCGGUCCCACUUAAGUUUCAAUCUCCUUAGACAGAAUUAAUUAAAUGAACUUAAUUAAGAAAAAUAAAUUCUAAUUAUUUAUUUAUUUACAAGACGAGUUUAUGAAAAAUCAAGGGUCUGUUAAUUUGAACGAAAAUUCAACUCGCUCAACUUCACCAUCCUAGUAGUGUUUGAGACAUUGACCAUUAACUUUAAACGUACCUCCGUAAUUGUCGUAUAAUUCAAUAGCUCCAUAAGGAUAAACUCGGUGGAUGGUAUAAGGUCCUUUCCAUUGGGAUUCCAUCUUCCCAAGAAAUAACUUCAGCAUUGAAUUAAACAAUAACACCUUCUGACCUUCUUUAAACUCGCGAGGUUGUAUAUGACUAUCAUGCCAUCUUUUUUAUCUUUCUUUACACAUUUUGAAAUUCUAAUAGGAAAGAAACCUUAGCUCUUCCAACUCAUCAAGUUGAAACAUCCUUCUCUCACCGGCUUGCUUAAGAUCAAAAUUUAACUACUUCAAAGCCCAGUGAGCUUUAUUCUCCAAUUCUAAUGGAAAAUGACAUGCCUUUCCAAAAACUAACCGAUAAGGAGUCAUUCCUAAUGGAGUCUUGAAUGUUGUUUGAUAGGCCCAUAAUGCAUCAUCGAGCCUUCGAUACCAAUCUUUUCUGUUAGGGCAUACUACCUUUUCAAAGAUACCUUUGAUUUCACGGUUCACUCUUUCAACUUGUCCAUUAGACUGGGGGUGAUAAGCAGUAGCAAUCUUGUGCUUCACAUCAUAUUUGUCAAGCAACCACUUAAGCUAUUUGUUCACAAAGUGAGAACUUUCAUCACUAAUAAUAGCUCUUGGUAUCCCAAAUCGUGUAAACACAUGCUUAUGUAGGAAUUGCAUGACUACCUUAGCAUCAUUUGUAGGGUAUGCUUCAGCUUCAACCCACUUGGAUACAUAGUCCACAGCAACUAAGAUGUAUUUGUUCCCAUAUGAAGAAGGAAAUGGGCCUAAGAAGUCAAUGCCCCAUAUGUCGAACAAUUCAAUCUCUAAAAUGUUUGUCAAGGGCAUCUCAUUCAUCCUUGAUAUAUUUUCGGUUCCUUGGCACUUAUCACAGUUCUUCACAUAAGCGUAAGCAUCUUUAAAUAGUGUAGGUCAAAAGAAACCUGCUUGCAAAAUCUUUGCUGCAGUACGUGAACUACCAAAGUGUCCCUCACUUGGAGAUGAAUGGCAAUGAUAUAAGAUCUCAGCAAUCUCACUUUCAGCUACACACUUUCGGAUUAUAUUAUCUGCACACUGUUUAAAUAAAAACAGAUCCUCCCAAAAAUAAUACCGACUAUCAUGAAGGAAUUUCUUCUUUUAUUGGUAUGUCAUUUCUCGAGGAAUUAUUCCACAUGCAAGAUAAUUGGAAAAAUCAGCAAACCAGGGUAUUUCAUGAAUUCGAGUUACCUCAAAUAAGUGCUCAUCUGGGAAAUUCUCGUUGAUAGGCAUACCAGACUGGGUUACCUUAUCUUGCUCCAACCUCGACAGAUGAUCAGCUACUUGAUUUUUGAUACCUUUUCUAUCUUGGAUCUCAAGGUCAAAUUCUUGGAGUAAAAGUAUACAACGAAUUAGCCUUGGUUUUGCAUAUUUCUUCGUGAGCAAGUAUUUAAUGGUUGCAUGGUCAGUAAAUACUGUAACUUUGGUACCAAUAAGAUAUGAACAGAAUUUGUCAAAAGUAAAAACUAUAGCAAAUAGUUCCUUUUUAAUUACCGUAUAAUUGAGUUGGGCUCCCGUCAAGGUUCUACUUACAUAGUAAAUGGGGUGGAAUACUUUAUUUCUUCUUUGACCCAUCACAACUCCAAUAGCAUAAUCACUUGCAUUGCACAUCAACUCAAAAGAUGAGUUCCAAUUAAGUGUAACGAUUAUUGGGGUUGUAAUUAACCGAUUCUUUAGAUCUUCAAAAGCUUCCAAACAUGCUUUGUUGAAAUUGAACAUUGUAUCUUUCUCUAACAACAAACAAAGCGGCUUAAAAAUUUUCGAGAAAUCCUUGAUAAACCUUCGAUAAAAACUGGCAUGGCCUAAGAAACUUAUGACUCCUUUCACAUUAAUAGGGGCCGGUAAUCUUUCAAUUACGUCCACCUUUGCUUUGUCAACUUAAAUUUCUUUCUUGAGAACUUGUGACCUAAGACAAUUCCUUCAUUGACCAUAAAAUGGCAUUUUUCCCAAUUAAGGACAAGAUUCGUCUCUUCGCAUCUCUUUAGUACCUUAGCCAAAUUACUCAAACAGAUAUCAUAAGUGUUACCAAAAACAAAAAAAUCAUCCAUGAAAACCUCGACGAAAUUUUUGACCAUAUCAGUAAAUAUUACCAUCAUGCAUCGUUGAAAAGUUGCAGGUGCAUUGCAUAAACCAAAAGGCAUGCACCUAAAAGCAAACGCACCAUACGGACAAGUAAAGGUUAUUUUAUGUUGGUCCUCCGGGGCUACAACUAUUUGGUUAUAUCCCUAAUAGUCAUCUAAAAAAAUAAUAGAAUUCAUUACCUGUCAGUCGAUCUAACAUCUGAUCCAUAAAAGGCAACGAAACUAUGCAGAUAACAGAUUUUGGUUAGGAUUGUUAUGCAACCUGCAAUUUAAUCAGGUUAGGAUCUAAAUUGAGCAUGCACAUUUCAAUUAUGCGUCCAUUAGCCGUCGUCUGGUUAGGAUCGCUCAGCUAAUUCACGUGCAUUUCAAUCUAAAAACUAUAUAGAUAACAGGUGCAUUAGCCGUCCCUUGAGCUUUUGUCACACUUCUUCUCUGCACUCAAUGAAACAAAACACAACAUAAAAAUAUAAGCACCAUUUCUUUUAUUACUUUUUCUACUAAAAUGAGUUUUUUUUUCUCGUAAAAAACCUAGGAUGGGGAGAGGGUUUUAAAAUUCAAAGCCUUUGAAAUAUAUGAGUUUGAGGUUGUUAAUAUUAUUUUAUAUUGUUGAAUAGUAAAUUAAUUGUAUUGGUGGUUUAACCUAUUGGAUCGAGAAUUAAUGAUUUGAUUGAUUUGAGUUUGGGCUGCUCACUAUCUUGACUGCAUUUAUCAUUUAAUUCUUUUUUUAAUUAGCCAAACUCAUGUUAACAAUGGUAUAACAGUAAUUAAUGACUUCAUGGACAGAACAUCAAUAUAUAAAUACACAAACAAAUAUAAUGGGAAUUGGAGAACUCCCAUUUAUACAAACAAAUAUAAGUGGGCAAAUUCAAUACUCAUAAUAAAUACACAAAGAUAACUAAAAACAUUAUUAAACCAGAUCCAGUAUGCAGCAUACAAGAAAAAGGGGGUAUUUCAAGGAGUAGAACGAGAAGGUGGUGGAGAAAAGGAAGGAAUAGAGGGAACUGCAGUUGGGAUUGAGGGAAUGCUUGGCAGAGGCGGCAGUCCUCUUGGCAAUGUGGUAGGAAGUGGAGGAAGCGCCCCAGGGUUUGUGAGAUUAGGGAUAGAUGGCAAUGGCGGAAAAGAGAAAGGAAUAGGGGGAAUUGCAGUUGGGAUUGUGGGGACUGAGGGAAUGCUUGGCAGAGGGGGCAGUCCUGUUGGGAAUGUGGUAGGAAGUGGAGGAAGCGCCCCAGGCCAUGAGAAUGAUGGUCGGGAUGGCGUUGGGAGAUUAGGGAAAGAUGGUAAACUUUGCGUUCGAGGCUGCUGCAGAAGGUGACGAGCUGCUACCCCAACAUCAAUGCUUGCAAAUGACAAAGCAAUCAAGAAUGCUAAAGCAAAGCAAUUGAAAGAGGCCAUUUUUGUUCAAAGAUUUCGAAACAAAUGAAGCAGAUGAAACGAAGUUCUUUAUCUGAAUAGUUGUGAGUGAGGAAAACAAAGCAUGGUAUUGAGGUUUAUAUAGGCAUUGGAGUAGUGAAUAGAAAUCCCCUGCCCCUAAACAAUGCCCCAUGCAUGCCCCCAAACCAAAAUAGCGCCACAUGUUUUUUAUUUUUUCCAUUUUAAUUGUAGUUCAUUUUUAAAAUAAAAAAUUUAUAGUGAUUUGAAUUAAUUUUUAACUUAUUAUCAACGUUUUUAUUUUUGUUUUAUUUUUAUUUUACAUUAAUUUUACCUAUUCUUUAAUUAACAAAUUUAUAAUGACUUAGAGUUUAUCUAAUAGAGUUUUUUUUUUAUAAUCGGUCUUAUGAUAAAAUUUUAUAAGGUGGGAACAAGUCCCACAGUGACAACAUGAUCCUUCAAUUUUUGGUGGUGGCAUGCCUUUAGUCAAAGGAUCAGCCAACAUCUGCUCAAUGCUAAUGUGCUCAAUGACCAAUUUCUUGUCUUUAACAUGUUUCCUUAUGCCUAGGUACUUAAAGUCGAUAUGUUUACUUCAACUUCCACUUUUUUCGUUCUUAGCCAUAAAGACAGCAGUUGAAUUGUCACAAUAUAUGAAAUAAUCAAAACCCAUAAUGACUCAGCCUAAAAAUCUCGAGCUUCAAACCCAAAUUAAAUUAAAUCAAAACCAUAAUUUAUUAUGUACAAUUGCACAAAAUUAACAUAAUUUAAGUGUGUCAUAGUGCGCGUUAAAUUAAAGUUUACGUUUGACAUUAUAGAUAAUAUUCACGUGUAAAAUUUUGAGAUUUAUUCCCUUAAUUAAUGUAAUAUGUCAAAUAGAAUACUUGAACAAUCCUCCAUGUUGGCAAAGUUUAUGUUAAGUAGUAGAAGCGAACUAAAUAAUGAGAAUAAAUCUAAAGUAUGGCAUACAUAUAAUUUAUUCACAAUGUGACUUAAACUUUGUCCUUCAAGAUUUCACGGUCUCAAUUUAUGUCUUAAAUUUUUAAGAUCAUUUUAGGUUUGUUAAAAAAUUAAAAGUUUAGAAAGUUAGAAUUGUUGCUUGAGGCGUGAAUAUCCCUAUUCUUUAGGAUAUUUGUGGAUUUACCAUCUCUCAGGAUUUCUUUUGUAUCAUGCACAAUGAAAAAAUUGAAAAAAAAAUUUCCCAUUUGAAUGGAAUUGAGCUAUUAGGCUCAAGCCUCGUGUGCGCAUAUAUAUUCUCUUAUUUUGAGUCUUACAAGUUUAUAGUAAACCAAAUCUAUAUAAACAUCAUUUAAUAGGUCAAUCUAAAAUAUGUUUAAUAUGUGUAAUUCUUUAAAAUAGAUGAAAACUUCAAAUAUGGUUUAGGUCAUUUUCAGAUUUGUCUUAUUUUAGGUUCAAAUUAUUCGAAUUUGAGGCUACGUUUUUCAUGUCUAAUCAUUAUUGAUCCGAAUCAUUUUAGAUUUUGAUCAUUUUAAGUUCCAAUUAUUUUGUGAUCAAAUCAUUUCAAGUUUUGAUAAAUUUGGGUCGAUUCGAAUUUGACUUAAUUACGUAGUUAACUUUUUUUAUACUGAACUGAGCUGAAUGAAAGUUAGAUUGGAAUUUAUUUAGUGUGCCUUUGUGUUUAAGUCGAAAUUUAAACAUCUCCCUUCAAAAUAAACAAUUUAAGACAAUUUUAUUUUAAAGACAAUAAUACAACAUAGUUGAUUUGGGAGAUAAACAUGUUAAUUUUUUAAUCCCAACCAAAAUUGUACAUAAUUCUUUUAUGCCAUAUUAAAUACAUGCAACGUCUUAUAAAAAUUGUAAAUAAAUUAUGCCUAGCGACAACGUUAUUCAACUCUAAUUUCAUGGUUAAUACCUAUUUCUAUUUUUCUUCUACUGUCUUCAGCUUUAAAUAUAAAGGGAUUGAAAUUUUAAGAAUUGAGAUUUCUUUUCUCUGUAUUAGUGGACGUUUGAUUUUUUGUUUGAUUGUUUUUUUUACUGGAAUUGGCACAUAUCUUUUCAGAUUUAUCAAUAUUUUUUUAAAUUUAUUUAAGAUAUGUAUAUCAAUAUAUUACAAAUAUAAAAUAAAUGAAACUAAAUACAUUUCAAAUAUAAAAUAUUUAUUAAUAAACUGAACAAAUAAAAAUUUAUCAUUCUAAUAAAUCCAAAAUUAUUAAUAACAAUCCAUCAUUUAAUAUGAAAUUUUAUGGAUUUAGCUCAUUUACUUAAUAAAAGAAGCUGAAAGGUGGACGAAUAUAUUUUUUCUUUGAUAAUCGGGUGAACGGUUUUUUCUUAAUUAUAUUUUGAAUGUGAAAGUGUAUUCCAUUUUUUAAAAAACUUUACAUUCUGAUGUAACAUUUUUAAUUAGCCACGUUUCAAUUAAGUUUUUGGCAUAAUAGUAAAUAAUUAAAAGUUUAAUAUUUUUAAUGUUAUUCAUCCACAGGACUGUGCAUUAUGUUCUGGCAAGUGUGACAGGAAUUGAUCGGAAUGAGUUGGUGCAAUUUGUACGGACCGAAAUUUUCACCAGUGUAGAAAAAGUGUGUUGGGUGUUUUGCAAUGUUAUUGAAACCAAACUAAACAGACCAAGAACCGAUGAACCCGAGGACUAGAGUAAACUGCAGUUAAACUGCAAAUCAUCAGCCGAUUAAGUCGUAUUUUAACAUUUUCUAAACUGGAAAGAAGAAAAUUUCACUUCAAGGCCCUUGAGCUUUUGUCACACUUCUUCUCUGCACUCAAUGAAAUAAAACACAACAUAAAAAUAUAAGCACCAUUUCUUUUAUUACUUUUUCUACUAAAAUAAGUGUUUUUUUCCUCUUAAAAAACCUAAGAUGGGGAGAGGAUUUUAAAAUUCAAAACCUUCGAAAUAGAUGAGUUUGAGGUUGUUAAUAUUAUUUUAUAUUGUUGAAUAGUAAAUUAAUUGUAUUGGUGGUUUAACCUAUUGGAUCGAGAAUUAAUGAUUUGAUUGAUUUGAGUUUGGGCUGCUCACAAUCUUGACUGCAUUUAUCAUUUAAUUCUUUUUUUAAUUAGCCAAACUCAUGUUAACAAUGGUAUAACAGUAAUUAAUGACUUCAUGGACAGAACAUCAAUAUAUAAAUACACAAACAAAUAUAAUGGGAAUUGGAGAACUCCCAUUUAUACAAACAAAUAUAAGUGGGCAAAUUCAAUACUCAUAAUAAAUACACAAAGAUGACUAAAACCAUUAUUAAACCAGAUCCAGUAUGCAGCAUACAAGAAAAAGGGGGUAUUUCAAGGAGUAGAACGAGAAGGUGGUGGAGAAAAGGAAGGAAUAGAGGGGACUGCAGUUGGGAUUGAGGGAAUGCUUGGCAGAGGCGGCAGUCCUCUUGGCAAUGUGGUAGGAAGUGGAGGAAGCGCCCCAGGGUUUGGGAGAUUAGGGAUAGAUGGCAAUGGCGGAAAAGAGAAAGGAAUAGGGGGAAUUGCAGUUGGGAUUGUGGGGACUGAGGGAAUGCUUGGCAGAGGGGGCAGUCCUGUUGGGAAUGUGGUAGGAAGUGGAGGAAGCGCCCCAGGCCAUGAGAAUGAUGGUCGGGAUGGCGUUGGGAGAUUAGGGAAAGAUGGUAAACUUUGCGUUCGAGGCUGCUGCAGAAGGUGACGAGCUGCUACCCCAACAUCAAUGCUUGCAAAUGACAAAGCAAUCAAGAAUGCUAAAGCAAAGCAAUUGAAAGAGGCCAUUUUUGUUCAAAGAUUUCGAAACAAAUGAAGCAGAUGAAACGAAGUUCUUUAUCUGAAUAGUUGUGAGUGAGGAAAACAAAGCAUGGUAUUGAGGUUUAUAUAGGCAUUGGAGUAGUGAAUAGAAAUCCCCUGCCCCUAAACAAUGCCCCAUGCAUGCCCCCAAACCAAAAUAGCGCCACAUGUUUUUUAUUUUUUCCAUUUUAAUUGUAGUUCAUUUUUAAAAUAAAAAAUUUAUAGUGAUUUGAAUUAAUUUUUAACUUAUUAUCAACGUUUUUAUUUUUGUUUUAUUUUUAUUUUACAUUAAUUUUACCUAUUCUUUAAUUAACAAAUUUAUAAUGACUUAGAGUUUAUCUAAUAGAGUUUUUUUUUUAUAAUCGGUCUUAUGAUAAAAUUUUAUAAGGUGGGAACAAGUCCCACAGUGACAACAUGAUCCUUCAAUUUUUGGUGGUGGCAUGCCUUUAGUCAAAGGAUCAGCCAACAUCUGCUCAAUGCUAAUGUGCUCAAUGACCAAUUUCUUGUCUUUAACAUGUUUCCUUAUGCCUAGGUACUUAAAGUCGAUAUGUUUACUUCAACUUCCACUUUUUUCGUUCUUAGCCAUAAAGACAGCAGUUGAAUUGUCACAAUAUAUGAAAUAAUCAAAACCCAUAAUGACUCAGCCUAAAAAUCUCGAGCUUCAAACCCAAAUUAAAUUAAAUCAAAACCAUAAUUUAUUAUGUACAAUUGCACAAAAUUAACAUAAUUUAAGUGUGUCAUAGUGCGCGUUAAAUUAAAGUUUACGUUUGACAUUAUAGAUAAUAUUCACGUGUAAAAUUUUGAGAUUUAUUCCCUUAAUUAAUGUAAUAUGUCAAAUAGAAUACUUGAACAAUCCUCCAUGUUGGCAAAGUUUAUGUUAAGUAGUAGAAGCGAACUAAAUAAUGAGAAUAAAUCUAAAGUAUGGCAUACAUAUAAUUUAUUCACAAUGUGACUUAAACUUUGUCCUUCAAGAUUUCACGGUCUCAAUUUAUGUCUUAAAUUUUUAAGAUCAUUUUAGGUUUGUUAAACUGCAGUUAAACUGCAAAUCAUCAGCCGAUUAAGUCGUAUUUUAACAUUUUCUAAACUGGAAAAAAGAAAAUUUCACUUCAAGGCCCUUGAGCUUUUGUCACACUUCUUCUCUGCACUCAAUGAAAUAAAACACAACAUAAAAAUAUAAGCACCAUUUCUUUUAUUACUUUUUCUACUAAAAUAAGUGUUUUUUUCCUCGUAAAAAACCUAAGAUGGGGAGAGGAUUUUAAAAUUCAAAACCUUCGAAAUAGAUGAGUUUGAGGUUGUUAAUAUUAUUUUAUAUUGUUGAAUAGUAAAUUAAUUGUAUUGGUGGUUUAACCUAUUGGAUCGAGAAUUAAUGAUUUGAUUGAUUUGAGUUUGGGCUGCUCACUAUCUUGACUGCAUUUAUCAUUUAAUUCUUUUUUUAAUUAGCCAAACUCAUGUUAACAAUGGUAUAACAGUAAUUAAUGACUUCAUGGACUGAACAUCAAUAUAUAAAUACACAAACGUAGUGGCCCAAUAUUGCCCGGCCCGAUAAUAAAAAAUGAUAAAAUAAAUAAAGGUCCAAUGUCCAGCUUUUACAAACCCAAAAUCAAUACUGCCCAAUUAGCCUAAACCCAAUUAGGUUUAACCCAAACUCUAGCCUAGCCCAAAACCCAACUUAGCCCAAGACUCUCCCCAAACCCCGAAAACCCUAGCAGCAACGGGAGCCUCCUUCCAACGCGCAACCAUCAGGUGGCCUUCUCCACGCACACGCUGCCACGUACAUCUCCUUACGGCCACCUCCGUACCUCCAGGCUGGCCGAAUACCUGCAAAAAAAAAUGCACGGAAACAGCAGCAAAUAGAAAAACAACAGCAUAGGGGUGAAUUUUUAAUUAUUUUUUCAUUUUAUUUUCUGUAAAUCGGGCUAUAAGAAAGCGAUUCGAAUACUGUAACAGAUUUACGCAUUCAAUAUACAAAGAAAUUGAGAAUACAAAAGAAUCAAAAAAGCAGAGAAAGGUGAUUUUCUGGGUUUUUUAAUCCUUUCUAUCUUGUUGGUUACUUGAUUCUUUUUUUUUACUUUUUUAAAUUGUACGUUCAUCAAUCGUUGUUUAAAAAAGAAAUAGGAAAAAGAAAGGGAGGGAAACGUACCUGGUAGCGCGAUCCUGGCUCUCUCCGGCGUCAUCGGAGCAGGGGCUGGGAUCAAUGACUGCUCGAGUACCUUCAAUACCCAGAGCGGCGCUGAGUUUUUUUUUUUAGUUUAGGUUUUUCUUUUAAUUUAAUGAUAGGUUUUUAGGGUUUAUUUAGUUUUAAGCGAAGGAAUUAAAACGUCGACGUUAAAAGUCGAUGCAAUGACUUUGAAACGGCAUCGUUUUAGGGACCAGAUCCGAACGGUGACCCGAUCCAGGAAGGAUCCGUGCAUUAUGGAUCAUUUGGUCUAUUUGUUCAAUAGAUCCCUCUAUGUUUAAUGGAAUUGCGAUUUGAUUUCUUUUAAUUUUUUGUAAUUCGUACUGCAUAUUUUGUUCUAUUUUCAUUUAGAUCCAGAUUGAAACGGUAUCGUUUACUGCGUUUGACUUUGAUUAUUCUAAGCUUUUGGGUUUAAUUGCCGAUUCAGUCCUCCAAUUUUGAAAUAAAUUUUAAUUUAACAUGAGUUUAGCCUUUUUAAAAAAAAAAGAAAUCAAUAUCAUUUUUUAAUUAUAAUUAAUCCUAUUUUGGUACAUUAUAAAAUCUAACAUUAUUUGUAAUAUUUGAUUUUGAUGUUUUUAAAUCUACAUUUAUUAUAACCUAAGAUAUAAUAGAUCAUUGUUUUAGUUUAUAUCCUAUACUUUAAAUUUAUUAUAUAAUAAUAUUUUGUAUCUACCAUAUUUAUUUAAUUUUGUCUUUUCCUUUUGGUUCCAUUUUAAGUCCCGAUUUUAAAUUUAUUAAUAUUUUCAUUAUAAUUGUUGUUAUUACGCUUCUAAAUUGUUUUAUUAUAUUUCAUUUUGUCUUCAAAAAGUGUUUUUUAAAACAAAUUAAUUCUUAAUUUUAAUUCAUUUUCUAACAUUAUUUUGGUAUUUAGUAUGAUAUUAUUUUCAAAUUUAUUAUUAGUACAUUUUUUUAAAAUAAUACAUUAUUUUUUAAAUUAUUAUCAAUAUGUUUUAAUUUUAUCAAUAUUAUUUUAAAAAUAUAUAUGAUUUAUAUGAAAUUAUUCUAGUAUAUAUGUAUAUAGAUUACAUCAUUAACUUUAGAUUAACCUCUUUUACAUAAUUUUUUUAAAAUGUUUUAUUCCUUAAACCUUAUUUAUUUUAUUCAUUUUAUAGGUUGUUAAAUUAUUAAUAUGGAUGUUUGUAUGACAUGAUUAAGAUCAAUGUUUAUAUUUGCCUAUUAUUUGUUUAAUUGCUUCUAGUUUAAGUUUAAGUUGUUAUUUAUCUUUUAUAUAUCGUUAUUCAAUCAUGUUUCAUUUGUAAGAGUUGAAUUUUAUUAAAGCAUCAUAAUUCCUAAAAAAGCUUGGUGUUUAAUAGUUCUCGAGAGAAUUGUACCCUAACUUACUGGGCUUCAAUUCUUCUCGAUGAAUUUAUAUCAUCAAGUAUCCAUUUUAUACAAUUUUAAAAUAAAAUUCUUUAGAUUUCAAAAUGUGGGAUCCUAACUUACUGGAUACGACAUUUUGUUAUCUCGAUUUUAAAAUAAAGGCAAUAUUUGAUGUUUAAAAAUUUCAAGAAAUCGAACCCUAACUUACUGGAUUCUGAUUUCUCGAUUGACUUAAAUAGUCAAAUAUCCUUCUUAAAACAUGUUUAAAUUUUUUUAAAAAGGGACGAACUUAACUUCGAAGAUUGAACUGUUUCACUUUAACUCACUGAGUGUGGCGAUUUGUUUCUUUGACAUGGGUCCGUCCACUUAACCAAUUUAAUUAUUUAAGCUUUCAUUUCAUGGGAUCGUAUUUAAAAAUCUUUUCAAGUUUUGACACUAAGACAUUAAAUAACCAAUUCGGUACCAAUUUUGGGCGUUACGAGGGUGCUAACCCUUCCUCGUGCGUAACCGACUUUCGAACUUAUCUUCUCAAAAUUCGCAGACCAAAAAAAUUGUUUUCAAGGUGAUCCGAUCUCACCUCAACAAAAAUUGGUGGCGACUCCAAUUUUCAUUUUUUAAAGUCGACUACUAAUAAAUUUUUGUUUUCAAAAAAUGGUUUCGACAGCUUGGUGACUCCACUGGGGACUAUAAGAGAGUCAAGUUGAAAAAUUUAUUGUUUCCUAUCUUAUCGUCGAAAAUUAAAAAUUUGAUUUGAAAAAUUAUGAUCCUUUCUUUGCAUUUGUUUGUAUGAUUACUGUUUUAUACCUUGGCAUCAUAUUGCAUAAAGACUGUUUAGUCUUACCCUUUAAGUGGGAGUGAGAAGCUAUUCCUUCUUGAGGUUUUCACCUCCGUGCAGGAUAGUGAAUCACUUUCGCGAUACAUCCGUACCUAUGUCUUCGUGAUAUUUUCAUCUCCGUGCAGCCAUAGGGAAAUGUAUUCCCCCGAACCGAACUCGGUCUGUAUGAGCCUAUAAUGGGUGAAGAUCGAGGAAUCUGUUGGUUCGGGCACCUCAACUUUAGAACCAAACCCCAUAUAGUGGACUUAGAAGCUCAACCUAGUUAGAACUAUUCCAAUCUCUCGUGAUUGCCCAGAUAGAUGAUUGUGUUUCUUAUACUUGCUUUGAAUUUUUAUUUUUGUGUUGUACUGACUUGUUUAUGUUUUGUUGAUAUUGUUGCAUGUCACUGCAUAGUUCAAAGAGUGUCGAUUCAAGUUCAGUUACUAAAUUAGAAAACCGUCAUGGCAAACGAAUUUCUGGAUAAAGUGGAGGAUAACGCCAUUGUCUGUAUAUGGUCAGAGAAGGUGCAAUUGGAGAAAGGAGACAAUUUAUCUAAGGGAUAUGUGUCAGAGCUUUGGGACUACACUCGUAUUAGUGUGACACAAAAUAGCCUUCAGGAGUUAAAUGAGAUUUGGGAUCAGUGGAAUGAUGAAACCAAGUAGAUGUUCUACUCUAAUUAUGGGGACUUGCCGUACUUACUUAAAAUCAAGGUGGAUGAAAGACUAUUUCGCGCUCUCGCUCAAAAUUGGAAUCUUGCAUAUAGCUAUUUUACUUAUGGGAACGUAGAUUUGGUGCCCACAGUGGAGGAAUAUACAGCUUUACUACACUGCCCUAGGCUUCAGGUUGAUAAAGCAUAUUCUAGAGCCACAUAUGUCCCAGCGUUUUGGAAGAAAUUAAUGAGUAUUACCGGAAUGAGCAAACAAUGGAUCACGGCCAGGAUCAAACAGAAGGGCGAGUGUAAAUGUAUCCCAUAGAGGAAUUUGCGAGACUUGAUCCUAGCACAUCCUGACGGAAAAAAGAAGGUUGAUGUGUUUGCUUUGAGUAUCUACGGGUUAGUGAUUUUCCCUAGAGCAUUGGGCCAUGUUGACGAAGCGGUUUCAGAUCUUUUUGAUCGGUUGGGUAAAGGGGUCACGUCUGUUCUUGCGAUUUUGGCUGAAACGUUUAGAUCUUUGAAUACGUGUAGGCAAGCUGGUGAAGGUAGAUUUAUAGGUUGUGCACAAUUGUUGAUAGCUUGGUUCCAUAGUCAUUUCUAGAAGGUCGACAAAGUUUCGUAUCGGGUUUUCUCUAGGCAUUACUCCCUGUUAAAAGAGAUAGUGGCUACGCCAAGAAAGGACGAUAUUUCAGAAGAAAAUUGGAUAGCAAUUCUGCAAAAUCUUCAAGAGGAUGAUGUGGAGUGGAGAGCUCCUUGGUUGAUUCCUGAUGGAAUUCUCUACCGUUGUGGAAGCUUUGACUAGGUUCCGUUGCUUGGGAUUUGGGGAGCCGUUGGGUAUGCACCUUUGCUGGUCCUAAGGCAAUACAAUUCAAGACAGUUUGUGCCGGCAACGUAUGGUUUAGCUCAAUAUGAGUUCUCGUACCGAGGAGACAAUUACAAGAAAAAGGUGAAAGAAAUUUCUCAGGCUUGGAAUGAGGUUCACAGGAUGAAAAGGCUAGCUGUGGGUUUGAUGACAACUCCAGAGUACGAUGAGUGGCGACGUAAAAGAAUUAAUGAUAACAUUCUGGAGUUAAACUUGGAGGGUGUUCGACCAAUGGAAGAGUACCUACAAGUGAUCCCAUCAGAGUUGGAGAUUUUAAAACAAGAUUUUGAAAAGAGGAAUUUAGAACUUGAAAAGAAAAUAGAGCGGUUGGAAGAAGAGAAGAUUCAUUUGAGGCUAGACAUUAACGUCUAAAAGUUAGAAGCUGAAAAAUUAAAGAAGGGGAAGAAUAAAGUAGAGGAGGAUCUGGAUAGCUUAAAGACGGACUACAAAAGGCUACGAGUAUCAAUGAGAACUGCUGGGUUGGGAAAGACUUCAGAGCAGUGGCGACAGGAGAUCCAAGAAGAAAGAAACAUAGUCGAUCGGUGGGAAAGAAAGUCCUAGGAGGCUCAAGUUCAGAAAGAGACCUUAGAACGACAGGUGUUAGAAACUCAAAACUAUCAAGCGGACUUAAAAGCUAGAAUAGCGGAACUCAAGAGAUCACUUGCUGCGUAUAGAAGUCGUAAUUCUGUAGUGGAAUUAAAGACAAGUCUAUGCAAGAUUGAAGAAAUGAAAAAUAGGAUAGAAGAAUUGGAGUACACAUUACAAGGCUGUAGACAACGGAUCGAAUCCUUGGAAGGAAAUGAAGAGCGUUGGAGGGAGCAACUUUAUCAUUCGCAAAAUCAAAUUCAGAACAGAGGUUACAUUAUGGGCAGGGCUAUUGCUCAGAUUUGGGAGGUAGCUGAUCAUUUGCAAACAAUGGCAAUUCAGGCUGACGUGUUAAGCGUAAAGUAUGAACUGGAAUCAGAUCGAGGGCAGGAGUUAGCUUCGCUAUUGAAGGAAGCUUCGCUAUUGAAGGAAGUUAAAGCUUUGAGUAUUAGGGCAAAGCCAUACUUGUAAUUCAUUUUAUGUAAAGAAUUUUGUUUAUCAAUAAAGUUUUCUAAAGGAAAUUGGAUCAGAAUCGACGCUCUUUUUGCAUUCAUUUCAUGCAUUUGCAUUACAUGACAUCAUAUGCAUUCAAGACUAUUAAGAAGAGGUUUUAAUUGGUUAAAAUUGUGCUUCAGUUAAUUUGGAAACCAGCAAAAAUUCAUCAACCAAGCACCACUACGGUACCCGUGCGAAAUCAAAAAUUAUGGAUCAAAGAUUGGAAAAGCUUGAGCGCUUUCAAAAGGAAAUGCAAGAUCAAAUGAAAGAACAAAUGGAAAAGAUUCAACAUGACAUGAUACAAAAGAUGCAGGAGUCUCAAAAUGACAUGAUGACUAAGUUGACGCAAUUAAUAACCAGAGGAGUAGAUAAAGGGAAAGGUCCUGUGAUUUGUAAUGAAGAAGGAAACAAUGAUGAACCACUUCUUCCUCCAGGUUUUACGCCUCCGCACGCGCAAGUUCAGACUGAACCGCAUCCGCGGAGACCUUCUGUUUCGAGUAGGCCUCAGCAUUUUCAAGGGGAUGUUUCAAUACCGAAGAACUUUCAGGUCGGAUCUGGCUCUAAUCCUGGUGAUAAUUUGAAUAAUAUUGCUGUCCCGUAUUUCGAUGAAGUAGCUGAGAAGGAUAAGGUGAAAGAAGAGUUUCCAAAGCAGUUUGAGGAGAAAUAGAAAUGGAUUGAAGAGAAAUUUAGAGUGAUGGAAAGCAUUGAAAGCUAUCGUGGAAUAGAUGAAAAAGAUCUGAGUCUGGUUCCGAAUUUGGUACUUUCUUACAAGUUUAAGAUGUCAGAAUUUGAGAAAUACAGUAGGACCAGUUGCCCUGAGGCCCAUAUCACCAUGUUCUGUAGGAGAAUGACGGGGUAUAUUAAUAAUUACCAAUUAUUAAUACAUUGAUUUCAGAAUAGUCUUAUAGGGGCGGCGUCAAAAUGGUACAAUCAGCUGAGUCGAACCAAAAUCGCUACUUGGAGGGAUUUGGCAUAGGCUUUCAUGAGACAGUACAAUCAUGUAUCAGAAAUGACACCUAACCGAAUAACUUUGCAGAAUUUAGAGAAAAAAUCAAACGAAAGCUUCAGACAGUAUGCGCAGCGAUGGAGGGAAAUUGCAAUUCAGGUUCAGCCACCACUUGUGGAAAAGAGAAUGACAAUGCUUUUUAUCAAUACAUUGAAAGCCCCGUUCAUUACUCACAUGUUGGGAAGUGCUUCAAAGAACUUCUCGGAUAUAAUCAUGAACGGUGAAAUGAUUGAGAAUGCUAUUAAGAGUGGAAGAAUAGAUGGAGGGGAUAAUAAUAGAAGGACAGCCCCAAAGAAAAGAGAAAAUGAAGUGAGCAAUGUGAGCUGAUACGGUAGGUCAAUUACGGUGAAUCAACCAGGAAAGGUGGUUACUAAUCAAUAAAGCUCAUCAAGACAAGAAGUAGGAGGGAGGCAAAACACUAAAAAACCCCAGUUUACGCCAAUUCCGAUGUCAUACAAGGAGUUAUAUCAGAAUUUAUUUAAUGCAUAUGUUGUUUCCCCUCAUUACUUGACCCCUUUACAACCCCCUUAUCCCAAAUGGUACGAUAUAAAUGCACAAUGUGACUAUCAUGCGGGAAUCUCGGGGCAUUCAAUAGAGAAUUGCACGGCUUUCAAGAAGGUAGUGGAAAAACUCAUCAGGAUGGGUGUUGUCAAAUUUGAUGACUCACUUAACGCAAAAAAUCUGUUACCUAAUCAUGCUGAUAAGGGAGUAAAUAUGAUGGGCGAAAGUAUGGGAGAAAAAUUCAAGAAUGACAUCGGUGAAGUAAAAACUCCAUUGAAACAGGUCUGGAAAGAGAUGGUGAAAAGAGGGCUAGGCAUUUCAGAUUUUGGGGAAGAGGAUGAGGCUGAAAAAUAUUGUGAAUUCCACCGUGAAGUAGGACAUGAGAUUCAAGAAUGUGAAGAAUUUAAAGCUCUGGUCCAAAGCAUGAUGGAUAACAAGGAAAUAAAGUUCUAUGAGGAAACAGAGGAAGAAAGAAGCAUAUGCGCGUCGGAAUCAACAACGAAGAUUUCAAAAAUAAAUCAUCCUGUGGUCAUUAUUUCGCACCCUAAGAACAGUGAGGCUAGGGUCCAGGUAACGCCAAAAAUUGUAAUACAUAAGCUGUCAAAUUUCUCAUAUAAAGAUAGUAAAAUGGUUCCGUGGAAGUACGGAUGCAAUGUGACAAUCUCAACGUUUUUAUUUAUUUUAUUUUUAUUUUACAUUAAUUUUACCUAUGCUUUAAUUAAAAAAAUUAUAAUGACUUAGAGUUUAUUUAAUAGAGUUUUUUUUUAUAAUCGGUCUUAUAAUAAGAUUUUAUAAGGUGGGACCAAGUCCCACAGUGACAACAUGAUCCUUCAAUUUUUUGUGGUGGCAUGCCUUUAGUCAAAGGAUCAGCUAACAUCUGCUCAAUGCUAAUGUGCUCAAUGACCAAUUUCUUUUCUUUAACAUGUUCCCUUAUGCCUAGGUACUUAAAGUCAAUAUGUUUACUUCGACUUCCACUUCUUUCGUUCUUAGCCAUAAAGACAGCAGUUGAAUUGUCACAAUAUAUGAAAUAAUCAAAACCCAUAAUGACUCAGCCCAAAAAUCUCGAACUUCAAACCCAAAUUAAAUUAAAUCAAAACCAUAAUUUAUUAUGUACAAUUGCACAAAAUUAACAUAAUUUAAGUGUGUCAUAGUGCACAUUAAAUUAAAGUUUACGUUUGACAUUAUAGAUAAUAUUCACGUGUAAAAUUUUGAGAUUUAUUCCCUUAAUUAAUGUAAUAUGUUAAAUAGAAUACUUGAACAAUCCUCCAUGUUGGCAAAGUUUAUGUACAGUAGUAGAAGCGAACUAAAUAAUUAGAAUAAAUCUAAGGUAUGGCUUACAUAUAUUUUAUUCACAAUGUGACUUAAACUUUGUCCUUCAAGAUUUCACGGUCUCAAUUUAUGUCUUAAAAUUUUAAGAUCAUUUUAGGUUUGUUAAAAAAUUAAAAGUUUAGAAAGUUAGAAUUGUUGCUUGAGGCGUGAAUAUCCCUAUUCUUUAGGAUAUUUGCGGAUUUACCAUCUCUCAGGAUUUCGUUUGUAUCAUGCACAAUGAAAAAAUUGAAAAAAAAAAUUCCCAUUUGAAUGGAAUUGAGCUAUUAGGCUCAAGCCUCGUGUGCGCAUAUAUAUUCUCUUAUUUUGAGUCUUACAAGUUUAUAGUAAACCAAAUCUAUAUAAACAUCAUUUCAUUAGGUCAAUCUAAAAUAUGUUUAAUAUGUGUAAUUCUUUAAAAUAGAUGAAAACUUCAAAUAUGGUUUAGGUCAUUUUUAGAUUUCUCUUAUUUUAGGUUCAAAUCAUUCGAAUUUGAGGCUAAUUUUUUCAUGUGUAAUCAUUAUUGAUCCGAAUCAUUUUAGAUUUUGAUCAUUUUAAGUUCCAAUUAUUUUGUGAUCAAAUCAUUUCAAGUUUAGAUAAAUUUGGGUCGAUUUGAAUUUGACUUAAUUACGUAGUUAACUUUUUUUUUUAUAAUAAAUUGAGCUGAAUGAAAGUUAGAUUGGAAUUUAUUUAGUGUGCCUUUGUGUUUAAGUCAAAAUUUAAACAUCUCCCUUCGAAAUAAACAUGUUAAGACAAUUUUAUUUUAAAGACAAUAAUACAACAUAGUUGAUUUGGGAGAUAAACAUGUUAAUUUUUUAAUCCCAACCAAAAUUGUACAUAAUUCUUUUAUGUCAUAUUAAAUACAUGUAACGUCUUAUAAAAAUUGUCAAUAAAUUAUGCCUAGCGACAACGUUAUUCAACUCUUUUCAUUGUUAAUACCUAUUUCUAUUUUUCUUCUAAUGUCUUCAGCUUUAAAUAUAAAGGGAUUGAAAUUUUAAGAAUUGAGAUUUCUUUUCUCUGUAUUAGUGGACGUUUGAUUUUUUGUUUGAUUGUUUUUUUUACUGGAAUUGACACAUAUCUUUUCAGAUUUAUCAAUAUUUUUUAAAUUUAUUUAAGAUAUGUAUAUAAAUAUAUUACAAACGUAAUGGCCUAAUAUUGCCCGGCCCGAUAAUAAAAAAUGAUAAAAUAAAUAAAGGUCCAAUGUCCAGCUUUUACAAACCCAAAAUCAAUACGGCCCAAUUAGCCUAAACCCGAUUAGCUUUAACCCAAACUCUAGCCUAGCCCAAAACCCAACUUAGCCCAAGACUCUCCCGAAACCCCGAAAACCCUAGCAGCAACAGGAGCCUCCUUCCAGAGCCGCAACCAUCAGCUGGCCUUCUCCACGCACACGCUGCCACGCACAUCUCCAGACGGCCACCUCCGUACCUCCAGGUUGGCCGAAUACCUGCAAAAAAAAACGCACGGAAACAACAGCAAAUAGAAAAACAAUAGCAUAGGGGUGAAUUUUUAAUUAUUUUUUCAUUUUAUUUUCUGUAAAAGGGCUAUAAGAAAGGCAUUCGAAUACUGUAACGGGAUUUACGCAUUGAAUAUAUAAAGAGAUUGAGAAUACAAAAGAAUCAAAAAAGCAGAAAAAGGUGAUUUUCUGGGUUUUUUAUUCCUUUCUAUCUUGUUGGUUACUUGAUUCUUUUUUUUACUUUUUUAAUUUGUACGUUCAUCAAUCGUUGUUUAAAAAAAAUAGGAAAAAGAAAGGGAGGGAAACGAUCCUGGCUCUCUCCGGCGUCAUCGGAGUAGGGGCUGGGAUCAAUUACUGCUCGAGUACCUUCAAUACCCAAAGCGGCGCUGAGUUUUUUUUUUUCGUUUAGGUUUUUGUUUUAAUGUAAAGAUAAGUUUUUAGGGUUUAUUUAGUUUUAAGCGAAGGAAUUAAAAAUUCAACGUUUAAAGUCGAUGCAAUGACUUUGAAACAACGUCGUUUUAGGGACCAGAUCCAAACGGUGACCCGAUCCGGGAAGGAUGCAUGCAUUAUGGAUCAUUUGGUCUAUUUGUUCAAUAGAUCCCUCUAUGUUUAAUGGAAUUGCGAUUUGAUUUCUUUUAAUUGUUUGUAAUUCGUACUGCAUAUUUUGUUCUGUUUUCAUUUAGAUCCAGAUUGAAAUGGUAUCGUUUACUGCAUUUGACUUUGAUUAUUCUGAGCUUUUGGGUUUAAUUGCCGAUUCAGUCCUCCAAUUUUGAAAUAAAUUUUAAUUUAACAUGAGUUUAGCCUUAAAAAAAAAAAGAAGAAAUCAAUAGCAUUUUUUAAUUAUAAUUAAUCCUAUUUUCGUACAUUAUAAAAUCUAACAUUAUUUGUAAUAUUUGAUUUUGAUGUUUUUAAAUCUACAAUUAUUAUAACCUAAGAUAUAAUAGAUCAUUGUUUUAGUUUAUAUCCUAUACUUUAAAUUUAUUAUAUAAUAAUAUUUUGAAUCUACCAUAUUUAUUUAAUUUUGUCUUUUCCUUUUGGUUCCAUUUUUAGUCCCGAUUUUAAAUUUAUUAAUAUUUUCAUUAUAAUUGUUGUUAUUACUCUUCUAAAUUGUUUUACUAUAUUUAAUUUUGUCUUCAAAAAGUGUUUUUUAAAACAAAUUAAUUCUUAAUUUUAAUUCAUUUUCUAACAUUAUUUUGGUAUUUAGUAUGAUAUUAUUUUCAAUUUUAUUAUUAGUACAUUUUUUAAAAAUAAUACAUUAUUUUUUUAAAUUAUUAUCAAUAUGUUUUAAUUUUAUCAAUAUUAUUUUAAAUAUAUAUAUGAUUUAUAUGAAAUUAUUCUAGUAUAUAUGUAUAUAGAUUACAUCAUUAACUUUAGAUUAACCUUUUUUACAUAAUUUUUUUAAAAUGUUUUAUUCCUUAAACCUUAUUUAUUUUAUUUGUUUUAUAGGUUGUUAAAUUAUUAAUAUGGAUGUUUGUAUGACAUGAGUAAGAUCAAUGUUUAUAUUUUCCUAUUAUUUGUUUAAUUGCUUCUAGUUUAAGUUUAAGUUGUUAUUUAUCUUUUAUAUAUCGUUAUUCAAUCAUGUUUCAUUUGUAAGAGUUGAAUUUUAUUAAAGCAUCAUAAUUCCUAAAAAAGCUUGGUGUUUAAUAGUUCUCGAGAGAAUUGUGCCCUAACUUACUGGGCUUCAAUUCUUCUCGAUGAAUUUAUAUCAUCAAGUAUCCAUUUUAUACAAUUUUAAAAUAAAAUUCUUUAGAUUUCAAAAUGUGGGAUCCUAACUUACUGGAUACGACAUUUUGUUAUCUCGAUUUUAAAAUAAAGGCAAUAUUUGAUGUUUAAGAAUUUCGAGAAAUCGAACCCUAACUUACUAGAUUCUGAUUUCUCGAUUGACUUAAAUAGUCAAAUAUCCUUCUUAAAACAUGUUUAAAAUUUUCUAAAAAGGGACGAACUUAACUUCGAAGAUUGAACUGUUUCACUCUAACUCACUGAGUGUGGCGAUUUGUUUCUUUGAAAUGGGUCCGUCCACUUAACCAAUUCAAUUAUUUAAGCUUUCAUUUCAUGGGAUCGUAUUUAAAAAUCUUUUCAAGUUUCGACACUAAGACAUUAAAUAACCAAUUCGGUACCAAUUUUGAGCGUUACGAGGGUGCUAACCCUUCCUCGUGUGUAACCGACUUCCGAACUUAUCUUCUCAAAAUUCGCAGACAAAAAAAAUUAUUUUCAAGGUGAUCCGAUCACACCUCAACAAAAAUCGGUGGCGACUCCAAUUUUCUUUUUUUAAAGUCGACUACUAAUAAAUUUUUAUUUUCAAAAAAUGGUUUCAACAACAAAUAUAAAAUAAAUGAAACUAAAUACAUUUCAAAUAUAAAAUAUUCGUUAAUAAACUUAACAAAUAAAAAUUUAUCAUUGAAAUAAAUCCAAAAUUAUUAAUAACAAUCCAUCAUUUAAUAUGAAAUUUUAAAGAUUUAGCUCAUUUACUUAAUAAGAGAAGCUGAAAGGUGAACGAAUAUAUUUUUCUUUGAGAAUCAGGUGAACGGUUUUUUCUUAACUAUAUUUUGAAUGUGAAAGUAUAUUCCAUUUUUUAAAAAACUUUACAUUCCGAUGUAGCAUUUUUAAUUAGUCACGUUUCAAUUAAGUUUUUAGCAUAAUAGAAAAUAAUUAAAAGUUUAAUAUUUUUAAUAUUAUUCAUGCGCAGGACGGUGCACUAUGUUCUGGCAGGUGUGACUGGAAUUGAUCGGAAUGAGUUGGUGCAAUUGGUACGGACCGAAAUUUUUACCAGUGUAGAAAAAGGGUGUUGGGUGUUUCACAAUAUUAUUGAAAGCAAACCAAAAAGACCAAGAACCGAUGAACCCGAGAACUAGAGUAAACUGCAGUUAAACUACAAAUCAUCUGUCAAUUAAGUCGUAUUUUCACAUUUUUUUAAACCGGAAAAACAAAAAUUACACUUCAAAUCCCUUGAGCCAUUGUUAUACUUUUUCUCUGCACUCAAUGAAAUAAAACACAACAUAAAAAAAUAAGCACNNNNNNNNNNNNNNNNNNNNNNNNNNNNNNNNNNNNNNNNNNNNNNNNNNNNNNNNNNNNNNNNNNNNNNNNNNNNNNNNNNNNNNNNNNNNNNNNNNNNNNNNNNNNNNNNNNNNNNNNNNNNNNNNNNNNNNNNNNNNNNNNNNNNNNNNNNNNNNNNNNNNNNNNNNNNNNNNNNNNNNNNNNNNNNNNNNNNNNNNNNNNNNNNNNNNNNNNNNNNNNNNNNNNNNNNNNNNNNNNNNNNNNNNNNNNNNNNNNNNNNNNGGAUCUAAUUUUAAAAAUAUUAAUAUUUCGAUAUAAAAUUGAAACAGUGCACACAAAUUAGUAUAACCGAAAUCUGUACGAAACCGACCACCUUAAUUUAAUACAUAAUUUGACAUUCAUAUAAAAUAUUAUCUUGGAAAUAUACUGAAAGAGGAAACUAAUCGUAUGUAAAUGGAUAACUUGGAAGAGAUAAUGCAGCAGGAAUCAUUAUAUUAACAGUUGCAUCUUCUCGAUGUACGGCUGCUCACUAUCUGGACUGCAUUUAUCGUUUGAUUCUUUUCUUAAUUAGCCAAACUCAUGUUAACACUGGUAUAACAGUAAUUAAUUACUUCAUGGACAAAACAUCAAUAUAUAAAUACCCCAUAUAUAAUAAGCAACAACGUAUCAAAAUACACCAAAUAAUGGGAAUUGGAGAACGCCCAUUUAUACAAACAAAUGUAAGUGGGCAAAAUCAAUACUCAUAAUAAAGACACAAAGACGACUAAAAACCUUAUUAAACUAGAUCCAGUAUGCAGCAUAACAGAAAAGGGGGUAUUUCAAGGAGUAGAACGAGAAGGUGGUGGAGAAAAGAAAGCAAUAGAGGGAACUGCAGUUGGGAUUGAGGGAAUGUUUGGCAGAGGCGGCAGUCCUCUUGGCAAUGUGGCUGGAAGUGGAGGAAGCGCCCCAGGGUUUGGGAGAUUAGGGAAAGAUGGCAAUGGUGGAAAAGAGAAAGGAAUAGGGGGAACUGCAGUUGGGAUUGUGGGGACUGAGGGAAUGCUUGGCAGAGGGGGUAGUCCUGUUGGCAAUGUGGUAGGAAGUGGAGGAAGCGGCCCAGGCCAUGAGAAUGAUGGUCGGGAUGGCGUUGGGAGAUUAGGGAAAGAUGGUAAACUUUGCGGUUGAGGCUGCUGCAGAAGGUGACGAGCUGCUACCCCAACAUCAAUGCUUGCAAAUGACAAAGCAAUCAAGAAUGCUAAAGCAAGGCAAUUGAAAGAAGCCAUUUUUGUUCAGAGAUUUCGAAACAAAUGAAGCAGAUGAAACAAAGUUCUUUAUCUGAAUAGUUGUGAGUGAGGAAAGCAACGCAUGGUAUUGAGGUUUAUAUAGGAAUUGGAGCAGUAAAUAGAAAUCCCCUGCCCCUAAACAAUGCCCAAUGCAUGCCCCCAAACCAAAAUAGCGCCACAUGUUUUUUAUUUUUUCCAUUUUAAUUGUAGUUCAUUUUUUAAAUAAAAAAUUUAUAAUGAUUUGGAUGAAUUUUUAACUUAUUAUCAACGUUUUUGUUUUUGUUUUAUUUUCUAUUAAUUUUACGUAUUCUUUAAUUAACAAAUUUAUAAUGACUUGGAAUUAAUUUAACAAUAUUUUUUUUAUAAUCGUUCUUAUAAUAAAAUUUAAAAAGAUGGGAAUGAGUCCCACAAUGACAACAUGAUCCUUAAAUUUUGGGUGGUAGCAUGCCUUUAGUCAAAGGAUCUGAUAACAUCUGCUCAGUGUUAAUGUGCUCAAUGACGACUUUAUUUUCUUUAACAUGUUUCCUUAUGACUAGAUACUUAAAGUCGAUAUGUUUACUUCGACUUUCACUUUUUUCGCUCUUAGCCAUAAAGACAGCAAUUGAAUUGUCACAAUAUAUGAAAUAAUCGAAACCUAUAAUGACUCAGCUCAAAAAACUAGAGCCUCAAACCCAAAUUAAAUUAAAUCAAAAUCAUAAUUUAUUAUAUACAAUUGCAUAAAAUUAACAUAUUUUAAGUGUCAUAGUGCAUGUACAGCCCAAAUUUAGCCCGGGGCCCAAAACCUACCCAAACCCGAGAAACCAAUACAACCCAAAAACAGACUAAAAAACCUAAGCCCAAAAACCAGCCCAAUAAGCCCAAAUCUAACCCUAGCCCAGAAACCCAAAUCAGAGACAAAAAAUAAAAUUUUCAAACCCUAGGUGCGCCGCACCUAGGGUUCUCUGCCCUGUUGGCCACCGCAUGCUAGGACCUGCUGCCACCGCCCUUGUCCCAUCGCCUCUGACGCCUAGCCACUGCCACCGCCGCCUGCAGCACCAACUCCACUAUUCAACCCCUGCAAAAUGAAAACCAAACACGCAAAGCAGAAGCAAAAACAAUGCAAAAUAGUAGAAAAAAAUAGAUAAAAAAUGUAUUGUAAAUUGGCUAUAAAAGCCUGGAUCUCAGCCUUGUAAUCUUUCUUCUUCUUUUUUCACGAACGUUAGAAAAUAAAAACAAAAAAAAAAGUUUCAAGGUGAUUAUCUUUAUUAUUUUAGAUUUCGAUUUUUUUUAUUUUAUUUUCAUUUUAUCUUCUUAUUUUUAUGCACGAAAAUAAAAAAGAAAAGGAGAAAGAAACAUACCUGAAUCGGCCCUUAGAUCCGUCGUUAUCAGCCCUUCGGCGCCGUCGGAUUCGGGUUUAGGGAAGGGCUAAGACCUUUUUUUUUUCUCUCCUUGUUUCCUCAUUCUAAGAUUUUGGUCUUUGAACGCGUUUCAACGCACUGAUCGAGAACGCCCUCUUGCAACGCCGGCCGUCAGCCACGGCGGCGCAAGCGAUGGCCCUGUUGGCCGAAUUUGGAGGGAUCGAGAGAGAGGCUAAGAGCUCUCUUCUUCUUUUUUUCUGAAAAAUGAAGUUGGAAAUGUUUUUUUUUGUUUUUUUACUAUGUAUAUAGGGUAUAAAACGAUGCCGUUUUGGACCUUAACAUCGGUAGCCAAAACGACGUCGUUUUGCCCUGACCCGUGCGGUGACCCGACCCUGGGGGGAGGAUCCGCGUGUUUUCUUAAAAAGGGAUAUUUGAGCGUGCGGUCCCUCCGCUUUUGCAACGCAUUGCAAUUUGCCCCUUUUUCCUUCUUUUCUUUUAUUUCAAUUCAGCCGCAUAAUUUUAUUUUUGUUUCAUUUUAGUCCCACGUAAAGUGAUGCAUUUUGAAGGGCGGGAUAUUUCCUUUUUGGUCCCCCUCCUUUCACGCGCAUCACAAAUUAAUCCUUUGCCUAUUUUAUUUUUGAUUUCUCCCCUGGGAUUUUGUUUUGUUUUCAAUUUAGUCCCGUUAUUAUUAUUAUUUAUUAAACUAAUUAGUUUUAUUAUUAUUAUUAUUAUUAUUAUUAUUAUUAUUAUUAUUAUUAUUGCAUUUAUUAUUAUUACCUACCUUAUUAUUAUUAUUAUUUACCCAUUUAUACCGUUUUUAGAUUUUGUUAUAUAUAUAUAUAUACAUACUUACAUAUAUAUACAUACUUAUAUAUUUUUAAUUUUUAUAUAUGUACGUACUUAUAUUUUUUUAUAUACUUUAUAAUUUAUAUAUACAUAUAUACAUACAUAUUUUUAAUAUAUUUUUAAACAUAUAUAUACAUUAUCAUUAUUUACUUGUUUAUAUAUAUAUAUAUAUUUUAAACUUUGUUGUAUUUAUACACAUAUAUUUUUAUAUUUUUAUAAUUUUUUUUAUUUUCAUUAUUGCUAUUAUUGUUUUAUUCGACAUUUAUUUAUUUAUUUACAUGUCUAUUAUUAUUAUUAUCAUUAUUUUUUUAAUGUUUUAGUUUUUAUUUGUUUAUUACUUGUUAUUGUGUAUACAUGAUUGAUUUUUUUAUAUUUGUAUUCUUAUUUAUUUAUCUUUCUGUUUUUGCCCAUAUUAUUUUUACUUACAUUAUCAUAAUCGUUAUUCCAUUACAUCAAUUUUUACCCAGAUUCGUAAAAAAGAAAAUUUUGAAAAUAAAGGCAAUACUCAGUAUUUGGGAUUUUCGAGAGGAUUGAGCCCUAACGCAUUGGGUUCCAAUUUUCUUCGUUGAAUCUAAAUAAUCGAGAAUGCUCUUUAAUCAAAAAACAUAAAUAAAAAGUUCAUUAUCGAGAAUUCAAUACGUUGUGUCCUAACGCAUUGGAUAUGACACGUUCUUUUCUCGAAAUAAGGAUUUUCUAAAAAAUAAUAAAGGCAAUAUUCAAUGUUUAGAAUUUGAGAAAUUGUGCCUUAACAUAUUGGGUUGCGAUUUUUUCAUCUGACUUAAACAAUUGAAUAUCCUUUUAAAUUUUAUUGCACGAGUUUUUUGGGCAAACUCAUUCUUGAGGAGGUAAAAUAUCAUGCCCUAACUCAUUAGGUGUGACAUUUUCUCUCUCCGAAAUGAGAGGGUCUUAACGGUAAUUUGAUUUAUACAAGUUUUUUUAAUAAAUAAUCGUAUUUUAAAUCUCUUUAAAGUUUCUAAUUCUCGACACUAAGACACUAAAUAAUCAACUACGUACCAAUCUUGGGCGUUACGAGGGUGCUAAUCCUUCCUCGCACGUAAUCGACUCCCGAACCCAUUUUUCUGAAUUUCGUGGACCAAGAUCGUUGUUUUAAUAAACUCAAAUCGUUUAUUAAAAACAACCACUUUUUAAGGUGGCCCAAUCACACCUCAUCAAAAAAGAUUUGUGGCGACUCCCAUUUUCGUUUUCAUUUUCAAAACCCAAGUCGACCCCAUUUUCACAAAAAAAUGGUGUCAACAGUGCACAUUAAAUUAAAGAUUAUGUUUGACAUUAUAGAUUGAAGCAAUAUUCAUGUGUAAAAUUUUGAGAUUUAUUUCCUUAAUUAAAGUAAUAUUUCAAAUAGAAUACUUAAACAAUCCUCCAUGUUGGCAAACUUUAUGUACAUUAGAAACGAACUAAAUAAUUAGAAUAAAUCUAAAGUAUGGCUUACAUUUAGUUUAUUCACAAUGUGACUUAAACUUUGGCCUUCAAGAUUUCACGGUCUCAAAUUAUGUCUUAAAAUUUUAAGAUCAUUUUAGCUUUGAUAAAAAAAAUCAAAAGUUUAGAAAGUUAGGAUUGUUGCUUGAGGCGUGAAUAUCCCUAGUCUUUAGGAUAUUCAUGGAUUUACUAUCUUUCAAGAUUUAAUUUGUAUCAUGCACAAUGAAAAAAUUGAAAAAAAAAUUCCCAUUUGAAUGGAAUUGAGCUAUUAGGCUCAAGCCUCGUGUGCGCAUAUAUAUUCUCUUAUUUUGAGUCUUACAAGUUUAUAAUAAACCAAAUCUAUAUAAACAUCAUUUAAUAAGUGUAUCUAAAAUAUGUUUAAUAUGUGUAAUUCUUUAAAAUACAUGAAAACUUCAAAUAUGGUUUAGGUCAUUUUCAGAUUUGUCUUAUUUUAGGUUCAAAUCAUUCGAAUUUGAGGCUAUGUUUUUCAUGUCUAAUCAUUAUUGAUCCGAAUCAUUUUAAAUUUUGAUCAGUUUAAGUUCCAAUUAUUUUGUGAUCAAAUCAUUUUAAGUUUAGAUAAAUUUGGGUCAAUUCGAAUUUGACUUAAUUACGUAAUUACCUUUUUUUAUAAUAAAUUGAGCUGAAUGAAAUUUAGAUUGGAAUUUAUUUAGUGUGCCUUUGUGUUUAAGUUGAAAUUUAAACAUCUGUAUUGGAAAUACACAUGUUAAUACAAUUUUAUGUUAAAGACAAUAAUACGACAGAGUUGAUUUGGGAGAUAAACAUGUUAAUUUUUUUAAUCCCAACCAAAAUUGUACAUAAUUCUUUUAUGUCAUAUUAAAUACAUGUAUAAAAAUUGUCAAUAAAUUAUGCCUAGCGACAACGUUAUUCAAAUCUAAUUUCAUUGUUAAUACCUAUUUCUAUUUUUCUUCUAUUGUCUUCAACUUUAAAUAUGAAGGAAUUGAAAUUUUAAGAAUUGAGAUUUCUUUUCUUUGUAUUAGUGGACGUUUGAUUUUUUUUACUAGAAUUGAUGCAUAUCUUUUCAGAUUUAUCAAUAUUUUUUAAAAUUAUUUAAGAUAUGUAUAUGAAUAUAUUACAAAUAUAAAAUGCAUGAUACUAAAUACAUUUCAAAUUUAAAAUAUUCAUUAAUAAACUUAAUAAAUAAAAAAUUAUCAUUCAAAUAAAUCCAAAAUUAUUAAUAAUAAUCCAUCAUUUAAUAUGAAAUUUUAAGGAUUUAGCUCAUUUACUUAAUAAAAGAAGCUGAAAGGUGAACGGAUAUUUUUUUAUUUGAUGAUCGGGUGAAUGGUUUUUUCUUAAUUAUAUUUUGAAUGUGAAAGUAUAUUCCAUUUUUUUUUAAAAAUUUACAUUCCGAUGUAGAAUUUUUAAUUAGUCAAAUUUCAAUUAAGUUUUUAGCAUAAUAGUAAAUUAUUAAAAGUUUAAUGUUUUUAAUAUUAUUCAUGCACAGGACGGUGCACUAUGUUCUGGCAGGUGUGACUGGAAUUGAUCGGAAUGAGUUGGUGCAAUUGGUACAGACCAAAAUUUUUAACAGUGUAGAAAAAUGGUGUUGGGUGUUUCGCAAUGUUAUUGAAACCAAACCAAACAGACCAAGAACCGAUGAACCCGAGAACUAGAAUAAACUGCAGUUAAAUUGCAAAUCAUCAGCUGAUUAAGCCGUAUUUUCAAAUUUUCUAGAUUGAAAAAACAAAAUUUCACUUCAAAUCCCUUGAGCUUCUGUUACACUUCUUCUCUUAACUCAAUGAAAUAAAACAAACCAUAAAAAGAAUAAGCACCGUUUCUUUUAUUACUUUUUCUAUUAAAAUAUUUUUUUUCUCGUGAAAAACCUGGGCUUAUAACAUUCAAUCAAAGGAAAAAAAGGACAAAUUAGGAAAGAUGAAAGAUGGGGAGAGGGUUUUAAAAUUUAAAGCCUUCAAAAUAGAUGAGUUUAGGGUUAUUAAUAUUAUUUUAUAUUGUUCAGUAAAAAAUUAAUUGUAUCGGUGGUUGAACGUGUGAGAUCAAGAAUUGAUUAUUUGAUUAAUUUGAUUAUCGAUCUAAUUUUAAAAAUAUUAAUAAUUCGAUACAAAAUUAAUAUAGUGCAGACAAAUUAAUAUAACAGAAAAUUGUACGAAACCGAGCACCUUAAUUUAAUACAUAAUUUGACAUUCAUAUAAAAUAUUAUCUUGGAAAUAUAUUGAAAGAAGAAAGUAAUCGUAUGUAAAUGGAUAACUUGGAAGAGAUGAUGAAGCAGGAAUCAUUAUAUUAAAAGUGGCAUUUUCUCGAUGUACGGCUGCUCACUAUUUUGACUGCAUUUAUCGUUUGAUUCUUUUCUUAAUUAGCCAAACUCAUGUUAACAAUGGUAUAACAGUAAGUAAUUACUUCAUGGACAGAACAUCAAUAUAUAAAUACCCCACAUAUAAUAAGCAACAACGUAUCAAAAUACACCAAAUAAUGGGAAUUGGAGAACGCCCAUUUAUACAAACAUAUAUAAGUGGGCAAAAUCAAUACUCAUAAUAAAGACACAAAGACGACUAAAAACCUUAUUAAACUAGAUCCAGUAUGCAGCAUAACAGAAAAGGGGGUAUUUCAAGGAGUAGAACGAGAAGGUGGUGGAGAAAAGAAAGGAAUAGAGGGAACUGCAGUUGGGAUUGAGGGAAUACUUGGCAGAGGCGGCAGUCCUCUUGGCAAUGUGGUAGGAAGUGGAGGAAGCGCCCCAGGGUUUGGGAGAUUAGGGAAAGAUGGCAAUGGUGGAAAAGAGAAAGGAAUAGGGGGAACUGCAGUUGGGAUUGUGGGGACUGAGGGAAUGCUUGGCAGAGGGGGUAGUCCUGUUGGCAAUGUGGUAGGAAGUGGAGGAAGCGCCCCAGGCCAUGGGAAUGAUUGUCGGGAUGGCGUUGGGAGAUUAGGGAAAGAUGGUAAACUUUGCGGUUGAGGCUGCUGCAGAAGGUGACGAGCUGCUAGCCCAACAUCAAUGCUUGCAAAUGACAAAGCAAUCAAGAAUGCUAAAGCAAGGCAAUUGAAAGAGGCCAUUUUUGUUCAGAGAUUUCGAAACAAAUGAAGCAGAUGAAACAAAGUUCUUUAUCUGAAUAG
rnacentral:lncRNA from 1 species